rnacentral:lncRNA from 1 species
UGAAGACUUGGUAAAAUGUUGCUACAUAGAAAAUGCGCAGGAUAAUCCAUCCUUUUCCGGGAGAUCUGACGGCUGCCUCUGCUCCGAUUAGCUUUUGCAUCAAUGUUGUUUCGUGGUCUGCUGUCGAGUGUCGAUGAAUCAGGUUUAGGUGCGGUUUCUUUUCGCUGAAUCUGUCAAAGAGGACAGGUACGUGUCAGCCUAUGACAGGCUCCACGCGGCUAGUACAUGGCCCGCUUCGUAGGGAACAGAGAAGGUUAAUUUUUCUUUAGAGAAACCGAGAAGGAAGCAUGCACCGACCAGAAAGUAACCACUUCAUCAGCUCGUCACCGUCACACUUUAGAAUAUAACUUUGGCACACUAAUGCUGCUAUAAAGGUGUUUGUGAUGACUUUGUUAAUUUUAAAAUAAUGUAAUGGCUCGGUCUUUCGAAGAUGCUCAUAGGGUUAGAGCAUACGGAUGAGUGUAUGCGUAUGUAUGGGCAUUUGCGUUUGUACUGUGUUAAAAAAACAGACAUAAAUAAGUUUCAAUUUGGAAAAAAUGAUACUCCUUACAUUUUAUAAACGGGGGAGCAGGAAAAAAGAAAAUGUUGAAAACGUCCCCAGAAAAGCACCAGUGCUGAAAUAAAAGCGGAGAUUUUGCGUGCGUCUUUGUCCGACGAAAAGGGCGGUUGCAUGCAGCUGCGGCGUGCGUGCGUGCGUGUCUCAUCUCCCUUCUUUUCCUUCCACCGCAUCCAUCCAUCACCGACCAUCUGCUUUGCUCUACCCUGUCUCGUCAAUGGCGCCGUGCCGCGUGUUGCCACGCCACUAGCCGUCCCGCACCGGCAUUGCUGCAUUGAUAGAAGUAAAUAAAUAGGCCACCGCUCACCGAGGUUCAGGGGAGCGACGAAAAACUCGAUCUCAGGCGGCAGGCCCAGACCACACAGCGGAUAAGCUCAAACUCGUACUCGUACUGCUCCUGCUCUGCUUUGUCCCCUCUCGCUCUGUAUUGAGCUCACACGAGCAGGGAAAGGAACUCCAUCGAUCUGAGAGAGAGCUGCUCUGCCGUUUCGGCCAUGGCUGCACGAGCGCUGACCGCUGCCGGCCGCCGGGUGGCCGGCCAGAGCCAGACCAGGCCUACGCCUUUUCUCGCCUCCUCCAGGUAACCAGCUUUGUUCUGCGGCUUGCUCUGCGUUGCCACCUUCUGUUCUUGCCGCCAAGAACUAGAAGUAGAACUACCACUCAUUCAUGGCAGCAUCGAUCGAUCCUGUGUGUUUCUGUUUCAGGAGCGGGGCCAGCAUGAACCACUCCUCGGCCAGCGCGCAGCGUGAGGACGAGCGCGGGGACGCCCAUGGUCCGGCGGCGGAGGCGAUGACCGGGGCGCAGGUGGAGGCCGCGCUGAACCGCAAGAACGUCGAGGUGCUCCAGGGCGAGGAGGAGCAGGUCGCCACGGUGCUGCCAGACGAGACCAUCGGCGAGGGCGCGCUGGACAGCGGCGAGGACGCAUCGUGGGUGCCCGACCAGGACACGGGCGUCUUCGUCCCUGCCGAUGACGGCCACGGCGGGGGCGCGCAUCCCGCCCCACCGCAGCACCUGUACGGAGGCGUGGGCGGGUCAGCGUCGGUGCUGGACCAGGCGGUGUUCGUCCGAGAGGAGAUGGAGGACGUGGAGAGACCGGCCAUGGACCUCACCCAUGCCAACGGCGGCAGCAACAACUAAAUUAGUUAUCCAUGGUAGAAUUACUAGCUAGUAGAAGAAUAAAUCCCAUGGAUGCAUCUCUCGAAGCCUGUAGUAAUAAAAGGCUCUCGGUUCACUGCUGCUAAUCAGUAGGAUCAUCUGAUGUGGCACCUCUUAUAGCCAACUUAUGCCCCCCUAUUAUACUUGCCCUUACUGACCUAGUGAUAAUCAGUUUAUUAUCAGUAAACAAGAUGAUAGAAUUUUCAGUAAAAGCUGGCGAUGUCAAAGCUGUAUGCAAUUAUAGUCGAGCACUCAACACUGCAAUUGAUGAACACAGUGGGACUUCUGGCACUCUGCAGACACCAUCUUCAGAAUGGGCGAAAAAUUCAAAGAAAUUGUAAAUGGGAUAGAGGAGGCAAUUCACAUCCAAACCAAAUGCAAGGAUCAAAAUCAAAACUGCUGCAACACCAAAAAAAAUCAACACUUAGAAUUAGCGGCCAUCUUCCAAAAUAAAUAAAUAUAAGUAGGAAUUAACAGUUCUAGUAAUCCUAACAUAAUUACAUACUAUUUUUUGCUCUUCUAUACUCGAAAUCAUCCUCGGGAAAUUCUUACAGCGCAUGUUGCUCCGCGUCAUAUGCAUCAACACCUUCAGCGAACAUCAUCGCUCUCACCAAUGUACUGUACAGUAUGUCACAGGCUCUCAGUUUGCUUCAUUAAUAAUCAAUGUGUACUACUGUAGUAUUUACUUACUUUCAGUGACCUUAUGCUACAUUUCAAUAGAAGUUGGAACAAGUGAAGUGUUUUGUCGGUCUGUAAUAAACAUAUAUAAAAAUGAAAACAUCUAAAAUUAUAUAUUUUACAUGCAAAUAUGUAAUGCCUAGGACCCACAAUAAGAAACAAUUCAUUAUCAGACGGGCCUGUAGUUUCAGACUGCUAGACACCGUGGUAUAAUUAACAGCUAGAAUAAGUCCCAUGGAUGCAUCUCUCGAAUUCUGUAGUAACAAAAAGCUCUCAGUUCACUGCUGCUAAUCAGUUAGGAGUAACCUUCACUUGCUUGUCCUAUCAAAAAACAAAAAACCUUCACUUGCCUGCUUACUGAUCUAUUGAUAAUCAGUUUGAUAUCAAGAAACAAGAUGAUAGAGUCAUGCUGUUAGCUUUCAGUAAAGGCUAGCAAUGCCGGAACCUGGCUUAUAGUCUCAGCACCGGGAUUGAUGAACAGUGGGACGAUUCUAAAAAUAGAAGGGCAAAAAAUCCGAAGAAAUUAGAAUUGGGAUAGAGGCGGCAAUUCACAUUCAAACCAAAUGCUAGGCCCAAAAUCAUAACUUCUGACACCAAAAGUUAACACUAAAAAUCAGCUCACUUAGAACUAGCAGUCAUCUUCCAAAGUAAAUAAAUAAUAUGUACCAAUUAACAGUUCUAGUAGUGCUAGAAUAAUUACUCUGUACAUAAUUUUUGCUCUUCUACACUCAGAAAUAUCCUCAGAAAAUUCUUACAGCAGAAGUUGCUCUUCUCCAGAUAAUCGAACAGCACACAUAUGCAUCAACACCUUCAGCAAACACAGACACCAGGAGAACAUGCUGGGGAGUGGGGACAACCCACAGCCAUUGUACACCAAUCAACCAAUGCAUGUUUCAUGUAUGUUUCAUUAACGUACGGGACUCUUUGGAGACAAGGCAUUCAGAUUUGGCAGAAUUUGAAGAAAUCAGGAUUGAGAUGUUCGAAACAAAAGCACAUGAAUGGAACAUCCAAAAUCAAACAUUCAAAAUCACCGAUGUGUAGCACACUGAAAUUGACAGUUCCAGUAACCAGUUCAGGAUUUGAAGCACAAAAUUGGGCACAAGCAGCAAAGCAAAAUAUUGAGUACAAAAAACAGAGCAUCAGUGCAUUAAUAAUGCCUCACAACACUGCCAUGAAUUCUGAACCAUCAGGCAAGAAAUUGAGUACAAAAUAUUGCCAUGCUCCAAUUAUACCAUCAGAGUAAUGACAAACAUAAUUACAUAAUUAUCCCUACCGAUGUUUCAGAACACAUUCUUACACACUCUUACAGCGGAAGUUGCUCAGUUGCUCCAGCCAGCAGUAAUAGCCGAUGCCUAAACCAAGGAAUGCAUCAACAUCAUCAACCAUCACCACACUGGGAGAACAUGCUAGGGACAACCCACGUAGGUUGCACUACAUUGCUAGAGCUUAUGAAAACAAAGCUGUUUCGGCUGGAGGCAGGCUUUCCCAACUCAAAUGCAGCCCAGUGUUCAGAAUCAUGGGAAUAGUAGUACACGCAGUUGCUCCUCCCUCCCCACCUUUCCGGGUUCAUGAAGGAUAAUGGUUGGCUUCUCUUGUCAGUGCUGAUGAAGAUUGCCCAAUUCUGCAACUCCUCCACCCUCACCCACUUUGCAUGUUCGGUCGACUGGUCGAGGCGGAAGGCUUCGAAGGAAUCCCCUCUUGCCGGAAACGACCCCCGACACCCGACCAAGAGAAGCAUAUCGCCACACGCAACCAGGUAUAGGUUGGCAAGAUGACGCGUGGAGAUUUCCCCCCAACUGACUCCCAUCAUCCGUACGCGAAUCCGAGGCACCAAGUGCAUAACAAAGAGCAUGCCACCAGAGUCCAUGCCAAAGACCUGGCCUUUGAAGGUGACAAUCUGCUUGACCGUUCCAUCGCAAGGACAAGCUCUCAACCAAGAGUGACUACCAAAACGCCAAAAGUAACUGUGAGAUCCGUUGGUGACAAGGAGAUGUGGGUUGGGUGAUGCUAGAGGAGCCGUGAGGGCACCGUAGUAGACCUCAGUGAAUUCGUCACCUGGAAUCUGUGGUGGUGAAGAACUAACACCUGUAAAUGCAUCAACAACGAGACAUGAUCUGUUUCUGGAGAAGAUGAGAUGGCCAUAAGAAGCGCCCAGGAAGCAAAAGCUGCCCAGAGGACUCUGGGGGUAACGAGAAAGGUUAACUAGGGGAAUCUGACAACAAAGGCGUGAGUGUUGGCUGGCUGGAUCAAUGACCUGACAUGGACGUUUAUCACCAAAGGGGUGGUGACAUGGAGAGCGCCCGGGGACAUCAGGUUGCAGGAGCACAGGCGGGAAGAUCGUCGAGGAGGCAGACUUUGAUGGAAAAGAGAAGAAGGCCUCACGCCAAGAGCGGCAGGUGCAAGCCAAGGCAAGGAGGUCGGAGAAGGAGCCUGUCAGAGCAAUGAUGGAAUGAAGCAGGACAUCUGGUAGAUCUGCCCAACCUUGAUGCACAGACAUGGCGGAGGCACAAACACAACAACAGGCCUUUCUUAGUUUUGCGGAUCGCAGCUUCUGAUCUGCGAGAGGCCAUGAAUUCAAAGACAAACAUUAGAAGGAUGACGUGGAUGCUAAUUAAAAAAAGGAAAAAAGAAUGGGCGCUGAUUAAGAAACAUGACAGUGCACUGCACACAAGGUUCCAGAGAUGCUGGUUGUAAGCACAGAAACACGCUGCAUUUCAACAUACAGUACAAAAUUUCAAUUACACAGAUAAAUUGUCAACAUUUUUGUUGGCGAAACUAAAUUAUCAACAUAUUGAUAAAGAUUGGAUUGAAUGUGCCAUUGGCAGAAGCAGGAUUAAACUGUUUUUCUUUUUCUGGAUGACACGACUAAACUGUUAGAACAGUGGCUUCUCGCCGAUAGCUCGUAGCCACACAGUUUAUUUUUUUACCCAAGGAGUAUGUGCUCGUAUGUUACAAUUCCUUGCCCGCUCUAAGAAAAUCAUGCAGUUUGUUCUUUCAUCUGUGGAUGUCACGAAUCGACGUAUGUUUGGGUCGAAUUUUGCAGUUUGGCAUGUUAUUACGUAAAAAAAAAUCAGACACUUUAAUAGCAUAGCACAUUACAUCCACUACUUGUAAUUAUUACGUACUCCCUCUGUAAAGAAAUAUAAGAGCGUUUCGACCAGUAAAGUAGUGAUCUAAACGCUCUUGUAUUUCUUUAUGAAGGGAGUACAUCUUUAAGAAGUUUGAGAUGUUCAAAACAGAAUGGCAACACAUGUAUGCUAUUAAUAUCAACAUAAUACAGCAAUCACUAUGCGCAGGGACUGACUGUGCAGGCAGAGUUAUAGUCACGCUGGUGUUAGCUUCUGUGUGAUGCGUGACUAGUUAGCAAUGGAGGUCGGAGCUUCUCCAUGCAGUCUAGCCAACAGCUAGCGAGACAAGGACGAAGGAAUCAAGUAGUAGCAGAUUCAGAGCGGGGAGUAGGAACCUGGGCUGCUGCUGCUGCUGGCCCCCGAUGGAUCUCCGCCGCGCCGGUCCUCUCCUCCCUCUGUUUUCCCCGCCCCCCAACCCCCUCCCCUCCCCUCCCCUCCAAUCGAUGGUCUCUGAGGCUCUGCCGGUCCACGAUCAACCAGCCGAGCGCAGCCGCGUCUCCCAGAUCCGCCGCCGUGGCGGAGCGAGGGAGCUGGGCAGGGGUUAUCCGCCGGCCGAUGCUCUGGUUUCUGUUUCUUUCCUUUUAUUAUUUUCCCUUGGGAUCUAGAGACCGAAGAGAUUGGCACUGCAGGCUCUUCUUGUUGGCCCCACCACAAGGACAAGGGACAGGUGAAGGUGAAGGCGACCGUGCGCCCUCGUGUCGUGCCGGUGACCACUGCCUUCCGGCUGCAGGCGUCAUCCCCAUCGUGUCUUUUACCUCCCGUCAUAUUCCAAUCAUCGACGGCUAGGUGGUAUCGGCUCGUUAAGCUUGUUAUUAUUAAGUUUAACGAGCUGAAAACCUUGCUUGGCUCGGCUCAUUCGAAGCUCGUUAACAGAUUAUAAUGUGUUGCGAUAUGCAUGAUGAAUGUGUAGGUGUGGUUUUCAAGAUGAAAUAUGGUGACUACAAAAAAAUGCAGUAGUUUGUUGCCUCAUAUGUCGAUUGGAUUGAAUAGAUGGGCUGAGAUGCUACAAAAAGUUUGUCACAUAAGAUGAAAAUAUGUGUUGUGCUGUUACUAACGAGCUUAACGAGCUACGCGUGAAACUCAAUGAUUGGCUCUGUUCAUUAAGAAACGAGCUACGAGCUUAACGAACCGAACUAUCGAGCGUUCAUUAAGCUCGCGAGCUACGAGCUUUUGGUCCAGCCCUAGGAUCAACACCCGCUUUAGUCUAAGUGGAGUAUUUUUUUUAUAAGAUUUAUUUCUUGCCAGAUCCUUAUAAAUUGGAAACACUUGCCUUCAGCCGGUGGAUCGUGAUCCGUUGCCUUUUAUGUGUGACGCGUGUCCUUCGCGUGUCUCUUUUCUGCAACAUCAUGUCUGUGGUUUUUUUGGAGGGGUGGGGGGAGGGGGGAAGCAUGUUGCAAAAUUGCCUUUCCACAACAACAUCCAUCUCGCAAAAAAAAUAAAGCCAAAAAAAAGCUGCAAAGAUUUUUUGCAACAUAAUCUGAGUUGUAAAAUCUUUUUCCAUGAUAACACACAUGUUCACUACAAAAAAACCUGUUAAUCCAUGACGGAUUCACCAUGACAAUUUCAAAAACUGUCAUGGACAGCCUGGUACAGCCCCGCAAGCCCGCCUAAGCCCGCUAAAGCCCGCCUAACCGACCACCAUAUAAAGUGCUAACCCUAAUGCUCUCCCCCUCGGUCCCUCUCCUCUUUCCCUCAUCCACACAGCCCCCUCCCGAUUCCCCACCGCCGCCACCCACCACCUCUUCCCAUGGCUCCUCCCACAGCUCACCGCCGGCCCUCCCCCUCCCCUUCUCUCACAUCACAGCUCCGACAGCUGUCAGAUCCGCUGCAUCCCCCACCCAUCCACUCCUCUCGCGACCCAACUCUCUGUCUCAUGCGACCCUCACACCGCGACCAACACCAUCGAUUCCGGCGACGUCCACCAGCUCGCAGCACACAGACGAGCUAGUCUCCGACCCCUCCAUCCUCUGGUCCGGCUGGAUCCGCCACUUCUGGCCUCCGGCGCUCGCCCACAACCCCUCGCCUAUGGCUAGGGUUUCGGCUGCGGCGUCACGUCCAUCACCAGCUCGUCUCCGGCGGCUCCUCCCCGUCAGACACCGCGCCCUCUCCACCCCUGGGUGGCGCCCCCUAGCUAGGUGCGCUCGCGUGCGUUGGUCUGUAUGGCGUUGACCCCGACCUCCUUUGUCGCGUCUCCGGCGCGGCCGUGCAUCCCGUGCAUCAUGUGAUGGCCUCCUCUGCCGCGCGACGGUGGUAGCCAACCUGCACUGCGGCCGCUGCAUCGCCUACGAUCUUCUUCAGUGAGCACUUGUACCUCCGCUCUCUCCGCUACGACAUCUCCUACUUAUCUUAUUUCGUGUGCUGUCCAUGAGUAUUGGUGGAACUGAUAACAAUCAUGUGUACUGUUGGAAUUUGUAUUCUCAAAAUUUAUUUGCAACAUUCGCUUGUGACUGGUCACUUUUGAUUCCUGAUAGCAUAGCUAAGGUUAACCAGAUAGAUAUCACAUGAAUUCUGUAAGUUUGUACUUUGCAUGAUUGAGAACAGGACAUCCUGGGCAGGUGAUGCCUAGGUAUUUCAUUUUAGUUGGCACAUUUCAAGGACAAGUAAUAUGGUGUCUAAUAUAUUUGUUUUAGUAUUACCAAUGCAAAGAUGGAAAAUAUGUUCUUCUUACAAUAUCCAAAGGAUGGUCGGUGUUGCACAACUUCAGGUUUCUAAUGCUAGUUCAUUCAUUCCAAGUAGUAAAUAGAUACUUGUUACUUUAUGCAUGAGAAACCUCAGGUACAUCAUGAAGAAAGGGAAAGUAAUGUGCGGCUACCCAUUGUAAAUUGUUCCUUCUUAGUUCAGUUAGUAUGCAAUUGAAUCAAUUCUUUAAGAAUUCAGUUAGUAAAUUUAGACUUUUGGGAAGGCAUAGUUCUUUAAGAAUUUGGUUCAGUUGAGACAACAUUUGCAUUGCAGUAAUAAUGAAAUGAGACCGCCUAUCCAAUUGUCACACUAAUAUCUUUGCUUUGCACAUUAUAGUCAGUGCAUCUCCCACCUGAUCGACGCCGACGCCACGGUCCUCGAGCAGAACAGGGUGAGCUUGAUACCCUUCCAUUCUUCAUGUGAAUUAUUCAGGCUGUAGACUUUGAGCUGUUCAAGGUGUGGAUUGUUGUGUGGUUCCAGUACAAUUAUAACUGUACAGAUAUUUUUGUGCGCAUAAAAUCUGCAUUGUACAAUGUCCCUGAUAUUAUGCAUUUUAUUGAUACUCUACUAGAGUUGCUAUCUCUUGUUGUUCAUGGGUUCUGAUUCUGCUUCUACAGAUUUUGAAUUUUUCAUGUAAUAACAAGUAUAUCGCUUAGUACUCCACAAAUAAACUAUUAGUGUGGGAGAUCUCUCAGUGAAGCUGUAUCAUAUUCUUUGUUAAUAUUUUGCAUGCCAUUCGAAGUUCACUUGGCAAGCAAGUAUUGUUUAGUACUGUAUUUGUUGGCACUUUGAGAUGAACCUGCAGCAUACGCAUCAAGUUAGAUGAAAAAUCCUCCGGUGCCGAUUUUGAUUUAAACAUUGAGUUAAUAUAGUCCACAACAUAACAUAUUUUGAUUUGAACUUAUCCUAUGCUUAUGCCUAGUUUGUGUUAAUUAUCUUGAAGUUAGUCUGUCACUUCUUUACUGACAUUCUUGUUUGUUAAGGAAUGGUGUGGUACAGUGUCUAUGCUGGCUGAAUUUUCUUUACAUAAUUUUCAGCUGGUCGCUUGUACAGAAACUUUGAUCCAGAAAAACCAAAACCAAGUACGUGUUCACGCACACACAGCUUCCUCUCACAAAAAAAAAAACUAAGUGCCUGUCUCUCUCACUUUUGUUCACAUUUCUUUUAGAGUGCAGAAAUGUUUGAUCCAGAUAAACUAAAUACCUGUACAGAUGCACAACUUCCUCUCACAACAAAAAAAAACCAAGUACUUGUCUGUAUCAUGUUUGUUUGCUUUCUUCUUUGAGAAAUCUCAUGUUUGUUUGCUAGGCCAUAAAAUAGAGAGCUUUUAGCCUGGUUAGCCCCAUGCACUUACUGUUUGUUUGGUCCAGAACCAAUGGCUGAACCAACUGCUGCUGCUACUACACUUUUAGUUCUGUGAUGUGUGUUUGUUACUCAUCACUUGUAGGCUAACUUGAUUAUACUUUCAUUCGACACACUUUUCUUUGGACUAAUUUUGCUUGUUUUCACGUGUGUUGCCCACAUUUACGUGGUACCUUAGUAUAGUAGUGGUGUGUCCACGGAUGAUUUCUUGGAAAAUCAACUAAUAUUAUUACUCUUUGGAUUCAUUUGGGAGCUUACUUUUAUAACUUAUUAUAAUUUUGAUUGUCUUCUGAUUCUACACAGGUUUGGCAGUUAAUCCAUGUUACUGGAGAUUGAAGAUUUUUAGCAGGAUUUCUUGGGUCCGGUUAGCUGCCUACAAUCGUUGGUGUUGGAGAAAAAAAUCAGCUAGUAGUGCAUUUUCUUUCAAGUCAUGUAACUCACUCUUAAAAAAAAAUACUUAUAGGGCUUUCUAGAUAUGCUCGUGAUGUUUUGAUAUUAAGCUUUGCUUUUUCAAAUCAGAUUAGAUUGUUGGAAAUCGGUAUUGUCAUGUAAACAAUUGCUAUUUUUUAAGGAAUAUAUGAUUUGGUUGUCGUGUUGUAAAUUGUGUUGUAUCGAGAAAACAGGCUGUACAAAAAAGGCCUAAUGGGUUGGACUAAAAAAACAUGACAUGACAAAGAUAAACAACUAUCGGUUGGACUAUACACCAAAAUUAUUGGGCCAAAUCCUUAAUUGGGCUGGUUACAACAUGGGCCAUGUUCGUAUCCACGUCAGAUCCACGUAGACGCCUUGUCAGGUCCAUGUUGCAUCCACGUCAUGCAAAUCGGUGACAGUUUGUUUCGUCAUGGCCUAGUUUGGGCUUGGCGGGCCUGGGGCAGAUCCAUGACGGCCAAGAUCCAUCAUGGAAGGUAUAGUGUCAAAUUAUGACGCGAUAUACAUGACAGAUUUCAAAUCCGUCAAGGAUUUGGACGCAUGACGGAUUUUGGCUGAUCUGUGACGGACAAGGACUGUCAUGUAUUAACAAGUUUCUUGUAGUGGUUGCAGGAAUAAUGAAGAAAAAAAAACGCAGCAUCACCUAUAAUGCAAAAGAUUUACGUAACAUAAGCUUUGUUGCAAAGGACUGUGCAAAAUCACCCUUGUUGCAGUGACGAGGAUGAUAUAUGUUUGGACACUGAAGAACUCUAGAUCUAACGGGUGUCAACGCAGUAGAUCUUUUAAAAAGAUCCGCUGGCCGACACAUAGCAUGGCCCUUACAUAUUCUCCUAAAAAAGAUAAAUCCUUCUAGUUUUUUCUUUCUUGCAUUGGUUAUUAAAUUUAUAUUAUACUCUCACUGGUGCAAAAUAUAAGAUGCAUUAGUUUUUGUCAAAGUCAAUCAUGUCCAUGUUUAACCAAUUUUUUUAGGAAAAGUAGGACCGCACUAUGGAAACGUGAGCUCUCGUGGUACCCUGAGCGACGUUUUGUCCCCCUGGAUGGAUGUAACGAGCGAACGUCAAACAUCCCCUUGAGCAUUCGCUUCGGCGUUUCUUCCGCGCGACCGCAAACUGGCCUAGACUAUAGGAAGCGCGGAAAAAAAACACGCUAGGCCUAGGUAGUUGCUUUUUGCAAGAGGAAAGAAAGUGGCAUAAAAACAUAAACCCCAUUUUCUUUGAACCUAACGUGACGCAAUCUGUGGUCAUGGGAUGUGUGGUGGUUAUCGGCGUCCUUCAAUUUAUGUGAACAAAAGGAGCCCUUUAUUCGAAAAAGAAGGAGGCCUUAUAGGAAAGAUGUCUCGGGCCUCCAUCAGAAAAAAGAAGGCCCAGGAUAGAUUUUGCCGUUUCUUUCCUAUGGAAUGGGAUGAUUGAAAUAACGCCGCAAGUUGCUAAAAAACGCAAUCCUCCGGAAAGUUUUGUGACCCGGUGAAACGAAUUGCCCAAACCCUAUUCCCCCGAGCCGUAAACCUUGCGCUGCCCCUACCCGAUCCGCCGCCAGGCUGCGCUCCGUCGUUGGCGGCACGACCUGACCGAGCCUCUGCCCCAUCCGAGCUCCUGCGAUCUCCGUCCCCGACUGCGCUCCUCCUGCUCUGCCAUCCGCCGCAGGAGCUCCUCUCCUCCAUAGCCGUCUGCCGGCCGAGUUCUUCCUCCAUAGCCGUCCCCCAACCGAGCAGGCUGGGUCCUCCUUUGUUCGCGUCAGUCCUCGUCUGUACACCGAACCACAACUCCACAAGGUGAGCAUGUCUCUUCUGUUCUUCAAUGUUGAUCCCUCCUCCUUUGCUUUGUAUCAUUUCUAUAAAAAUUUCUAAGGUUGCUAUAGUUGAUUAGUGGAACACGCCCGUUGCUUCUGUUUUCCACUUUUGUUAAUACGUUGUGCUUGCCCGUAUGCAGACAUCUGCAUUUUGUAUGCAAUCCCCUUUGUGGGCCAUCUAAUGGAAUCAGGAGAGUUUCGCUAGACAACUUGGUAGCGAGAGCAUCCCUCCUGAUACCUGUUUCUCAUGGUAGACACGUACCGGAUUCUCCUUCGAUGAGCACUCCUCCAGCUCUGGUAUUCUCCUCUGCCGGCCUCACUCUCCACACCGCUUCCGCAACCCUUCGCUACGCCCCACCCUCCAUGGUUGUGCUACCUCUCGUACCUCGCUGAUUGUUCCCGGAUGCUGCUUCUUCCUCCUUCGCCAUCACUCCAUCCUCCAACUCAACGUCAAUCACUACAUCAAUUCCAGACUUUAUUCCUAGGCCAACAACUUCUCCAAAUGUCGUCGUCGUCAUCUCAUGCAUCAUAUUCUCCCCAUGUACUCUGUCAAGACCACGUCGACCACUACUCUAACCCUAAGCUGCAAGAGACGGCGUGGCGCCAUACCAGCAUUACCAACCUCCUGUGGAUCUAUGCUACCAUCACCAACGACCUGUACGAGGUCAUCCGUUUGGCAGAGAACACUGCGUGCCUAGCUUGAAGUCAGUUGAUCGAGAUUUUCCUUGCCAACCAGCCUGCCUAGGCAGUGCACCUCAACGCGGAAUUCCGCACCAUUACCCAGGGUGACCUGCGGGUCCCGGAGUACCGAUGCCAGCUCAACAUGGACGAAUCGGUCCUUGAUCGGACCAUGACUCUACAGAUGUUGCGUGGUCUCUCACACUGCUUUUAAGUGAUCACCAUAGCUCUCCCCAUGCAGUCCCGUCCCCCACGUUUGUUUGUCCAAGCUCGCUCAUGGCUACUGUUUGAGGAGACCACGCUCGACGCCCAUCACAUCACCGAGGUGUCUUCUGCUCUGCCUAUCGGCAUCAAUGGCGACGGCGUUCUGACUAGCAACACCAAAUCCUUAGGCGACCAUGGCUCGUCCAACAACGACCACAGCAAGGCUUCGAUGGAGCACAUGGCAGGUGGCUCCUCUGGCGAUUGCAGGCACAUAAAUGGCGGUGGCCAUGGACAUGGCCAUGAUAACAUCGGUGGAUGACCAACUGUCCUUUACAUCCGUCGCUUGCGAGACCCCCUUGAUUGGCUACUUCGCGCCGUUGGGUGGGCGGGUUCAUUCUCGCUGCAGGGCCAUGCGCCGUGAAUCCCUCCCAACGUGGUCGUGGUUCUCGGCCCUCCCGCGUGGUUCUCCUCGGCAUGCCUAAUAUCAUGUAUGCUAGACUCUCUGCGCCUCCACUGUUGUAGCAAUCAUCCUAUCAGUCUCUACACCGCCAUGAACCAGCCGCCGAUCAAGCAAUCCGAUGCCGACUAGUAUCGUGACACCGGAGCAUCAUCCAUGUUGUUGGCAACGCAGGUAUCCUCGCCUUGUCUGAGCUCUGUUUCAAAGCAACCCCUCUUAAGGGUGUGUUUGUUUAGGCUCCCAGGAGCAACUUCUAUCGCUUCUGGCCUAGAAAAGCUGGAGCCCAAACAAACAUCCAAUUUCUGGCUCGGCUCCAGUCGUAGCUUCUAUGGAGUGCUCGGAAAAAGACCGCGAGAAGCCGCAGCUAAGAAAUCGAGCUUUUCCCGGCCGAAGCUGGCUCCAAUCCUCGCUUUUACCAUUUUACCCUCCCACUAAAGUUCAUUAUAUGCACCAAAUGCCACUGACCGGUUUGUUUCUAUCCUUAGGGUUCCUCUCUACCGCUCCCCGCCGCCAACCGUCCCAUCUCCGGUGACCAGCCACUCGAUCCAUUGCCAGCCAGUUGAUCUGACGGGGUGCACACCGAAACCACCAUUACCGGAGCGCAAGGCUGCUGCCAACCCGUUACACUCGAUCCGCCGCCAGGCUGCGCUCCCCCAGCAAGCUUCGCAGUCGGCUGCCCCCGUCCGAUCUCCUGCGACCUCCGUCCCCGACUGCUCUCCUUCUCCUCUACCAUCUGCCGCAGGAGGUCCUCUGCCGUCGGCUCGCUCGUCUGUACACCGAACCACAACUCCACAAGGUGAGCAUGUCUCCUCUGUUCUUCAAUGUUGAUCCCUCCUCCUUUGCUUUGUAUCAUUCCUAUAAAAAUUUCUAAGGUUGCUAUAGUUGAUUAGUGGAACACGCCCGUUGCUUCUGUUUUCCACUUUUGUUAAUACGUUGUGCUUGCCCGUAUGCAGACAUUUACAUUUUGUAUGCAAUCCCCUUUGUGGGCCAUCUAAUGGAAUCAGGAGAGUUUCGCUAGACAACUUGUUAGCGAGAGCGUCCCUCCUGAUACCUGUUUCCCAUGGUAGACACUGGAUUCUCCUCCGAUGAGCACUCCUCCAGUUGUGGUAUUCUCCUCUGCCGGCCUCACCCUCCACACCGCUUCCGCACCCUUGGCUACGCCCCACCCUCCAUGGUUGUGCUACCUCUCGUACCUCGCUGAUUGUUCCCGGAUGCUGCUUCUUCCUCCUUCGCCAUCACUCCAUCCACCAACUCAACAUCAAUCACAACAUCAAUUCCAUACUUUAUUCCGAGUCCAACAACUUCUCCAAAUGUCGUUGUCGUCAUCUCAUGCAUCAUACUCUCUCCAUGUACUCUGUCAAGACCACGUCGACCACUACUCUGACCCUAAUAAGCUGCAAGAGACGGCGUGGCGCCAUACCAACAUUACCAUCCUCCGGUGGAUCUAUGCUACUGAUACGUCUCCAACGUAUCUAUAAUUUUUGAUUGCUCCAUGCUACAUUAUCUACUGUUUUGGACUAUAUUGGGCUUUAUUUUUCACUUUUAUAUUAUUUUUGGGACUAACCUAUUAACCGAAGGCCCAGCCCAGAAUUGCUGUUUUUUACCUAUUUCAGUGUUUCAAAGAAAUGGAAUAUCAAACGGAGUCCAAACGGAAUAAAAUCUUCGGGAACGUGAUUUUCUCACCGAACGUGAUCCAGGAGACUUGGACCCUGCUCCAAGGAACAAAAGAGGCGGUCACGAGGGUGGGGGCGCCCCUCCUAAGGCGCGCCCCCUGCCUCGUGGGCCUCUCGUUGCUCCUCCGGCGUACUUCUUCCUCCUAUAUAUACACAUGUACCCCCAAACGAUCAGAAGAGGAGCCAAAAACCUAAUUCCACCGCCGUAACUUUUUGUAUCCACGAGAUCCCAUCUUGGAGCCUGUUCCGGAGCUCCGCCGGAAGAGGGCCGUCAUCACGGAGGGCUUCUACAUCAUCCUAGCCCCUCCGAUGAAGUGUGAGUAGUUUACCUCAGACCUUCGGGUCCAUAGUUAGUAGCUAGAUGGCUUCUUCUCUCUCUUUCGAUCUCAAUACAAAGUUCUCCCCCUCUCUUGUGGAGAUCUAUUCGAUGUAAUCUUCUUUUUGCGGUGUGUUUGUUGAGACCGAUGAAUUGUGGGUUUAUGAUCAAGUUUAUCUAUGAAUAAUAUUUGAAUCUUCUCUGAAUUCUUUUAUGUAUGAUUGGUUAUCUUUGCAAGUCUCUUCGAAUUAUCCAUUUGGUUUGGCCAACUAGAUUGGUAGUUCUUGCCAUGGGAGAAGUGCUUAGCUUUGGGUUCAAUCUUGCGGUGUCCUUACCCAGUGACAGAAGGGGCAGCAAGGCAUGUAUUGUAUCGUUGCCAUCGAGGAUAACAAGAUGGGGUUUAUUUCAUAUUGCAUGAAUUUAUCUCUCUACAUCAUGUCAUCUUGCUUAAGGCGUUACUCUGUUUUUAACUUAAUACUCUAGAUGCAUGCUGGAUAGCGGUCGAUGAGUGGAGUAAUAGUAGUAGAUGCAGAAUCGUUUCGAUCUACUUGUCAUGGACGUGAUGCCUAUAUACAUGAUCAUGCCUAUAUAUUCUCAUAACUAUGCUCAAUUCUGUCAAUUGCUCAACAGUAAUUUGUUCACCCACCGUAGAAUACUUAUGCUCUUGAGAGAAGCCACUAGUGAAACCUAUGCCCCCCGGGUCUAUUCUCAUCAUAUCAAUCUCCACCACUUUAAUCUUGCUUUGCUUUUUUACUUUGCUUUUACUUUUUACUUUGCAUCUUUAUAUCAAAAAUACUAAAAAUAUUAUAUCUAUCAGAUAUCACUCUCAUAAGUGACCGUGAAGGGAUUGACAACCCCUAAUCGCGUUGGUUGCGAGUAGCUAUCGUUUUGUGCAGGUACGAGGGACUUGAGCAUGGGCUCCUACUGGAUUGAUACCUUGGUUCUCAAAAACUGAGGGAAAUACUUACGCUACUCUGCUGCAUCAUCCCUUCCUCUUCGGGGAAAACCAACGCAAGCUCAAGACGUAGCAAGAAGGAUUUCUGGCGCCGUUGCCGGGGAGUCUACGGAAAAAGUCAACAUACCAAGUACCCAUCACAAUCCUUAUCUCUCGCAUUACAUUAUUUGCCAUUUGCCUCUCGUUUUCCUCUCCCCCCAAUUCACCCUUGCCGUUUUAUUCACCCCCCUCUCUCUAUCCUCCCUCUCUAUUUGCCUCUUUUUGCUCGCUUGCCUUUUUGUUUGCUCGUGUGUUAGAUUGCUUGUUUGUCGCGAUGGCUCAACCGAGAUUUGGUGAUCUUCACCUUAAAAGGUUAGAGGAGAUCGAAACCAACGUUAGGAAGUUUAUGGUUUUGCAAUUUGAGCAUAAUAAUUUCUUUAGAAACGAGCUUAAGGAACAAAAAAGUUUUAUGAGUUAUAUGAAUAAAGAGUUAGAUGAUAUGUCUAAAGAAUUUGAUGGUAUAAGAUCCCAAAUUGCUCGUCUAGAAAAGAUGACUGCUGAAAUUUCGGAUAUGCAAGCCACCUUAGUUAAUAAGAUGGCUGCUAAACCGGAUUCCUAUGAAAAUCAAGAUGAAGAUCUAAAAGUUAUUGAUGUGUCCCCUAUUAAAUCUUUGUUUUGCAAUAUGAAUCUUGAUGAAGCUGAAUAUGAUCUUCCUUUACCUAGAAGGCGUUCUAAAAAUUCGGAGUAUUUAGAUCUUAAUGAUGAAAUUGAUGAAAGUGGGAUUGAAAAAAAAUGAAAAUCUAGAUGUUGCUAAACCCACUAUAUUGGAUUUCAAGGAAUUUAAUUAUGAAAGUUGCCCUUUAAUUGAUUGUAUUUCCUUGUUGCAAUCCGUGCUAAAUUCUCCACAUGCUUAUAGUCAAAAUAAAACCUUCACCGAACAUAUUGUUGAUGCCUUGAUGCAAUCUUAUGAAGAAAAACUUGAGUUGAAAGUUUCUAUCCCUAGAAAACUCUAUGAUGAGUGGGAACCAACUAUUAAAAUUAAAAUUAAAGAUUAUGAGUUUUAUGCUUUGUGUGAUUUGGGUGCUAGUGUCUCUACUAUUCCCAAGACUUUGUGUGAUUUACUAGAUUUCCGUAAUUUUGAUGAUUGCUCUCUGAACUUGCAUCUUGCAGAUUCCACUAUUAUGAAACCUAUGGGAAGGAUUAAUGAUGUUCUUAUUGUUGCAAAUAGGAAUUAUGUGCCCGUAGAUUUCAUUGUUAUUGAUAUAGAUUGCAAUUCUUCUUGCCCUAUUAUUCUUGGUAGACCUUUCCUUAGAACGGUUGGUGCGAUUAUUGAUAUGAAGGAAGGGAAUAUUAGAUUUCAAUUUCCAUUAAAAAGGGCAUGGAACACUUUUCUAGAAAGAAAAUAAAAUUACCAUAUGAAACUAUCAUGAGAGCCACUUAUGGAUUGCCUACCAAAGAUGGCAAUACCUAGAUCUACCCUCGCUUUUAUGCCUAGCUAGGGGCGUUAAACGAUAGCACUUGUUGGGAGGCAACCCAAUUUUAUUUUUAUUCCUUGCUUUUAGCUCCUGUUUAGUAAUAAAUAAAUUAUUUAUCCUCUGUUUUGGUUGUGUUUUUUGUGUUUAAUUAGUGUUUGUGACAAGUAGAACCGUUGGGAAGACUUGGGGGAAAGUCUUGUUGAACUUGCUGUAAAAAACAGAAACUUUAGUGCUCACGAGAACUGCUGUCGUUUUUAUUUGAAGAGUGCUAUUUAGUUAAUUCUUUUUGCAUAUGAUUAAUAGAUAAAUUCCUCACGUCCAGCAAUUUAUUUUAGAAUUUUUGGGGUUCCAGAUCUUGCGCUAGCUACAGAUUACUACAGACUGUUCUGUUUUUGACAGAUUCUGUUUUUCGUGUGUUGUUUGCUUAUUUUGAUGAAUCUAUGGCUAGUAAAAUAGUUUAUAAUUCAUAGAGAAGUUGGAAUACAGUAGGUUUAACACCAAUAUAAAUAAAGAAUGAGUUCAUUACAGUACCUUGAAGUGGUCUUUUGUUUUCUUUCGCUAAUGGAGCUCAUGAGUCUUCUAUUUUGAGUUUUGUGUUGUGAAGUUUUCAAGUUUUGGGUGAAUUUUUUUGAUGGAUCAUGGAACAAGGAGUGGCAAGAGCCUAAGCAUGGGGAUUCCCAUGGCACCCCCAAGAUAAUCCAAGGACACCAAGAAGUCAAAGCUUGGGGAUGCCCCGGAAGACAUCCCCUCUUUCGUCCACUUCCAUCGGUAAUUUACUUGGAGCUAUAUUUUUAUUCACCAACAUGAUAUGUGUUUUGCUUGGAGCGUCUUGUAUUAUUUGUGUCUUUGUGUCUUAGUAUGCCACAAUCAUCCUUGCUGUACACACCUUUUGAGAGAGCCAUAUAUGAAUUAAAAUUUGAUAGAAUACUCUAUGUGCUUCACUUAUAUCUUUUGAGCUAGAUAAUUUUGCUCUAUGUGCUUCACUUAUAUCUUUUGAGCGUAGUAGUUUUGCUCUAUGUGCUUCACUUAUAUCUUUUGAGCUAGAUAAUUUUGCUAUAUGUUCUUCACUUAGAUCUUUUAGAGCACGGUGGUGGAUUUGUUUUAAAGAAACUAUUGAUCUCUCAUGCUUCACUUAAAUUAUUUUGAGAGUCUCUUAAUAGCAUGGUAAUUUGCUUAAUAAUAAUAUGCUUGGUAUUCAAGAUUUGUGAAACUUUCUUUUGAGUGUGUUGAAUACUAAGAGAAGAUUGAAGCAUGAUAAUUGUUUUGAGAUAUGGAGGUGAUAAUAUUAAAGUCAUGCUAAUUGAGUAGUUGUGAAUUUAAAGAAUACUUCUGUUAAGGUUUGUGAUUCCCGUAGCAUGCACGUAUGGUGAACCGUUAUGUGACGAAGUCGGAGCAUGAUUUGUUUAUUGAUUGUCUUCCUUAUGAGUGGUGGUCGGGGACGAGCGAUGGUCUUUUCCAACGAAUCUAUCCCCCUAGGAGCAUGCACGUAAUACUUUGCUUUGAUAACUUCUAGAUUUUUGCAAUAAGUAUACAAGUUCUUUAAUUAUGACUAAUGUUGAGUCCAUGGAUUAUACACACUCUCACCCUCCCACCUUUGCUAGCCUCUCUAAUACCGCGCACCUUUCGCCGGUAUCAUACACCUACCAUAUACCUUCCUCAUAACAGCCACCAUACCUACCUAUUAUGGCAUUUCCAUAGCCAUUCCGAGAUAUAUUGCCAUGCAACUUUCCACCAUCUAGUUCAUCAUGACACAUUCAUCAUUGUCAUAUUGCUUAGCAUGAUCAUGUAGUUGACAUAGUAUUUGUGGCAAAGCCACCGUUCAUAAUUUCUUCAUACUUGUCACUCUUGAUUCAUUGUAUAUCCCGGUACACCGCCGGAGGCAUCCAUAUAGAGUCAUACUUUGUUUUAGAAUCGAGUUGUAAUCAUUGAGUUGUAAAUAAAUAAAAGUGUGAUGAUCAUCAUCCAAUAGAGCAUUGUCCCAAUAAAAAAAGAGAAAGGCCAAAAAAAAGAAGGCCCAAAAAAAGAAAAUAAAUAAAAAGGGGGCAAUGCUACUAUCCUUUUUCCACACUUGCGCUUCAAAGUAGCACCAUGAUAUAGCGAGUCUCAUAUAUUGUGCUUCAAAGUAGCACCAUGUUCUUCAUAUAGAGAGUCUCAUAUGUUGUCACUUUCAUAUACUAGUGGGAAUUUUACAUUAUAGAACUUGGCUUGUAUAUUCCAAUAAUGGGCUUCCUCAAAUUGCCCUAGGUCUUCGUGAGCAAGCAAGUUGGAUGCACACCCACUAGUUUCUUUUGUUGAGUUUUCAUACAUUUAUAGCUCUAGUGCAUCCGUUGCAUGGCAAUCCCUACUCACUCACAUUGAUAUCUAUUGAUGGGCAUCUCCAUAGCCCGUUGAUACGCCUAGUUGAUGUGAGACUAUCUUCCCCUCCUUUUUGUCUUCUCCACAACCACCAUUCUAUUCCACCUAUAGUGCUAUAUCCAUGGCUCAUGCUCAUGUAUUGCGUGAAGAUUGAAAAAGUUCUGAAAAAGUUAGAGUAUGAAACAAUUUCUUGGCUUGUCAUCGGGGUUGUGCAUGAAUUAAAUACUUUGUGUGGUGAAGAUGGAGCAUAGCCAGACUAUUUGAUUUUGUAGGUAUAACUUCUUUGGCCAUGUUAUUUUGAGAAGACAUAAUUGCUUUGUUAGUAUGCUUGAAGUAUUAUUAUUUUUAAGUCAAUAUAAACUUUUGUCUUGAAUCUUUCUAAUCUGAAUAUUCAUACCACAAUUAAGAAGAUUUGCAUUGAAAUUAUGCCAAGUAGCACUCCGCAUCAAAAAUUCUCUUUUUAUCAUUUACCUACUCGAGGACGAGCAGGAAUUAAGUUUGGGGAUGCCUGAUACAUCUCCAACGUAUCUAUAAUUUUUUAUUGCUCCAUGCUAUAUUAUCUACUGUUUUGGACUAUAUUGGGCUUUAUUUUCCACUUUUAUAUUAUUUUUGGGACUAACCUAUUAACCGAAGGCCCAGCCCAGAAUUGCUGUUUUUUUUGCCUAUUUCAGUGUUUUGAAGAAACGGAAUAUCAAACGGAGUCCAAACGGAAUAAAAUCUUUGGGAACGUGAUUUUCUCACCGAACGUGAUCCAGGAGACUUUGACCCUGCUCCAAGGAACAAAAGAGGCGGUCACGAGGGUGGGGAGCCCCCCCCUAGGGCGCGCCCCCCUGCCUCAUGGGCCCCUCGUUGCUCCUCCGGCGUACUUCUUCCUGCUAUAUAUACACACGUACCCCCAAACGUCAGAAGAGGAGCCAAAAACCUAAUUCCACCGCCGCAACUUUCUGUAUCCACGAGAUCCCAUCUUGGGGCCUGUUCCGGAGCUCCACUGGAAGAGGGCGUCAUCAUGGAGGGCUUCUACAUCAUCCUAACCCCUCCGAUGAAGUAUGAGUAGUUUACCUCAGACCUUCGGGUCCAUAGUUAGUAGCUAGAUGGCUUCUUCUCUCUCUUUGAAUCUCAAUACAAAGUUCUUCCCCUCUCUUGUGGAGAUCUAUUCGAUGUAAUCUUCUUUUUGCGGUGUGUUUGUUGAGACUGAUGAAUUGUUGGUUUAUGAUCAAGUCUAUCUAUGAAUAAUAUUUGAAUCUUCUCUGAAUUCUUUUAUGUAUGAUUGGUUAUCUUUGCAAGUCUCUUCGAAUUAUCCGUUUGGUUUGGCCAACUAGAUUGGUAGUUCUUGCCAUGGGAGAAGUGCUUAGCUUUGGGUUCGAUCAUGCGGUGUCCUUACCCAGUGACAGAAGGGGCAGCAAGGCACAUAUUGUAUCGUUGCCAUCGAGGAUAACAAGAUGGGGUUUAUUUCAUAUUGCAUGAAUUUAUCUCUCUACAUCAUGUCAUCUUGCUUAAGGCGUUACUCUGUUUUUAACUUAAUACUUUAGAUGUAUGCUGGAUAGCGGUCGAUGAGUGGAGUAAUAGUAGUAGAUGCAGAAUCGUUUCGAUCUACUUGUCACGGACGUGAUGCCUAUAUACAUGAUCAUGCCUAGAUAUUCUCAUAACUAUGCUCAAUUCUGUCAAUUGCUCAACAGUAAUUUGUUCACCCACCGUAGAAUACUUAUGCUCUUGAGAGAAGCCACUAGUGAAACCUAUGGCCCCCGGAUCUAUUCUCAUCAUAUCAAUCUCCAUCACUUUAAUCUUGCUUUGCUUUUUUACUUUGCUUUUACUUUUUUACUUUGCAUCUUUUAUCAAAAAUACCAAAAAUGUUAUAUCUAUCAGAUCUCACUCUCGUAAGUGACCGUGAAGGGAUUGACAACCCCUAAUCGUGUUGGUUGCGAGUAGCUAUCAUUUUGUGCUGGUGCGAGGGACUUGAGCGUGCGCUCCUACUGGAUUGAUACCUUGGCUCUCAAAAACUGAGGGAAAUACUUACGCUACUCUGCUGCAUCAUCCCUUCCUCUUCGGGGAAAACCAACGCAAGCUCAAGACAUAGCAGCUACCAUCACCAUCGACAUGUACGAGAUCAUCCGUUCGCCAGAGAACACCACGUGCCUAGCCUGAAGUGAGUUAAUCGAGUUUUUCCUUGCCAACCAGCCUGCCUAGGCAGUGCACCUCAACGCGGAAUUCCGCACCAUCACCCAGGGUGACCUAUGAGUCCCGGAGUACCGAUGCUAGCUCAACAUGGACGAAUCGUUCCUUGAUCGGACCAUGACUCUACAGAUGUUGCGUGGUCUCUCACACUGCUUUUUAAGUGAUCACCAUAGCUCUCCCCAUGCAGUCCCGUCCCCCACGUUUGUUUGUCCAGGACUGCUGAUGGCUACUGUUUGAGGAGACCACGCCCGAUGCCCAUCACAUCACCGAGGUCUCUUCUGCUCUAACUAUCGGCAUCAACGGCGACGACGUUCUGACUAGCAACACCAAAUCCUCAGGCGACCAUGGCUCGUCCAACAACGACCACAGCAAGGCUUCGUUGGAGCACAAUGAUAGGUGGCUCCUCUCGCGAUUGCAGGCACAGAAAAUGGCGGUGGCCAUGGACAUGGCCAUGAUAACAUCAGUGGAUGACCAAUUGUCCUUUACAUCCGUUGCUUGCGAGACCCCCUUGAUUGGCUACUUCGCGCCGUUGGGUGGGUGGGUUCUCGGCCCUCCGGCGUGGUUCUCCUCGGCAUGCCUAAUAUCAUGUAUGCUAGGCUCUCUAUGCUUCCACUGUUGUAGCAAUCAUGCUAUCAGUCUCUACACCGCCAUGAACCAGCCACCGAUCCAGCAAUCCCUCUUAAGGGUGUGUUUGUUUACGCUCGUAGGAGCAAAUUCUAUGGCUUCUGGCCUAGAAAAGCUACGGCCCAAACAAACAGCCAAUUUCUGGCCCGUCUCCAGUCGUAGCUUCUAUGGAGCGCUCGGAAAAAGACCGCGAGAAGCCGCAGUUAGGAAAUCGAGCUUUUCCCGGCCGAAGCUGGCUCCAAUCCUCGCUUUUACCAUUUUACCCUCCCACUGAAGUUCAUUAUAUGCACCAAAUGCCACUGACCGGUUUGUUUCUAUCCUUAGGGUUCCUCUCGACCGCUCCCCGCCGCCACCCGUCCCAUCUCCGGUGACCAGCCACUCGCUCCAUUGCCAGCCGGUGGAUCUGACGGGGUGCACAACGAAACCGCCAUUACCGGAGCGCAAGGCUGCUGCCAACCCAUUCCACUCUUUCCUCCUCCCUUAUUUCAAGCCGUGUUGACCGCAAGGACGCCGCCGCUGUGCCCACGGUACGCACACCCGAGCACACAGACGUUGCAAUACCUUCAGCUGGGUGACCUGCCUGAAGGUCAAGAAAUAGCAGUAAGAGGCUCUCACAGACUUCUAAAUAAGGAAUAGAACAACUGAAAACUGAGUUAAUUUUGGUUGCUAAGCUGCACCACAGGAAUCUUGUCAGGCUUAUUGGUGUUUGCUUGGAGGGACAUGAGAAAAUACUUGUGUAUGAGUACAUGCCAAAUGGAAGUCUUGAUACCAUUCUAUUUGGUAAUUUUCUCAUUACAUUCUGUUUUCAUAAAGGAAAAGCAUCCACUACUAGGAUAGUGCCUAAUGCUAUCAAUUUAAGAUACAACACUAUGAUAAUUGAUGUUUCUUGUUUGAGUGAUGGAUAGCGAGAAAUCCAAGCAGCUAGACUGGGGGAGGAGGUCCAAGAUUAUAAAUGGAGUUAUUCUGGGCUUACAACAUCUUCAUGAAGAUUCACAACUGAAGAUAGUUCACCAGGACCUCAAAGAAAACAAUAUCCUUUUAGACUCUGAUUACAAUCCUAAGAUCUCAGACUUCAGCUUAGCAAAGAUAUUUGAAGGCGAUCGAUCACAAAUUGUCACUCAUCGCAUUGCUGGAACAUAGUACGUAUAGUCUGCAAUAGCAUACUAAUCUGUCAAUUAUACUUUUGAACGGGUAGUAAAGGUCUGUCACAUUAAAAAGCUACCCUCUUGUUUCAAUGGGUACAUGACGCCUGAAUACGCAAUGUGUGGUCAGUAUUCCAUCAAAUCGGAUGUAUUCAGCCUCGGUGUUUUAAUUUUGGAGAUCGUCACUGGAAGAAGAAGUUAUCGACCCUACGACUUGGAGCAAGACACUGAUCUCAUAAACCUUCCGAGUAUAUAGACUGUUCUUGACAAACAACCUCUCACUAUUAUACGAGUAGUAGUUUCUUAGAAAAGGAAACAUCUCUUCCGAAAUUCUGAAGAAUUUAGUACCAACGUCAAUGGCCGGCCUUUUCUUCGGGAUGUGGGCGGGGCUGUGGGCGACGGCGGCGGCCGGUGCGGUGGUGUGGGCGGGGGCUGCAGGUGGUGCGGGGCUGCGGCGGCGGUGGAUUCGAGCUGUGGGCACGAUGAUGGCCAUGAGGGAAAAUCACCUAAUUCGCGGCAUGCGGCGGCAAUCCAAACAAGGCGGAACCAGCGGCUGGGGUGCUUGAGGGGAUGGAUCUGGCGCGGGCGACCGCGGAGGGCGGCGGAUGGUGGGAGGAAGAAGAGGGGUGGGGGAAGGAAAUGAAAUGGCAGUUAGGGUUCCUCAAGAGGCUUGACGUCAUGCUCGACGUGUCGAUGUCAAUGGAGUAUCUACCAAGGUUUUGGUUACCGGUCGAAAUUUUGAGAUUUCCCAUGGUUACCGCAUAUUUUCGUGCCCCUCAGUAAAUCCUCAUACCGAGCAAAAAAUACCAGUUUUUUGAAUUCAAACGUUCGAUUUAUAGUAAUGUACAUGCAAGAUCUGAUUAAUGCCAUGAGAGUUGGUUCUAACGUGUUGGUAGCAACCUAGUUCCUGUUUUGGGAGGUCUCUGGUUCAAAUGUUCGUUCAUUCAUUUAUUUGAAUUCAAAAUUCAACUAUAAAUUCCGUAACCAAAACCUUGGUAUCUACACCAUGAGCACUACGAGGUGAUUUUGCAUUGUGAUUGGAAACCGAGCAACGUGUUGUUUGACGAGGACAUGACUGCUCAUGUGGCAGACUUUGGCAUCGAAGGUUGCUCCUAGGUGAUGACAACUCUGAUUUGUGCGGGUAUGCCUGGAACAGUUAGCUACAUGACACCAGGUACUUAGCUAGCAGAUAUUAAAUCAUUGCUUAAUUAUGGUUAAUAAUACAUACUCUAAUAUUUGUUUCUCUGCUUCCUGUUCUGUGUGCAGAGUAUGGCUCUCUUGGAAAAGCAUCACGGAAGACUGAUGUUUUCUGCUACAGGAUCAUGCUUCUUCAAGUCUUCACAGGAAGGAGACCUAGCUUGCGUGCGUUGCGAAUGGCCAGCUAUUAACAGGGUUCUUCGAGAUGCAACUUGGCUGAUGAAUUUCUGGUGCCUGUAUUCGAGAUAGGUUUGCUCUGCUGUAGUGACUCACCUGAGCAGAGAAUGACGAUGAGCGAUGUGGUUGUGAGGUUGAAGAAGAUCAAAGCAGAGUACACCAAAAGGACGGCAAUGACAGCACGUGAUGAAGCACAGUGAUUGAUCUCCCUUUCUCCUCUCCCUCUCUCCAUCAGAGCUGGGCCAAUGUCAAUUCGAGAAGCAACAACCAGUUAUUUAGAUUGUAGAAUAAAUCCCAUGCAUGUUUGCUGUAUGUCACAGGCUCUCACUUUACUUUACUAAAUAAUCAGUAUGUACUUACUUACUUUCAGUGACCUUAAGCUACCUUUCAAUAAGUUGGAAGUGAAGCCUUUUGUCUGUAAACAUAUAAAAAUGAAAAUACAAGAAAUAAAAUAAAAGAUUAUAUGCAACUGUGUAAUGCACAGGAAACAUGUAAAAUUAUACUAUAUUUUAUAUGCAAAUCUGUAAUGCUUAGGACCUACAGUAAGAAACAAUUCAUUAUCAAAUGGGACUUUUUGGAGAUAAGACAUUCAGAAUUGGCGAAAUUUGAAGAAAUCAGGAUUGGCAUAUUCGAAAGGAAAGCGCAUGAAUGGAGCACUAAAAAUAAACCUUGCAUGGCACCUGAAAUCAACAUUCAAAAUCAGCAAUGUGUAGGACACUGAAAUCAACAGUUCCAAUAAUCAGUUUAGGAUUUGAAGCACAAAACUGGGCACAUGCAACAAAGCAUAGAGCUGGCUGGCUCGAAGAUAAAGAUAGUGCCUCACAGCACUGCCAUGAAUUGUGAACCAUCAGGCAGGAAAUUGAGUACAAAAUAUUGCGAUACUCCAAUUAUAACAGCAGAGUAGUGACGACAUAGUACAUAGUCAUUCUUAUCGAUGUUUCAGAACAUUCUUACACACUCUUACAGCGGAAGUUGCUCCAGUCAGCAGUAAUAGCCGAAGCCUAAAACAAGGAAUGCGUUAACAUCAUCAACCAUCACAGGGACUGGGAGAACAUGCUAGGGACAACCCACAUAGGUUGCACUAAAUUGCCAUAGCUUAUGAAAACAAAGUUGUUUCGGCUGGAGGCAGGCUUCCCCAGCUCAAAUGCAGCCCAAUGUUCAGAAUCAUGGGAAUAGUAGUACACGCAGUUGCUCCUCCCGACCAAUACUCGUACAGUUUGAAGAGGUUUUACCACGUCCUAAACCAAGCUUCAGGUAUGAAGUAAUGUGGGAGUCACAUGAAUAGUGGCGUGACACUAUCAGCUCAGGAUGGAGCGAACUACAAGCUGGUCAAGGAGUUGAGGGGAUUCGCAGAAAAUUGGAGCUGCUGUCAAAGAACCUCUCGGCAUGGAAUGAUGCAACUUUUGGAAGUGUUAGGAAAGAGAUCAAGAAGGCAAAAGCGGAGCUAGAGAGGCUCCAUAGUGUCCCGUCUAGGACUGCUCCAAAUCACCUUGAGCAAAAGUUGAAUGAACGACUGGUUGAGCUCUAUCAUAGGGAGGGGAUAAUGUGGAGACAAAGAUCUCGCAUACGGUGGCUGACUGCGGGUGAUCGCAACACAAAUUUUUUUCACAUGAGAGCUAAUAUGCGGAGAAGGAAGAACAUGAUUCGAGCUCUAUACAAUGCGUUGGGUAUACGAGUAGAUGACAAGGCUGAGAUGACACAACUUGUGACAGAUUUCUAUAAAACUUUGUACACGACGAAAGGUGUGCAGGGGGUAGAUGACGUAUUACAACAUGUGCAUCGGAAAGUAACACCAGAGAUGAAUGCUUCGCUUUGCGCCCCGUACCCAAAUGAGGAAGUAAAGUAGUCCCUGUUUCAUAUGUUUCCCACGAAGGCACCGGACCCAGAUGGUUUUCCUGCACACUUCUAUCAGCGCCACUGGGACAUUUGUGGUGAUGAAAUAACUAAAGUGGUGCUUCGGAUUGUCCGUGGAGAGGAGACUGCUGCAAGUAUUAAUGAUACGGCACUCGUGUUGAUACCCAAGGUACAAAACCCCACUAUCCUUACCCAGUUUAGGCCUAUCAGCCUUUGCAAUGUAAUUUAUAAAAUUGCUUCUAAAGUGGUGGCGAAUAGAUUGAAGUUGAUAUUGCCAGAUAUUAUCUCGGAGUAGCAAUCAACCUUUGUUCCCAGGAGGUUAAUCACAGAUAAUAUUAUAUGUGCGUAUGAAUGUUUGCACUUCAUGAAGAGAAACAGAUCCAAGACAAACAACUUGUGUGCACUUAAGCUUCAUAUGAUGAAGGCAUAUGACAGACUAGAGUGGCCUUAUCUAAAGGCAAUUAUGGUUAAGCUUGGCUUUGCACCAGAUUGGAUCCAUACAGUUAUGAGCAUGAUCACUUCUGUUUCGUUCUCGGUCUUGUUUAAUGGAGAAAGAUUGGAGAGUUUCUCACCUUCCAGAGGUAUCAGGCAGGGAGAUCCUAUUUCCCCUUACUUAUUCUUGAUUGCAGCGGAGGGCCUUUUGUGCCUUUUAAAACACAGUUCUCAGUCAUUAGUGCUCGGUGGCAUAAAGGUGGCGCCCACAGCUCCGGCAGUGAACCAUCUUUUGUUUGCAGAUGACAGCCUGCUGCUUUUCAAGUCUAGUGUCCAGGGGGCAAAUGAGGUUUCAAACCUACUUGACGCAUAUUGCUUGGCCUCAGGCCAAAGGGUAAACCAUGAUAAAUCGUCAAUCUUUUUCAUCAAGGGAUGUCCGGAGACCCUUGGAGUGGAGAUAAAGAAUAUUAUUAAUGUGCAUAAUGAAUCUUUGAGUGAAAAGUACUUGGGUCUGCCGACCGAUGUUGGACAGUCCAAAAAUGGCACCUUCAAAUAUUUAUGAGACAGAGUUUGGGAAAGGAUAAAGGGAUGGAUAGAGAAACUAUUAUCAGUGGCAGGAAAGGAGGUUCUCAUAAAAUCUGUGGCUCAAGCUUUACCAGUUUUUUCGAAGUCUUGCUUCAGAUUACCUCGAGGCCUUUGUGAAAGCAUUACGUCACUCAUUCGCCAAUUUUGGUGGGGAAGUAAGAGAGGCAAGAGGAAACCAUGUUGGGUAGCUUGGGAUUUGAUGACCCGACCGAAAAGUUUGGGAGGACUUGGCUUUCGGGAUGUAGAGAUCUUCAACUUGGCCCUUUUGUCUCGGCAAGUUUGGAGAUUAUUGAAUGAUCCCUCCUCUCUUAGUGCACAAAUCCUUAAAGCAUCAUAUUUCCCACAAUGUUCAUUCCUAGAAGCUCAACUAGGUCCACAUCCUUCUCAGGUGUGGCGAUCUAUCCUUGAUGGGAGAGAUAUUAUCACCCAAGGAGCUAUCCGGCAUAUUGGUGAUGGAACUACCACGAACAUAUGGCAACAUAGUUGGAUCCCAAGGGACGGAAUGAUGAAGCCGGUUGCCUCUUUAGUUUCUGACCCACCGCAACUGGUUUCAGAUCUGAUCGACCAUACUAGAGCUGCGUGGCGAGAGGACCUGCUCAGACAGGUGUUCAUACCUAUUGACGUGGAGGCCAUCUUGCAAAUCCCGCUAUGUACAUGGCUUGUGGACGAUUUUUGGGUGUGGAAUGCUGACCCAAGGGGGCGUUUUUCCGUAUGCUCAGCUUAUAAGAUGAUUGUCAAGAUCAAGAUUGGGCGCGAGGCAUGGCUGGAGGAAAGGGAGGAUCCUUCCAACUCUGAACAUGAGAUGAGGGGGUGGAACUCGUUAUGGAACAUGCCAGUGCCACCGAAACUGUGUUUUUUCACUUGGCGAUUGGCGCAACACUCACUCCCUACGGGAGAUGUCCUAAACCAUCGUCAUAUGGCCAUUACGAGUGCUUGCUCCCUCUGUGGAGGGAAGGAUAGCUGGCGACAUUGUUUGCUGGAGUGUAAUGCGUCUAGGUGUGUAUGGGCACUUUCAGAAGCCGAGAUGGUCGAGCACAUGUUGGCAACUUCAGAGCCUGACGCACGGUUAUGGCUCUUUGCUAUGAAUGAGUCUCUUCCACCGAAGCAAUUUCAGUUGAUGAUUGCUACUAUGUGGGCUAUUUGGAGUGCAAGGCGGAAAGCUAUACAUGAAGAUAUAUACCAUACUCCAUUUGCCACUGACAACUUCAUCAAAGCUUACUUAUCAGAUAUAGAGUUUUUGAAGAAGGAGAAAGCACAUGGGAUAGCAGUACCACGAGAUCAUACGUGGAUUCCGCCACCAACAGAUCACUACAAGCUCAAUGUGGACGCGGCCGUGUCACGCUCGGGCACGUUUGGCGCAGUUGGUGUGGUUUGCAGGGAUGAAAGGGGUUUGUUCAUGGGAGCGUCAGCUCUCGUUUUCAGUGGACUGCGCAACCCCCAGGUGCUAGAAGCACUAGUUGUUUGGGAGGCAUUAGCUCUUUCAGAAGAUCUCUAUAUCAACCAAUUACUGGUGGCCUCCGAUUGCAAGGUGGUGGUAGAUGCAAUCAGGCAAGGAAGCUCAGCAGACUUUGGAGCCAUUGUUGAAGAAAUCAAGGCUAGAGCAACUACCUUUAUUUCAUGUUCGUUUACUCAUGAGUAUAGGACCUCCAAUACGGAGGCCCAUAAUCUCGCAAAGCAUGCUUUAUCUUUAGGGUUUGGCCGACACACCUUGCUAGGACAACCCGGUGAUCUUCCUUUUGUACCUAUGAACAUUAUGAUUCAGUAAUAAAGCUUUGCGAGAUUCUCAAAAAAAAGUUGCUCCUCCCUCCCCACCUUUCCGGGUUCCUGAAAGAUAAUGCUGGCUUCUCUUGUCGGUGCUGAUGAAGAUCGCCCAAUUCUCCAACUCCUCCACCUUCACACACAUUGCAUGUUCAGUCCACUGGUCAAGGCGGAAGACUUCAAAGGUAUCCCCUCUUGCCGGAAACGACCCCUGACACCCGACCAAGAGAAGCAUAACACCACACGCCACCAGAUAUAGGUUGUCAAGAUGACCUAGGGGGAUUUCCUCCCAACUGACUCCCAUCAUCUGUACGCGAAUCCAAGGUGCCAAGUGCACAACAAAGAGCAUGCCACCAGAGUCCAAGCCAUAUACCCGGCCUUUGAAGGUCACAAUCUGCUGGACAGUUCCAUCACAAGGACAAGCUCUCAACCAAGAGCGACUGCCAACACGCCAAAAGUAACUGUGGGAUUCGUUGGUGACAAUGAGAUGUGGGUUGGGUGACUCUACAGGAGCCGUGAGGGUACCGUAGUAGACCUCGGUGGACUCGUCGCCCGAUAUCUGUGGUGGUGAAAAGCUAACACCUGUAAACACAUCAACAAUGAGACAUGAUCUGUUUCUGAAGAAGAUGAGAUGGCCAUAAGAAACACCUAGGAAGCAAAAACUACCUAGAGAAUUUGGGGGGGGGGUGAUUAUUUGCUCGAGAAAGAUUAACUAGGGGAAUCUGGUAGCAAAUGCGCGAGUGUUUGCUGGCUGGAUCAAUGACAUGACAUGUAUGCUUAUCGCCAAGGGGGCGAUGACAUGGAGAGUGCACGGGGACAUCCGGUUGCAGGAGCACAGGCGGGAAGAUCAUCAAGAAAAUCCUAGACAACAUCAGAUGAACACAAUAAGCACUACUACGAAGAUGUCGGGGCCCACCCAUGGUUGAGGGCCCCGACAUCUUCGUAGUAGUGCUUAUUGUGUUCAUCUGAUGUUAGCUAGGAUUUUGUUGGGGUAGUGUUGCUGUUGUCAGCAUCCUUGUAUUUAGGCUUGGGUGGGUGUGGUGUGGUAUGUGUGUGUUUGUAUCAGCAGGAUUCNNNNNNNNNNNNNNNNNNNNNNNNNNNNNNNNNNNNNNNNNNNNNNNNNNNNNNNNNNNNNNNNNNNNNNNNNNNNNNNNNNNNNNNNNNNNNNNNNNNNNNNNNNNNNNNNNNNNNNNNNNNNNNNNNNNNNNNNNNNNNNNNNNNNNNNNNNNNNNNNNNNNNNNNNNNNNNNNNNNNNNNNNNNNNACCCUUCAUCGUGGAGUUGCAGACGCUAUAUUGCAUUGCCUUUGAACUCACACACAACAAAGAAUGUAUUGCCCUCAGUCUCCAUGACACAACAAAGAAGCACACUCAGACACGAGCAUCACUCGUAUGACACUCGCCAGAUUUUGACGUCGAUGCCGUGUAUGCUUCCAGCACCGCACUGAACCAGCGACCGAAUGCCGCCACGGCGCCACCGUUACGACCUGGUCUAAUCAGGGUUGAGUGGGCGAAGAAGGUAAUUUAUGAAUGAACUCUAAGAAAUAAUUGAUAUUCAAACCUAAUAAUUAGGGGCAAUUUUUCUAGAGUAGGGGGGCAAUGGCCCCCUUUGGCCCCCAUGAAGCUCCGCCACUGGUCAUGCCUUGGCAGGGGCCCUGGGCUAUGUCGAAGCAAAAGCAAAUUUCAAUUUUCAACAUGAAUUUCCCGAGAUCAAUAAUAAGAUGUGUUUUGAUGGCUUGCUUUCUACGGCAUCGCGAGUUAUGCAUUGAGGUAUAUUUUUCUUGCUUUGGCACUUACAAACUUUCUAUACAUUUGCAGAAGGACCAGAACAUAAAGCUACAGUAGUAGUGAUUGCCGUGCUUGCAAGUAUUGCACCACUCGUUGUCAUUGUAGCAUGGUAUUAUAUUUGGAGGAGGAGGAGGACCAAGAGGAGGAGACGAGCAGAAAAAACAAUAGAACGAAGUAAAUCCUCUUAUCCAUUUCGAAUUAUUAAACUGUAGCGCUGCAAGCAUGCAAUGAAUCACCUUACGGGCAGGGAAGAGAAUAGUGGUUUUAACUAACAGCAUUUGUGGAUUCUUUUUUAUACUUAUAACCUAAUUCCGCUAAAAGAGUUUGUAUCAGCAUGUACCGACAAGGUUGAAAAGGGAAGAUCCUUAGCAAUUUUCAGCUAGAUCCUACAUAUUCCCUGGGCUCCCUCUGUAAAGUAUUAUAAGCGUGUUUAGAUCACUAAAGUAGUGAUCUAAAUGCUCUUAUAAUACUUUAUGGAGGGAGUAACUUCUAUUGUUGCCCUUAUUUCCAACAGAAUCAACAAGCUCAGAUGACGCUCGCAAUAUCGAGUCUCUCCUCCUUGCACGCUGAGCGGCCAGUAACAACGCCACUGUUGGUGAUGAUGUCGUGCCAACUACAACAGUAUAGAUAAUCCAUCACCCUUGGAUUUCGCAAUUGGACGGCGUGUAUUGAUCGUAGCGUACCAUAAAAGAGCUGAGCUCUAAUGAAAAGCCGGAAGCCGGUUCGCAAAAACUAUAUGACAAGAGCAAGAUAACACAUCAUUGAGCUGUGCGAUCAAACACGGCGAGGAGGCUAACGCUCCUUUGGCCUGUCAAAAUAUAUAAACUGCAAAAAAUCGGCUAGUUUUAUUGUGAAAUCAUAAGUUGAUCAGUGAGGCGCUAACAGUGUCCAAUGAAUCAAUCCAUCGAAUGGUAUGCAUACCAUUUUGCGGGCACACGGAUACGUAAUUGAGACCAUUUGACAAAAUCUGCCAGUCGGCCAGUCCCAAAUAUUCCAGGGUUCUAAAUUUGCUGCGAUGCGAGAGAGAACCCAACCCUCGUAACGCAUUCGGAUCUCGAGAUUUCCUAGAGGACAACCACAUGGCCGUGUACCAAACAGAGGAUGGACUGAUGGAGGAAAGGGAUGGAGAGAAACUAGGGUUCAGCUAGGGUGCAUGGGAUCAUCGCCGACCUUGUGGAGUGAGCUGGUGGCGGUGACAAUGACGACGUGGUGGCCAGUGGCAGCGAUCUCUUUCCUCCCCGAGAAUGAUAGUUUCACUCUGCUCUCUGUUCUCCCCACUCAUCUGCAACUUCGAGACUUUUUCUUCAUCUGAAAAAAUUGGGGUUUAGGAUCGAAAAUGCUAAAUGGAGGCCGAGCUCCACGAAGCUCUUUAUUUUGAAAACUUUGAAAAUCACAUUUUGAAGUUUCAACAAAAUCUGAAAAAAAUCACAUGCGUUCAUACGGAUGUGUAAUACAUGUGUGUGAAAUUUGAAGAUGAUAUACAUUACGGUGGGAGCUACACAAAAAGUAAAAAAUGUGAUUUUAAAAUGGUGAACAGUACUAGACUUUUCACUAUAAAAAUGCACGAAUUUGCCUUUUUUGUGUAGCUCUCACCAUAAUGUACUUCAUCGUCAGGCUUUACACACAUGUAAAACACAUCCAUAUGAACGUGUAUGAUUUUUCCAGAAUUUUUCAAAACUUGAAAAAUAUCAUUUUUGAAUUUUUCAAAAUAACGAGCUCCGUGGAGCUCGUCCUCCAAAAUGCGGUACUCGGUUUUGGAUGGGCUACCGUCUGCUUGUGAUCUACCUAGCUUGCUGGCCCAUAGUUAUGGGGCUCGUGAUCGACAUUGUACAUAGUUUGUGUAUCAACCACAACAAGACCAGAGACUGAGUGUUCCUGAACCAGAGUGGCCCAUUCUCUUUUGUGUUGUUGGUAAGGUGAGCCAUAGGUUUCACUCUGUUUCAAAAUUCAAAAUAAAUUUAUAUUUCUCUACAAAAUCUUUUUACUAGAAUAAAUAUGAGAUGAAAGUUCCUUCCAUAUAUACAAUGGGUCUAGGCCGUAGUGGAACGGUUGUCACCAAAACCGUUCAAGAUUACAUGGGCACAAUUGCAUCGAAGACUGAUACAUGACCUAUACACUCAGCAACAUAGAGCCCCAAUUUGUUUGGCAGGAAAGUAACAAGAGUCGUGUCUUGUUCAGCAGGUUCUAGCUGCAAUGCAUGCACAUGCACUAUGCUUCUUCAUGAGCUUCUGACUCAAUUUUCCAAUACAUCCCAUUCCGCUGCUAGAUCAUGUUGUGUGACAGUUGGUGCCAUUCACCCUACUCAUUAUUGGUGCUCACCUCCCAUGCUUUGCCAUCCUCUACCAGUCUCCCAAAUGUGAUCCAUCUACAAGAAUAAGCUACCUAUUUAUAGGAGGUCACUGAUCGAUUAACGCUAUGUGUGGCCAGGACAUCAUCAUUGCUUCACCAAACAUCACAUGCCGACAAUUUUGAUCACUGCUGACAUUCAUACCACUCAUGGCAUUUCUAAAUAUGAGAACCCUUGUGUGAAUUAGCAGCGUGACUCUGAUCUCUUUCUCCACGAGGACCAACUCACGAUGGAGUGCCAAACAGAGAAUCAAUAGAUGGAGUAAGGCAAGGGGGCAAACUAGGUUUCAAGUGAGGGUGUAGAGGAACAACGCGAAUAUGAGAUUCAAAAGGGUGAGUAUGGUAGCAGUCCUUUUUGGCAUGUCAGUUUAUAUAAACUACAGAAAAUCCGUUAGUUUUAUUGAUGAACCAAAUUCGAACAGUGAGGGGCUAACAAUGUCCAAUGAGAUCCGCAUACCAUUUUGUGCCGCCACGGAGACUAUCGUACAAAAUCAAAGUGGAGUUAGACAUGCUAGGGUUGUAGCCACACUAGUCAGGGGAGGCGCAUGCUGCUUCUUCGCAAAACCCUACUCGACCAAUCAAUCAAUCGGCCAGUCCCACCCAUUCUAGGACUCAUCAAUUAAACCGAGGCGAGAGAGGAUCCAACCAAUCAACACGAUCAAGACCUCUUUCCCCUGAGGACAAUCACACGAUCGGGCACCAAACAGAGGACAUAUCGAUGUAUGGAUGGAGGAGGGGGAGGGGAAAACCAUGGUUCGGGUGAGUGUGCAGAGGAACUGUGCAGACCUUGUAGAGCGUGUCUGCGGCAGUGAUGGCGACAGAGACGGCCGGCUGAUGAGGUGGUCCGCGAAGCUCUGCUCUCCCCCUCUGCUGCUACUGAAGAACAAUUUUUUCUCUAACAGAAAAAAUGAUUUGGAUGGGCGCCAUUUACCAGGCUGCUCCAUACAAGUUGGGCUUGAGCUCAACAUAAACACUUGCUGAUAUUCUCUGUACAGUAAAGUAGCUCGAUCGGAUAUAUACUGCUGACCAACCUCUUUACGGUAAAGUAGCUCGAUUGGAUACAUACAGUUGACUAACCUCUUUUGGAAGUGUGGUGGUUAAUAUAUGUUUAUUUAUAAAUAAUGACUUCAUGUCAUUGAGUGGACAGAUUGUGUUCUCUUGUAGUUGGAUUACAUCUUGCCAUUGCUAAUACCUGAUCCGUGUAUGAGUCAGGGGAGAUCAUCCGUGAUUACAUGCACCCAAUGAUGUAGAAGACUGAGCCGUGAUUAGAUCUAACUCUUAUGCAACUUGACUAAUGCAAUCUACAUCCUGUUGCCAGUUAUGAUUUUAAUCACAUACAUUUGAUAACAUGAAGUCAUGAUUUGUUUGCUUCGGGAGUGAUAAGAGCCACAAAUUGUUAAAAACAUCAUGCAAGGACUAUGAGUCUAUAUGUGCGACUAACACUAAAUCCCAAUACAUGUCAUUCCUCCACCAGACCAUGCUAUCUGACCGAUGGUGCCAUUUACCCUGCUCGUGAUUGGUGCUCUCCUUCCACGCCUUUUCAACCUCUACCAGUCUACCAACUAAAUGUGAUCCCUCUACACAUGGGGAAUACGCUAGUUUAUAUAGGAGGUGACGGAGUGAUCAACAUUUUAGUAUGACCAGGACAUCAUCAUUGCUUCACCAAGGUUAAAAUGACAACUGUUGUGAUAAUUUAAUUCUACCAUGAGUUGUGUAGUUGCUGACACUUAUAAUACUCAUGGCAUAUCUAAACAUGAGAAACCCUUAGUUGAAAAUGUUCCUACCGAACCAUAGGAAUGAAGCCGUUCUGUCAUGCUAUUAUAAAUAGUGAUGGAUUAGGGUUUGAUGAGCCAUGUAUACAACCCUGUAGGAGUUAUCAUAUAUAUUACUCAAUACAAGUUUUUUCAAUCCUGUUUAGUUAUUUUCAAAUUAACUCUGUAAACAAAACACAUUGUUCUAGUGAAUUGACUGGCAAAUAUAGUCAAUGAAUAUUUUAUACACAUAAUAUUUUUGUACGGAAAUUUUAUGGUUUCAAUAAUUGAACCUAUUUUGGAACAUCAGUUGCCUUCUCCAGGUUUUCAGAGAGACGCGGUUAGAGUCUUGACACGAAUAUGAAGUAGAUCAUUUCACUAACUUAGUUACAACUGCGGGACAUCACAGCUAAACAAUUGACCUAGCAAUGAAAUCAACAUACAUAUUCAGUUACUUGGAUAGUUGGAUGUUCUUUGCUCAAAAAUUAACUUUGUUAAAAAGUACUUCAGAACUUGGACGCUUCGGACAUUAGUUGUCUUCUUCAGGGAUUCAUAGAUAUGACAGUUAUGUUGACAAGGAUAGGAAGUAGAAAAUUUCACCAACCUAGUUACAACUGCAAAAUAUUACAAUCAUCAAUUGCAGAUUGGAAGGCAUGCAUAUAUUGCUGCGAUCUCGGGUUGCCUCCCUCUUUCUCACUGAAAAGCUGAAUUUCAUUAAGAUCCGCAAUGAGAAGCCAUGGGUAACUGUGGUUCUGAUGGAGUUGUCGCAUACGUUCCCACGUUCUGUACUUAUGUUCCCAUUUAAAUUCACCAUACAUGCCAGUUAACCUCCUUGAGUUGUUAUUAGCAUCCUCCACCCUAACAUCAAUGAACAUCGGGUCAAGUGCCAAUCUGUGAAUCCUUACUUCCUUUUUCCAGAACAAAACCAAUCCACCUUUCCCCCAUCACUAACACAAACGAACUUAUGAUCCAUCUUCAACCUUUGUCUCAAACAUUCAGCCGGAUAGCUCUCCAAGCGUGUCACCGACAAGAACAUCACACCGACCUUACAUACUCGCUGGACAUCGAGCAGACCGCCGGGGCGUUCCCGAGCCUGUUACAAUUCCAUGCUAAAAUCUUCAUGGUAGUGGAAAAAACGGGACAAAAAACUCUCGGUCGGCAACACCGCUGGAGGACCACCAAACCCUAGUUUCAACUGCUAGGGGAUGACAAAUAUGGAGACGGAACACUCUGAUGAGGGUUAAGAGCAGAGUCUCGGAACCUCAAAAACCAAUGAAGAAGUUGCAGAACCGAUCCAGGCAAUCAGGGAAGUAAAUCACCAAGUUAACCUCAUAAGCCAUCUACCUCGUCUUAGGGAGAGAGACUAGCACCGAUGCUCAAAGGCGCCGAAUUGGGACAGCACAGGCGACGGCCACCGGCCAUGGAGGCGGCCUGCGGACCAGAGAAAACUUUAAUAUUGUGUUGUGGCACACGUGGUGAACUUGAUGAAGAGACGGCCGGUCACAUUAUGUUAACUAUUCACCCUACCCCUAUGAGCACAUUCGAGAGACUGAGCCGGCAUAUCAUUAUGAGAUUUACGAAGUCACCGUAGACACCUCGUUGUCGAUUGAAACGUCUCCUCCCACUGAAAGCGCAUCGUCGAAAAUCCUGAAAUAAAUUCAGGAAUAAUGCGAGCACCAGGACUUGAACCCUGGUGGGCUGGGGAUACCACUGUUCCUCUAACCAUUCAACCACGGGUUGGUCCGCAUUCAUUGGAGCUAUUGUUAUGUUAUUCUUAAUUGAGUGGUAUCUUAUUGUAUUUAACAACAACCAUAUUUACUCUGAAAAUAUGGAAAAGAAAAAGGGAAAUUAUCGGUGGGCUCCUUUUGAUGGGCCAGGAAAACCCACAAGCGACUAAAAUUGGCUUUUAAAUGCCCAAGCAUCAGUCCUAUCUCCUAUGCCUCCUUUUCUCAAAAAAAAUAAAAAAUCUCCUAUGCCUCCUUGUCAAAAAAAAUUGUAUAUGUGUCCCUCCUGAACUCUGCUAUCCAUCCACCCAUCCAACUCUCCUGUGUAAAAAUAAACCCAUGAUAAUUCGGUCGUCUUACUACUGGAUUUUCCAGUAGAAAUAUACAUAACCCUGAAUGCAACACCCGCAAAAACAAAACCCUGAAUGCAAAAGUAGAACAACCGAUACACAAUAUAUGCAUGUUCAACAGAAAUUAUCAUCCACUAUCCGAAAUGCAAACGCACCAGCACAAAAAGCCUUGAUUACCAAAAGAAAAGAUGAAGAACAUACACAAUGUGUGUACGUAACCAGUAACUAGUACCAACCGAGGCCACUCUUGUUUAAGGUGACCCUACUUGAGUCUUUGUCAUCAAUGUUCUUAUCUCGAAGCACAAAAAUAUUAGCAGGUUCAGUUCACGCCUCCUUCAGCAUGACGCCGAUUCCAAGAAGGAAAACGUUCCCAGCCGGAGCGCCGGCUGAACCGUUCCGCCGGUCGCGCUGGCACCGCUCGAUCAAUAGAGAUCGUGCGCUCGGCAGCCAAACCUUUUGUUUUUCUUGUUUCACCUUAUCCUCCCGUGAAACCGUUCUCCGCCCCUCAUUCUUUCUUCAUCCAAACUACUGCUGCCUUCUUCUAGCCACAACAGGGCGCUGCUCGUACCUCGCCGCCCCUGGUGCUCUCCUCGGCGGACUCGCCUUGUCUUUUUAUCACACCAUCUCCGGUGCCACGCAGGAACGGCGUUGCUGCUGAAGCCAACCACCGUUUUUUGCUGCCACACGUUAGCGACCCAACACACAACGUAGGAUCUACUGCUUGGGAGGGGCGAGCCACCGUCGGGGCCGGAGGUGACGCGAGCUGUCGGUGCUACGGGAUUGCUGUGAGCCGCAUAAACGCAUGGUCGACGGUGUCGCUGGCAAAUGCUACAACAUCGUACGACAGAAGCUACAACCAGUUCGCCCCGAUGCUACAACCCCGUACACCGGAGCUGCAACCCGGCGAGGCAUCGUCGACUAAUGCUACAAACAUUUAUCACAGAAGCUACAAGCACGUUCACCAAAGUUGCAACCUAGUUCGCCGGAGCUAUAGCCGAGCGAUGCCGUUGUUCCUGAAUGCUACAACCAUAUGUCGCAAGAGCUACAACAAGUUCAUGGAUAUGCUACAACCUCGUGCACUGCAGCUGCAACCGGCAAGGCGUCGUCGACGAAUGCUACAACCGUUUGCCAGAGAAGCUACAACUGUUAGACUAAGCUAGUUGGGUGGCUGGGCAGUUCUAGUCGUAGUUUCUUUUCUGCUGAAUAAUGUGUGUGCGCAUGGUGAUGUGACCGGCGCAUGCACGUAGGAGUAGGAGUGGUGUGCACUACGCACGACCCUCACGUUUUCUCUUUGUUUUUCUUUUUCUACCCUGGCUUUACUCCUGGUGGGACUUGGUCGCUGUGUGAUGUGGUCGUGGGAUGGCGCGGCCAUCACGGAUCAUGGCGAUCCCGCCGGGAGGUAGCGAGCUGGGGGUGGCUUCUGUAACAGAAUAACCAGAGGAGAAGAGAAUGCAGAAAAAGCUGCGAAGUUUGGCAGCGCAAAAACUCUCUCUCUCUAGCAAGUUCUUCUUCCUCUCUCACUCACGCUCGAUCCGGCAACGACAAUUGGCAUCAGAGCCCGGUGUUUGAUCCUGCUCCGGUGGCCGGCGGUGUCUGAUCCGCGGCGGCGCACAUAUGUCGGGCGACGAGUCGGACGGGAAGAGCAAGGGCGGCGCGAGAUCUCCAACGCAGUCGCCUUUGUCCAAGGCGCCGGUCGCCCGCCUCACUGGUAGCGGGAGCUGCGAGUUCCGCGUGGUGGAGCGCGUCGUGCGCGAGGAGUCGGGCGCGUCGCUGAUGCUCACCCGCACCAACUACCAGGAGUGGGCACUCCUGAUGCAAGUCAAGUUGCAGGUUGCCCGCGUCUGGACUGCGGUGAUCGGAGACGACGCCGAUGAGAACAACGACCGGCGCGCGCUGCAGAUUAUCCUCACCAGCGUCCCGCCGGAGAUGCUGCGCGUGCUGGCCGCGAAGGACACGGCGAAGGUGGCAUGGGAGACCAUCAAGACGAUGAGGAUGGGCAGCGCACGCGCCCGCGAGGCCAAGGCACAAGUGCGCCGGCGCGAAUUCGAGGAUCUCCGGCUCAAAGACGGAGAGUCCAUCGAGGAUUUCGGGCUGCGGCUCGCCGCCCUUGUCGCCGAUCUCGAGCUGUUCGGCGACCCCGUCACCGAGCACAAGGCCGUGCAGAAAUUCCUUCGGGUGGUGCCGCGCCGCUACCGGCCGAUGGCGAUGGCAAUCGAGUCACUCCUCGAUCUGAAGGCCAUGACUAUUGAGGAGCUCGUCGACCGCUUCUCUGCGUGUGAGGAUCACUAUGACCUUGACGACGGCGCGCAGACUGGCGGGCGCCUCCUGCUCACACACGAGGAGUGGUUGGCCCGUGAGAAGGUGGGCAGUGGUGGUGGUUCGUCGUCUGGGGGCGGCGGUGGCAACACCGGCAAGAACAAGGCGCACGCCAAGGCCAAGUCUGUAGGCGGUGGCAAGGGCGCACCGGGGAGCACAAGCGCGGGCGGCUCCGGCGGAUCUGGCGGCAAGAAGAAGAAAGGGAAGUGCCAUCACUGCGGCAUUCCAGGGCACUGGAAGAAGGAGUGCCGAACCUGGCUCCGCGAGCAGGAGCAGAAGGGCAAACAGGAGCAGGCCAAUCUUGUUGAAGCCCACGCCGAGCACGAUCAAGGCCUCUACAUGGCUGUGGUCACCACCGUAGAUGCCUCGUAGCUCGUGGCACCCCAAGAGGUGUACCUCAACGUGGAAAAGGUCAUGCCCGUGCCCUCUCCGGACGGAGUGUGGUUCUUUGACACGGGAGCCAGCAGCCACAUGAUGGGAGAUAGGGGCGUCUUCGCGUCCCUGGAUGAGACAGUGCACGGAACAGUGAGGUUCGGUGAUGGAUCUCUUGUGGCCAUCCGCGGACGAGUCACGGUGGUGUUUCGCUGCCAGGGUGGUGACCAGCGUGCACUUGCAGGCGUCUUCUUCAUCCCGAGCCUUCGCACGAACAUUGUUUCAGUUGACCAGCUAGACGAGGGGGGCUGCAUCAUCAGUAUACAAGACGGGCUCAUGAUCAUCAGAGACCCAGCUCGACGCACACUGGCAAGCAUCAGGCGGUCAGGCAACCAUCUGUACACCGGCGUCCUCACCAUGGACGCACCUACCUAUCUGUUGGCACAAGGAGACGACCCGACAUGGCGUUGGCACGCACGCAUGGGCCAGCUUCACUUCCGCGCCCUCCGAGCCAUGUCCACAAAGCAAAUGGUGCGUGGAAUGCCCGUGAUCGACCGUGUCGAGCAGUACUGUGACGGGUGCGCUCUUGGGAAGCAGCACCGCACACCGUUCCCGCAGUGCUCCGCAUACCACGCAGAGCGCGGACUAGAGCUCGUGCACACGGAUCUCUGCGGCCCCAUCGAGCCGACCACGCCAGGAGGUAACAAGUAUUUCCUUCUGAUCAUCGAUGAUUACAGCCGUUACAUGUGGCUAGAGCUCUUGAGGUACAAAGACGAAGCCUUUCAGUGCUUCAAGAAAGUCCAAGCGCAGGCCGAGGCCACCGGCAACUGCAAGCUGCGCGCGUUCCGAUCAGACCACGGCGGCAAGUUCAAUUCAGGGGAAUUCAAGGCAUACUGCGAGCAGCUGGGUGUCAAGCACUUUACGACCGCUCCCUACUCACCACAGCAGAACGGAGUUGUGGAGCGAUGCAAUCAAACGGUGGUCGAGAUGGCGAGAUGCAUGAUGAAGAGCAUGGAGAUGCCGGCGUUCUUCUGGGCCGAGGCGGUGCGGACCGCGGUGUACGUACUCAACCGCGCUCCUACUCGAAUCCUGGAGGGUGUCACGCCGUAUGAGGCGUGGCACGGCCGUAAACCCGCUGUGCAUCAUUUGCGCACAUUUGGGUGCACGGUUCAUGUCAAGCGUGUCGGCCCUGGAAUCUCCAAGCUCAGCGAUCGCUCGACUCCGAUGGUUUUCGUCGGGUAUGAAGAGGGCUCCAAAGCUUAUCGCAUCUACAACCCAGCAAGCAAGAAAGUGCAGGUGACAAGGGAUGUGGUGUUCGAGGAGUCAAGGCCGUGGGCGUGGCGUGUGUCGGGCGCGGCGGAGGUGUACACUGCACCGACAACGUUCACCGUGGUUUACACCAUGGACCCCGGCGUCCAUGAAGUCGACCGCGGCACGCCUGGUUCCCCCAGCACGCCGCACUCUCCAACCACUCCCUCGACGCCUGCGUCGAGUGGCUCGCCCUCCGGCAUGUCUACGCCUGGGGGGAGCGCGCUCGCGACACCAUCAUCGUCCGAGACGUCCACGCCCGGGGGUAGCGCCCUUGGGACAUCACAGUCUGAGCCGGCGACGCCUGAUGGGGGUCGUGAGAUCCGCUGGGCCACGCCACUCACUCAUGAUGAGAACCGUCGUGAUGUAGACACUGGCAACAUCCCCUACCGGCGCCUCUCGUGCAUCCUCGAUGAAACAGAAGGGGAUGCGGUACGUGAAGCCAUGGAGCACUGUCUUCUCAGUGCGGAGGAACCAGCUGACAUUGUUGAGGCCCUGGACAGCGCGUCUUGGAAACAAGCAAUGGAUGCAGAGAUGGACGCGAUCGCGGAGAGUGGCACCUGGCAACUCACCCCUCUACCUUGCGGGCACAAGCCGAUCGGCCUCAAGUGGGUUUAUAAGGUGAAACGCGACCCCGAUGGGAACAUUGUCAAGCACAAGGCCAGGCUGGUGGCCAAAGGCUACGCUCAACGGGAAGGCGUGGACUUUGAGGAAGUCUUCGCACCCGUGGCGCGAAUGGAGACCGUGCGCCUCUUCCUCGCUCUCGCCACGCACUCCGGAUGGGAAGUUCAUCAUAUGGAUGUAAAGUCUGCUUUUCUGAAUGGCGAUCUGGCGGAGGAAGUGUACGUCGUGCAGCCACCGGGGUAUGUCGUCGCUGGGCAAGAGGGGGAGGUGCUGAAACUGAGCAAGGCUCUGUACGGGCUGCGACAGGCACCCAGAUCUUGGUAUGCUAAACUGGAUGAAAGUCUCUGCGCACUUGGAUUCAGAAGAAGCCCUCUGGAGCACGCAGUUUACCGACGCGGAGAUGCUCGAUCCUUUCUGCUCGUGGGAGUGUACGUUGAUGAUCUGAUCAUCACAGGUACUGAUACAGAGCAUAUCGCAGAGUUCAAAGAUCAAAUGCUAAAGCUUUUCAAGAUGAGUGACCUUGGUCUCCUAACCUACUACCUGGGGAUCGAAGUAACUCAGUCCAAAGGAGAGAUUACCUUGUGUCAGUGAGGAUAUGCAGAGAAGAUCAUUGAGCAGGCUGGGAUGGCUGGAUGCAAUCGUUGUUACACCCCCAUGGAGUGCAGACUGAAGCUGAAGAAAGAAGAUGAUGCAAAACCUUUUGAUCCAUCCCUCUACCGCAACAUAAUUGGCAGUCUAAGGUAUCUUGUACACUCAAGGCCAGAUAUCACACAUGCUGUUGGAAUUGUAAGCAGAUUCAUGGAAAAACCAACAAGCACACACUGGACAGCUGUUAAGCAAAUCCUCAGGUAUGUGCAAGGGACUUUGAGCUAUGGAUGUCAUUAUGUGCGUGGAGGGAGUGGAGACAUUUUGGGAUAGAGUGACAGCGAUCAUGCAGGAGACGUGGGAGAUCGCAAGAGCACCUCGGGGCAUAUCUUAUUUCUCGGUAAGAAUCCAAUUACUUGGACCUCCCAGAAGCAGAAAGUGGUGGCGAUUAGCUCGUGUGAGGCUGAGUAUGUAGCAGCUGCUGCAGCAACCUGCCAAGGUCUCUGGCUUAGCAGACUGAUCUCAGAGAUGAAGGGAGUAGAUCCAGGGAAGUUCAAACUUUUGAUCGACAACAAGUCAGCCAUUGCUUUGGCAAAGAAUCCUGUCCAUCACGAUCGCAGUAAGCAUAUCGAUGUGAAGUUCCACUUCAUUAGAGAUUGCAUUGAGCAAGGAUAGGUGGAGGUUGAUCAUGUUGGAACUGAACAACAGCUUGCUGACAUUCUGACCAAAGCUCUUGGGCGUGUGCGCUUUGUGGACAUGAGGCAGAAGAUGGGCGUCAGUGAAAUCAUCAAAUGCCAACAAGCUUAAGGGGGAGAUUUGUUAGACUAAGCUAGUUGGGUGGCUGGGCAGUUCUAGUCAUAGUUUCUUUUCUGCUGAAUAAUGUGUGUGUGCAUGGUGAUGUGACCGGCGCAUGCACGUAGGAGUAGGAGUGGUGUGCACUACGCACGACCCUCACAUUUUCUCUUUGUUUUUCUUUUUCUACCUUGGCUUUACUCCUGGUGGGACUUGGUCGCUGUGUGAUGUGGUCGUGGGAUGGCGCGGCCAUCACGGAUCAUGGUGAUCCCGCCGGGAGGUAGCGAGCUGGGGGUGGCUUCUGUAACAGAAUAACCAGAGGAGAAGAGAACGCAGAAAAAGCUGCGAAGUUUGGCAGCGCAAACUCUCUCUCUCUUUCUUCUUCCUCUCUCACUCACGCUCGAUCCGGCAACGACAACAACGUAGCCGGGCGAUGCCGUCGUCCGCUAAUGCUACAACCAUGUGCCCCAGGAGCUACAACCGGCUCGCGGCAAUGCUACAACCAUUCAAACGAGAGAUGCAAUGGGCGAAGCUGUCGUGGAAGGAUGCUACAACCGUGCACCGUAGAAGCUACAACCAUAUUCGCGAGAGCUUCAACCAUCGGCGAUGCUACAUAUGUGUACGCGACGGCUGCUAUCGGUGACGCCCGUCCCCGGCGAGGCUGCGGGAGCACACAGGACUUGCCUAUGUUGGAACCGGCGAUGGUGUAGGUUUCAACGGCGAAGACUGCUACCUGCUGUGUGCAGGAGUCCGUGAGCCAUGGCAGCAUAGAGUAGUUGUGCUUCAGGGAUCAGGCUACGGUGAUGCGCAAGCGGGUGACCACGCCUGCAGCGAGCCUGCACACCAUACGGGGGAACCAAUGCUGCUGCUGUGAGAGGAGGAGGUGCGGGGGGAUUUUUCUUCGGUGACGAUGCUAGAUGAGGAAGACGACCAAAUCAACAGGGGAAGCACAUCGUGGGCGUUGGUGCAUGUGGAAUCCUAUGGUCCUGGGGCGACCGGCCGAAUUGUUGGGCCGGCGCGCCGGCGCCUAGCAUCGGCCUUCCAAGAAGGUCAUUCUCCUAGCUGCACAUCAUGCUAAAUUGGUAAAACAGAAAUGCGACGACAUAUGAAACGAAAGAAAGAACAAAGAAAGAAACCUCCUCCUCCCGCACCGCCCCCGCGUGGUGACGGGGAGGGGCCUUUGAUCUGCGCCGCCGGUUGCCUCCUCCUGCCUCCCCCUCCCUCGCCGCCAGCGUAGCCUGAUCAAUGUCGUCGCCGNNNNNNNNNNNNNNNNNNNNNNNNNNNNNNNNNNNNNNNNNNNNNNNNNNNNNNNNNNNNNNNNNNNNNNNNNNNNNNNNNNNNNNNNNNNNNNNNNNNNNNNNNNNNNNNNNNNNNNNNNNNNNNNNNNNNNNNNNNNNNNNNNNNNNNNNNNNNNNNNNNNNNNNNNNNNNNNNNNNNNNNNNNNNNNNNNNNNNNNNNNNNNNNNNNNNNNNNNNNNNNNNNNNNGACUCGCCACCGUGGGUGAUGCGGUAGUGUGGAGGAUUUCGUGGCAGUGGCGACCCGGGGUGGCGGCCCUGGAAGGUGGUUGUCGGUGUCAAAACCGGCGGAUCUCGGGUAGGGAGUCCCGAACUGUGCGUCUAGGCCGGAUGGUAACAGGAGGCAGGGGACACGAAGUUUUACCCAGGUUCGGGCCCUCUCGAUGGAGGUAAAACCCUACGUCCUGCUUGAUUAAUAUUGAUGAUAUGGGUAAUACAAGAGUUGAUCUACCACGAGAUCAGAGAGGCUAAACCCUAGAAGCUAUCCUAUGGUAUGAUUGUUGAUGUGUAUGUUGUCCUACGGACUAGAACCCUCCGGUUUAUAUAGACACCGGAUAGGGUUAGGGUUACAUAGAGUCGGUUACAAUGGUAGGAGAUCUGAACAUCCGUAUCACCAAGCUUGCCUUCCACGCCAAGGAAAAUCCCUUCUGGACACGGGACGGAGUCUUCAAUCUUGUACCUUCAUAGUCCAGGAGUCCGGCUGAAGGUAUAGUUCAGCCAUCCAAACACCCCCUAAUCCAGGACUCCCUCAGUAGCCCUCGAACCAUGCUUCAAUGACGAUGAGUCCGGCGCGCAGAUUGUCUUCGGCAUUGCAAGGCGGGUUCUCCUCCAAGUGCCGUGUACCUGUUUGAAUAAAGUCCGGUUUCUUGUAGAUGUUGCACUCCUUGGCUUCUACGCCCAAUAAUGGUCGUUUUCCACGUGUCAAACGAAUAUGAAAAGUCUGAGUGUUUUUACGUUCACACCCCUAGCCGUGUAAAUGAGUUGCCCUUUUUAAGGGGAUGAGGAUUUAGAUCCAAUCCACACCUUCUCCUCUCCACGAGUGUUCAUCAGAGCGCAUCCGACAAAGAUCCAUUCCACCAUGGCCAGCCGCCGCAACUCCUCCCCUCGCCCUCCUAGCCCUAAGCAUGGAUAUUGGGAGAGAUGUUCUACUCCGCAUAGCGAGCUAGUGACGCUUUAGACCCAGGGAUUUCUCCCCCCGGCCUAUAUGGUCCCGGUCCGAGCCGGUCUUGCCGUCUACAACGGCGGAGAGCAAGCAGAGAAUGCCCCUAAUCCAUCCAAAGGAGAGCGGGUGUGCCUUGUUCCUUACUUAAUAAGGGGCCUCGGAUUUCCCAUCCACCCGUUUCUCCGGGGGCUGCUGGAGUUCUACGGCCUCCAGCUACAUCAUCUCACGCCUCCCUUAGUAUUGCAUAUCACGGGCUUUGUAGCCUUCUGCGAGCUGUUCUUGGGUAUGGAAACUCAUUUCGGACUGUGGAAGGAGCUAUUUUGUCUCGUGCCCUGUUCUAAGAAAGGGCCAAUGUAUCAAGUGGGCGGAGCCGAAGUAUGGCGCAUCGCCGGGACCGGAUAUCUGUCCGGAACCCCAAAGAAGGCGUCCGAAGACUGCCCUCGGAAUGGUUCUAUAUAGAAGACGUCCCGCUGCCGGAUCCUAUCCGGAUCGGCCUUCCAGAGUUUGAUAAUGCUCCUUUAAAGAAGCGCCUAAGCUGGCGUCCACAGAGCCCUCAAAGGGAAAGUGACAGGGACAUCGUUUAUCUCAUGGGCCGAAUAAGAUUGUUAGCCCAUUCCGGACUAACCAUGAUCGGAGUUAUGGCCGAAUGCAUCAUGCGGGGGGUGCAGCCGCUUCAGUACAGAAGCCACCCCAUGUGGGAUUUCAACGGGUAGGACGACGCCACCCGCUGCGGCCGUAAAGGGCCAGAUUCAGUUGCCGCUCUAUUAAAGAUCUUGUCCACUUUGUACAAGGGAGAAGAGGAGGAAUUUCUCCGCGUCAACCGACAGGGUGGAUUCUCUAUGCACAAUCCCCCAAGCUGGGUAAGUGGUCGCAUUUACUUGCUCAUCUGUUUAGUGUUCCCAUUGUUAAAUACUUAGUCUGAUGACUUCAACGUAGGAACUGCGCUGGGCCGUUAAGGACAUAAGCAGCCCGCCUCCACAACCCGAGGACUCAGGAUGGUCUCUCAAUCCGGCCUCUCAAGAGGAUCCGGACAUAUCUGUGGAGCUGAUUGAUGGAGUGUUCCAUCAAUUGAGCGAGGACAACGCCCUGGUGGCCAUUACGGCCGAUUACCCAGGUCUAAUCCGAACACCCCAGGUACCUGAGACCAAAGUCCCUGUACCCCGGACAGGGGUCCGUCCACGCGUGUUUAAUUUCCUGAUUGCAACCGAACUUGCAGGGGAGGUUUUUGAGGCAGAAGGCCGAACCUGCGGCGGCAAACCAACCAGGGGCCGCAGGGCCCCAUGGGCAGAAAAGAGGUGUAGUCCGGACCGAGGCAUCAGCGCGAAGGUAAGGCACGCCCCUUUAUCUUAGUUGUUAUAACUUCGAGGCACAUUUGACACUCGUGCCCUUUUCAGGACAAAGAGACCUCGCCGGACUAUAUUCGGAGAGGCUGCUAAUCGCGCCUCCACCAGCCAGGCUCCAAAGCCCGGUCCGGGGGCGGAAGCGAGCGCGAGGCGUGUGCCAGACGUUCCUCCGACGGAGGAUGCGGACGGGUUAUCUGCCACCAACUCAGAGGUGGAAAGUGCCAUGAACCACAGAUGUCGCCGGACAAUUCUUCGCGACGCUUGCUUCUCCCAAGAGGCAUUAGAUGCCUUCAAUUCGGGAGAUGCACACCUCCGUGCUGCUCAAAAUGGUCUAGCCAGAGCCACGGAGCAAUAUGUAAAAGACAUACGGGUAAGAAAAUUUUGGUAGAUAUAUAUGUAGCAGCAGCCCCCGAGACUGAAUACAGUUAGAAUAACUGGUUUAAGGAUCAUUUGAAAUGCAGGUUCUUACAGAAAAGAAUUCCCUACUGACCUAGGAGCUGGACGAGUGCAAAGCCCAACUGGAGGCCGCACUGGCCGCGGCGGGGGAGCCUAAGGAGACCCCCUCUGGUAAUAUACAUUUCAAAAGAUAAGUAUGUGGCAAAGCACGGCUUUUGUGCGAAUCUGACAAAUAAAAUUGCAGAUGGCGCCGGAUUGAAUCCGUAAAGGCAACACCUCGAACGCCAACUAAGGGCUGGUGAGAGGGUGCUGUUAAAGGUGAUGGGGGAGAAGAACGUUCUCCAAGAUGCCAACACCCGGCUGGGCGUCGAGCUAAAAGAUGUUCGUGCCCAGCUGUCAGACUCCGUGAAGGAGAAUCAGCGGCUUCGGCGUGGCAUAUUUAGUAAGUGCUUGAACGAACCUUUUAAAGGAAAGUUCGGCGAUGCCGUUGAUUAAUAGAGCAAUAUCCGUAGGUAUGUUAACAGGUCGUCCUGCAGAGGAGAUGCCCGGUUCUACGGGUGACCUUCUACCCGAGCUCUUGCAAUUGCUCGAUCGAGUUCGGCAGGCGAUGCGAGGCGUCGCCCAGGUCCUGUGGCCAUCCGUCUCCACACCCGAAGGUCUUGGAGAGCUUGCGGAGAAGUUGAGGGGAGCACGGCGGUGCUUUAAGUUGUGGAAGAUAUCAACCUGCCAUCAAGGCGCUAGGGAGGCCUGGGCCAUGGUGAAGACGCGGUAUUGACAGGCCGACCCUAACCAUAUGGCCGAGGUUGGUCCUAUAGGGCCCGAUGGGAAGGAGAUCCCUGUAAGCUUAGUGUACGGCCAAGUAAAGUUGGCCGCAAAGUACUCCCAGUAGGACUGUAAAUUAGACAGCCUGUUAGAUGGUAUUAAAGAGGAAUAGAAUCAGUCAAAAUGACUAUGUAAUCGAAUUGACACUUAUAAUGCCUUCUAGCCGGAUUGUAGAUCAUUUAUCAUGGCCGACCUUUUCGCUUCAACCUCGGGGCCUGACGGUUUAGAGUGUGUCCGAAUUCCCAUGCGGUUAUAUAGGAACCGGGGAAUGCGUGGAGACCAGGCGUAGGGGUCAUUAGUGCGUGAACAGACAAGUGCCUGACUAGUUAUGUUAUAUUACAUGGUUAGUAAGAAACAUUUUCCAGGGAGAAUAGUUUCGUUAGGGGUUCCUUUACCUGGGGGGCAUGCCCUAAAGUGCAUGUCCAUGCUGCGAAAAGAAACGCAAGAAAAACGCCUGGGGCACAUAGAUAAAGAAAAAGAUCAUCUUUAGUUCACCGACCGAAUAUUCUCUUAAGAACUCUAGCUUUCGGCUUCACCCAGUCUGAGGUACACGUCCGGCUGAUCCGGCAGUAACAAUCGCAGAGGUGCUCCCUUUACCACCUAGCCUAAUAAUCGGGAACGUAGGGGUAAGCACAGGAGCCAGGCAACCCAGCUUGGCCAAACUUAAGUCAUAUCGAUGCAUAUGAUGGUGAAUAAAAGGUACAUGCGGAAGUUUGACACAUGUGUUAGGCAUGAAGCCCGUAUAAAUAAGCUUCUGUUUAAAGAAGCCCUCAGGUUUACUGAGCGCGGAUAGCGCGUCAAUUUGUGAGCCUUUAAAGGUUAUAAGAGAGAGAAAAAGGGAGAAGGAGAGAAAUGUACGACGGACAGUAUAUAAAAAAUGGACAGAGUAAGGAGACGAACACAGGGUCCGGCGCUAGGCAUAGAAUCUUCGGAGACGGGCUGCGUUCCAUGGGUUCGGCUCGAGUCGGUUAUCCGAUGCGUUUCGCAGGCGGUACGCUCCACCAGUCAGGACUUGGUCAAUUAUGAAGGGACCUUCCCACUUGGGAUUGAGUUUGUCCUUUUUCUUGUCCGGCAGGCGUAGAACUAAUUCGCCAACGUUGUAAUUUUUGGCCCGUACUUCUCUGCUUUGGUAUCUUCGAGCUUGCUGUUGAUAGAAUGCGGAACGGGCUUUCGCCACAUCACGCUCCUCCUCUAAUGCGUCCAAACUGUCCUGCCGAUCGAGCUCGGCUUCUCUUUCCUCGUACAUGCGCACUCGAGGUGAGUCAUGAAUUAUGUCGCAAGGCAGAACUGCCUCUGCGCCGUACACCAUGAAGAAUGGUGUGUAUCCGGUGGUGCGAUUCGGCGUGGUCCGCAGCCCUCAGAGUAUGGAGUCGAGCUCCUCUACCCAGUGCGUGUUAGAUUCCUUGAGGGACCGCACUAGUCUGGGUUUAUUGCCGCUCAUGAUAAGACCAUUUGCAUGUUCGACCUGGCCGUUAGUUUGUGGGUGAUAGACGGAAGCAUAAUCGAGCUUUAUGCCCAUGUUGUUGCACCAGAGUUUUACCUCGUCGGACAUAAAGUUCGUGCCAUUAUCAGUGAUGAUGUUGUGGGGGAUGCCGUAACGGUGUAUGACCUCGGAUAUGAAGUCUAACACAGGUCCGGAUUCGGCCGUCUUAACAGGCUUGGCUUCUAUCCAUUUGGUGAACUUAUCCACCAUGACCAGUAAGUAUUUGUGCUUGUGGGUUCCGCCUUUAAGGGGUCCAACCAUAUCAAGCCCCCAGACCGCAAAGGGCCAAGUGAUGGGGAUAGUUUGGAGGGUGGUGGGUGGCAUAUGGCUUUGGUUUGCAAAGAGCUGGCAGCCGGUGCAUCGUUGGACUAAGUCCUGAGCGUCUGCCCGGGCCGUCGGCCAAUCAAAGCCAGUACGGAAGGCCUUGCUUACCAGAGACCGGGCUGCAGCGUGAUGACCGCCGAGUCCGGCAUGGAUUUCAGCCAGGAGAUUCUGCCCCUCCUCUUCGGAGAUGCACCUUUGAAGGACUCCGGUAGUGCUUUUCUUAUAAAGCUCUCCCUUGUGGACUCUGUAGGCUUUGGAUUGCCGCACUAUGCAGCGUGCCUCAUUUUGGUCCUCGGGGAGUUCUUGCCUAGUAAGGUAGGCGAGGAAUGGUUCUGUCCACGGGGCGAUGAUGGCCAUUAUUACGUGGGCUGAAGGUGUUAUUUCAAUGGCAGAGCCUCCGAUUGUGUCAGAAUGUUCGGUGUCGGGCAGUGCGGUUGGGUCUGGGCUGUUAUUGUUUGGCUCCCCUUCCCAUGCCACGGAUGGCUUGAAAAGCCUUUCCAAGAAGAUGUUGGGGGGGACUACAUCGCGUUUUGCGCCGAUGCGUGUCAGGACAUCCGCCGCCUGAUUGUUUUCCCGGGCUAUAUGGUGAAAUUCAAGUCCCUCGAACCGAGCUGACAAUUUUAGGACGGCGUUGCGGUAAGCUGCCAUUUUCGGAUCCUUGGCAUCGAAGUCUCCGUUUAUUUGGGAGAUUGUGAGGUUCGAGUCCCCUCGCACCUCUAGGCGUUGGAUGCCCAUGGAUACUGUCAUCCGGAGACCAUGUAGAAGGGCCUCAUAUUCGGCCGCAUUGUUGGAGUCCAUGUACAGAAUCUGUAGUACGUAUUGAACUGUGUCUCCUGUGGGGGACGUCAAACGACGCCAGCCCCACUACAUCACGCCCUAGAUUUCCCUACCGCUGUGUGUUGGAAAAAGUUUCUUUCCCCAACGGACUGUUGGUCGGAAAAAUUUCUAUCAAACUGUUGGUCGGUAAUACUUAUGUAGCACGACCAACCGUCGGUCGGGAAUACUUUGAUAUUUGACGUCCGACUGUCGGUCGGGAAAGCUCUUGUUUCCAUCACACUGUUGGUCGGCGAAUAUUGCCGACCGACUGUUAGUUGCGAAUUGGGCCGGCCCAUCGUUGCGCGCGACCGGGCCGAAAACUUAGCGCCGACCCCCCCCCCCCUCGUCCUUUUCUAUUCGGCCUACAGGUGUCACGACCGCGUCCAAAUUCCCCAAACCAAAUCCUCAUGCGCGCUCCCUCCCCCCUUCCCNNNNNNNNNNNNNNNNNNNNNNNNNNNNNNNNNNNNNNNNNNNNNNNNNNNNNNNNNNNNNNNNNNNNNNNNNNNNNNNNNNNNNNNNNNNNNNNNNNNNNNNNNNNNNNNNNNNNNNNNCGACCGCUAGCAAUCUAGCAGCCCACACGCCGUCGGCCGUCGCCAGCACGGCCUCACCGCGGCAGCGAGGUUUCAGCCCUGCCCCCUUCAUCCUCAGGCACCCCCAAUGCUAACACUUUUAACCCUCGGGCCGCAUGUUCUCGAAGUCAGAGCACCGACGCUGAGAGGCCAAGGAGCGGUGGUGAACGCCGCCACCCCUCUCAGAUCCGGGGGUGAGAUAGAGAGGUGGGUCACCUGGGAGAGGGAGAACUAGCCCCCGCUCUCGUCACCAUGGCGCCUCCACCGCCGCCGCCACGCCAGGGGCCUCCAUCGAUCUGCACUCGCCGGAUCUGUUCAAGGAGAAUCUGGCCAUUGACUGCCGGUGCUUUCCCUCCCCCGACGGUGAGUGGUAUUUUCCCUCCCCUGCUCCCUCUCCACCCCUUCCCAAUCAGUGCUACCGUGGUUUGAUUUGUUCCAUUUCCUUUUUCUCUUCAGAUCCGCCAUGACUUGUGGUAAUUCUUCUAUCCAGCAAGCAGCUCUUCGGUUGGGAGUUGGAGCAGAAUGUAAGAUUUGGUUUAGGUUAUACGGUAUUUUGUUUAACUGUCCAGAAUCUAUUAAACAAUUGCAAAUUUGUACUACUAAUUCUUAUAGUGAAAAGUUAGACGUCAGGUCAUGGUUUGACAGGUGUAAGGUUGUGGUUUGGUAGUUUCUAGCGAUUCUGUAGUAUAAUCGAUAAAAUCUAGUAGACAUACAAGAGUAUGAAAUUUGGCUUUAUGCUCUUCUUUCCUGAUGAUGACUUCGGCGGCAAUUUUAUUUUCUUCUAUUGCUUUUAAUGUUUGUCUGCAGUGGCGGAGCUACAAAGAAAAGCCUGGGCGGGCCAAUCUAAAAAAACACGAAAAAAAUUCAACCCAAGGAAAGGAUGAUGAGCUGCUGCUGAAAAGUCUUCCUCAACUUAAUCUGUAACGUACAUCUCUUUUUUCACUUGAAAACCAAAUCGAUUUUGCAUUGAUCAGCCUUGCUACCCAGUGCCUAUGGAAAUUAUCUACUAUCCAAAUUAGGAUGUGUAUUAUCAAUUCACUGAAUUUCGGAGUGCUAUAGCCUACAUUUUAUAGGAAAAUUAGACUGCCUGGGAGAUGAGAGUUUGUGGGUUGUGCAUGUGCCUGUGCUAGUGCAGCAGCGCUCGUCGCCUAGGUCUGCACUUGCCGUCACCCGACUGGGCGCAGCCGCUGCUAGCUGCCGCCUGGGGCGUGGCCAAGCCACCGCGGCAUGGGUCGCCCUGGAGCAUCCGCAGUCCGCAUCGCUCUAGUUCUACGCUGCUACUCGCUGCGGCCGUCAGCUGGACCUUAAUUUGCGGCUCCGCCCCACCUCUCUCUAUCCCUCUGUGCAGCUGUACGUGUGGCUCGUGCCCUAGCAUGGAGGGCGACUGAGGCUGGAUGCAAGGAGAGAAGCCUGACGAGGCGAGACAGCAUGCGAGUGAGGUAGUCGUGGGCUGGCCUGCACGUAUAUAGCUAUAUUUUUACCUCAGCGGCUGGGCGGGCCAUGGCACGCUUUUGCCCUCACGACGCUCCGCCAGUGGUCUGCACCAUUCGAGCUAGCAUGUUUUGCACCAAGAAAUUAAAGUGCACAGUGUUUUUUCAUCAAAUAUUCAUCUAUAGGCGUAUGACCUUUAUUUUGUUUAUUAAAGGCAGAACCAAUUGGCAGGCGCAACAGCUGCACCAUUUAUGUAGGCAACCACCCUGCAGACAUUCUUAAGAGGGAGGUUGAGGAUAUCUUUUACACGGUCCAUAUUCAAUUUUGUGUAAUGAUUUUGGCAUUAGCUUUCCUUGUGGCUUUGGCAAUUAUGUAAAGAUAAUUGACUAUAUCACAAACUAAUGAAGUUUUUGACCAAGUUUUCACUGUAAGUUGUACAUAGUAAGGAAACUAUGCUAUAGGUUGCAGCUCAUUUACAAGGCAUUGUAAGGAAUUAAAAUCGAUUUAUUCAUGCCUUAAUUUUAUUUAUCAUUAUGCAGCAUAGACGUAUUGUGGAUAUUGACUUGAAGAUUCCUCCAUGACCUCCUGGUUAUGCUUUUCUUGAGGUUAGUAUUUUGUCAUGGUCAUGUAGAAUUUUCACUGUAAUGUGAGGCUUGUACUUAGAAUUUGUAAUAGAAGUCUUAUUGUUAUUAUUUGGGAUUCAAAAUAGUCUCUUAACUAUGUGUAUAAUUUUUGGGUUGAUAUAACUAAUGAUCUUUUUAGUCCGAGGAUCCUUGUGAUGCCGAUGAUUUAAUUUAUGGUCGUGAUGGGUAUGACUUUGAUGGCUACGGGCUGCGGGUAUGCAUGUAGUGCAUGUUGCCUUUUUUUUGCUGAAAGCAAAGACUGAUUUCUGGUGCCUGUUUUUUUAAAAGGUAUUUCUCAGGUGGAAUUCACAUAUCAUGGUAUUCCUGUAUCGCGCACAUAUUGUCAUAUCAUGGUAUUCUUAUCUUGCACGCAUAUCGGAUACAUAUUUGGAAGUAGCAAAAUGUACUGGUGGUAUAACUGCAUAUAUACAUGUAUUGUUCAUAUGCAUUGUAUGUUUCUCUAAUGUGUUCUUGUAAUAUAAUUGUUUUACAAGCACACAAACUGAGUUUCAGAUCUUUAUUUUAUAUAUAGGUCUUAGAUUUCAAUUAUAGGUCCUACAUUUUGAUUAAAAACACAAAUGUAGAGUUGUAGGGAUUUUUAGUUCUGGAUUAUUUACCUCUCAUGUCGUGGACUACAAAUAUUGUGGUUGGACGAGAACAUUUUUUUGUUGUAUUUUAAGUCAAUGCAGACUGUUGUAGUUUUGAUAUCAUGAUAUCUGUUUUGUAAACAACCUUCGAUAACCUAGUGUUUUUGCUUGGGUUGGAUAAAAGAUACUUCUGGCGUAUAGCAGAAAACCCUGCUUGAUCGAAUGCUCUUGAUUUGUUUUCUUUUCUGCUGAAGCCUACUAUUUUAUGUUGUGCUUGUUUCCAAAUUCCGUUUGACAUACCUUUACAGUGCGCUGAUUUCCAUAGCUGCUAAACGUUUCCUGUAAUAUACCCUUAUUAUCCUCUAGGCUUGGUAAGAUCGGAUCUCAGCCUAAUGCUAGAGCUCUCUUCAGAUGGUUUCGACAAUUGAGCCUGACUCGGGAUAUCAGUCCUGAAUCUUUAUUUUUUUCUCGUGAAAUACUUACAACUUGGCAACUUGGCACGAGCCGCUAUUGCCUUGCGCUCUUGAAGAUAGUUGGUGAUUUUUCACGUGGGGAUUUCUAACAAGCAAUGACUAUGCCAUCUUUAAAGUUUCUAUUUGUUUUCUAGAUUUGUUUGUAAUCCUCCUGCUGCUGCUGUCUCUCUAAUUUCUAGACUUAUGAGGUUGUUGUGAAUGGUCUGAUUACAAGGGAUGCUACACUGCCUUAUCAGUAUGAUGGUUUAUGAUAUGUUGGCGAGGCUGUGCAAGGUCCAUUGCAUGGCCAUCUAGCAAGGUAAACACCAACCAUGUAUUCAGUAUAUUACUCCGAAUACCUUGAUAAUUUGUGUAAUGACCCUAUGCCAUUGCAGAAGUUCUUGUCAACAUCCUGUUGGGAAGGAAAUGCAUAAAGAACCUAGUAUUCGGUUGUCCGCAUCAAUUGGAUGAUUUUGUAAUGGAGGACAUUCCUUGCUAUUUGGAGAUGCUGCAUCUUUAGCUUUCAUUUUGUAAAACUGGAUCUAUGUCGUGUCUUUUGACACUCAACCAACAUGUGUAAUGCACUUAAUUAUCUUUGUUUUUGUAGCAAUCUAGGUGUAGUGACUCAUUAGAACGAAUGAACUAUUUGUAUGUGUGAUGAUCUAAUGUAUGAUGCUAUCAUUUUUUCCGUUGUGUCCUUCUGGAUUUAAGAUUAUGCAUGUUGGUAAUUUAUGGAUUUAAAUGUACAUCUUAUAUAGCAUGCAGAAUGUUGAUGUAGUGAGUGCACCAUGCUGUUGUGGUUGUUUGGAUGGCCCAACUGAAUGUUGGUCGGAAAAGAUUACCCUAUCUGAUAGUCCAUUGGGAAAGGCCCAUGGCAACCCUGAUAAAUUGUUGGUUGGGAAAGAUUAUCCUGUCUGAUAGUUGGUCGGGAAAGGCCCAUAGCAGACCCAAUGGACUGUUGGUCGGGAAAGGCCCAUGGCAGGCCCAACAGAAUGUUGGUCGGGAAAGAUGCUCCAUAGCCGACAAGCAGUCGGUCGGGAAAGGGUUUUCCCGUCUGGACUUACCCCAACAGACAUGAUCGGUCGGCAAUAGUUUUUCCCGACCGACUAGCAGUCGGCAGAAGCUGUUUUCCCAUCUAACUUGGUUGUGGGGAAUGCAGUGUCAUGGUGUAGUGCCCCCAGUCCAGCCAACAUUUUGGAGCCGUCGAAAUGCAUGAUUCAAUUUGAAUAUGUGCCGUACUCUCUAGGGAGUUCGGCCUCCGUCCAUUCUGCGACGAAGUCGGCCAAAACUUGUGACUUGAUGGCUCGUCGUGACUUAUAAGUUAUGUCGAACGGGAGGAACUCGAUGGCCCAUUUCGCAAUCCGGCCCGUUGCGUCACGGUUGUUUAUAAUGUCGUUAAGUGGUACUUAUGAGGCUACUGUUAUUGAACACUCUUGAAAGUAGUGUCGUAGCUUCCGGGAUGCCAUGAAUACCGCGUACGUAAUCUUUUGAUAAUGCGGGUACCGUGAUUUGCAGGGAGUGAGGACAGUGGACACAUAAUAGACCAGCCUUUGAAGGGGGAAUUUGUGUCCGUCCGCUUCUCGUUCGACGACGAGCACUGCAAUUAGCACCUGAUGUGUUGCUGCGAUGUACAAUAGCAUUGGUUCGCCGGUGUUUGGCGCGGCCAGGACUGGGUUUGUUGCCAGUAUGACUUUUAUUUCGCCGAGUCCGGCCGUAGCUGCGUCCGUCCAUUUGAAGUGGUCGGUGCACCGAAGGAGGCGGUAAAGGGGAUGGGCCUUUUCUCCUAAGCGGGAGAUAAAGCAGCUUAGAGCCGCCACACAUCCGGUUAACUUUUGUACUUGUUUGAGGUCCUUUGGGAUAUCCAGUUGCGACAGAGCUCGGAUCUUGGCUGGAUUUGCUUCAAUUCCUCUGCUGGAUACAAUGAAGCCCAAGAGCUUUCCGGCUGGAACGCCGAAAACGCAUUUUUCCGGGUUGAACUUGAUGUCGUAUGUUUGGAGAUUGUCAAAUGUGAGUCUCAAGUCGUCUACUAGAGAUUCAACAUGUCUUGUUUUGACGACCACAUCCACUGUUUUAGCGAUCUGGCUUGCCAAACAUGUCUGAAUCAUGCGCUGAUAUGUUGCGCCGGCGUUUUUGAGCCCGAAGGGCAUCGUGUUGAACCAGAAUGGCCCGUAUGGUGUGAUAAAUGCCGUUGCGGCUUGGUCUGGUUCUGCCAUCUUGAUUUGAUGGUAGCCAGAAUAUGCGUCGAGGAAACACAACGAAUCGUGUCCUGCGGUUGCAUCGAUAAUUUGAUCGAUGCGGGGGAAGGGGAAGGGAUCCUUUGGGCAAGCCUUGUUAAGGUCUUUAAAAUCAACACAUAGGCGCCAAGAUUUGUCCUUCUUUGGUACCAGGUUUGCUAGCCAGUCCGGAUGUUUUAUAUCUCUGAUGAAUUCGGCCUCUAAUAGCUUUGCUAGCUCCUCUCCCAUAGCCCGUCUCUUAGGUUUGGAAAAACACCGGAGAGCCUGUUUGACAAGUUUGAAUCCUGUUUGGAUAUUUAAGCUGUGCUCGGCCAGCCUGCGUGGGAUUCCUGGCAUGUCUGAAGGGUGCCAGGCGAAAAUGUCCCAGUUCUCUCGUAGGAACUCUCGUAAUGCGGCGUCUACAUCAGGGUUUAACUAUGCCCCGAUGGAAUGUUUUAUUGGGGUCCGUUGGAUGAACUUGGAUUUUGACUAUUUCGUCCGCUGGUUUAAAGGAGGUGGAUUUGGAUCUUUUGUGGAGUACCACAUCAUCCCUAUUCACCGUAGAGCGCAGCGUAGUCAGCUCCUCAGCCGCUAGGGCUUCGGAUAUUGCCUCGAGGGCCAGUGCGACUGUCUUGUUUUCGGCGCGGAGUGCUAUGUCCGGAUCACUAGCGAGAGUGAUGAUCCCGUUGGGCCCGGGCAUCUUGAGUUUCAUGUACCCGUAAUGGGGUAUUGCUUGGAAGAUUGUGAAUGCUUCCUGCCCUAGCAAAGCGUGAUAACCACUGCUGAACGGGGCCACGUGGAACGUGACUUCUUCGGACCUGUAAUUGUCCGGCGUGGCGAACACCACAUCUAGUGUGAUUUUUCCUGUACAGCGCGCUUCCCGACUAGGGAUUAUUCCUCUAAAGGUUGUGCUACUUCGCGUGAUGCGGUUCCAGUCUAUAUCCAUUUUUUGGAGAGUUUCCUCAUAGAUGAGGUUCAAUCCGCUGCCGCUGUCCAUGAGUACCUUGGUGAGACGAAAGUCGUCCACUAUUGGACUGAGGACCAAUGCGGCUGGUGCUCGGGCUGUUCGGAAUUUAGGUUCAUCACCGGCGUUGAAUGUAAUGGCCGUGUCACUCCAUGGGUUUAUUGUUGCUACUUGGUAUACUUCGGCAAGGCUGCAGAGUGUCCUUUUUCGCAUGUUAUUUGAUGCGAAGGUCUCGAAGACUGUUAAUACAGUAUUGGUGUCUCUGGGGUGGCUUUCUGUGGCCUCCGGGAUUAGGAGGUUUUCGCCAAUUUUGGCCACCUGCCGGAGUAUCCAACAUGCUCUAAGGUUGUGAGUUGGUGUGGCGUCCUCUGUACUAUGAAUUUUACAGGGUCCAUUAAGCCAUCCUUCCAGUACGGUUCCAUGCCCUGAAGAGGGUUUUUACCUUUUGGUGUUUGACCCGGGUGUCUGGCGAUGAUGCACCCUUUUAUUUCGGACUGGGCUUGCAUUAAGGGCCGGGUUGUCCCAAAAUUUUGUUUCAGUUUUCCGGGCACUUUCCAUCGCGUAGUACUUUCGUACUAUGGACGCUAAGUCAACGAAGCGUGUAAUAUCACCGCGACUUAUGGCGUUGAGUAUUCCCUUGUCCGUGCAAUUAUUGCAGAAGGAUGAAAUUGCGUCUUCCUCGUGGCAGCCCUUUAUCCUGUGCAUAACCAGGAGGAAUCUGGCCCAGUAAUGAUGUACUGUUUCUUUGGGCUCUUGCCUGAUUUGGGAUAGAUCGCUAAUGUUCGGGUGGGUGGGUGGAAUUGAAUCCGAAGCCUUACCCCUUCUGAGGCUCAGAGGCGGAGGAAUUUCUGAACUCAAAAAUUUGGAUUCCUGGGUAUCGUCCAAUGAAUCCAGUCCGUCGCUUGAUUCUCGGUUCAGAUCUUGAGUGAUAUCCUGCCCUCCGCGGACAUCCGGCUUGGAGGGAUCGGGAAUCCGGACUUAGAGAGUCCUUAGGAUAGAUGAAGGGUCGCCGCACUGUCCUUCUACCACAGCAACGUGAUGGGUGGCUUGGGGAGAGUUAACCUCUCUCAGAUCGGUUUUAGGCCCAAUCUGGUCGUAAUCCGUAGCAACUCUCAGGGUGGCGAAGCGAUCCACGAGCUCGUUUAUGGAGGAAAGCUCUAUUGGAUUUAACUGCUCGGCAAGUUCCAAGUUGACAUGAAGAUUGUUUUCGAUGGCUCGAGAGGUCAUCGUCGGCGUAGAAGCCGAACAGGUGGUCAUAAGAAAACCACCUAGCCGGAGGGUUUGGCCGACAACCAAAGCUCCCUUAGCAACGGUGCCGUCUUUAAAGACGGAUGGUAACAGGAGGCAGGGGACACGAAGUUUUACCCAGGUUCGGGCCCUCUCGAUGGAGGUAAAACCCUACGUCCUGCUUGAUUAAUAUUGAUGAUAUGGGUAAUACAAGAGUUGAUCUACCACGAGAUCAAAGAGGCUAAACCCUAGAAGCUAGCCUAUGGUAUGAUUGUUGAUGUGUAUGUUGUCCUACGGACUAGAACCCUCUGGUUUAUAUAGACACCGGAUAGGGUUAGGGUUACAUAGAGUCGGUUACAAUGGUAGGAGAUCUGAACAUCCGUAUCGCCAAGCUUGCCUUCCACGCCAAGGAAAAUCCCUUCCGGACACAGGACGGAGUCUUCAAUCUUGUACCUUCAUAGUCCAGGAGUCCGGCUGAAGGUAUAGUUCGGCUAUCCGAACACCCCCUAAUCCAGGACUCCCUCAGUGGUGGCAGGUGAAGUCUAGGCCUCUCGCCAUGCUGGCGUGGCAAUGUUUAUAUUCAAGGCGGAUAUGUGAUUUUGGCUCCAGAUUGGAUCGAAUCAGCGACGGUGAUGAGUGCGUAGGAUUCCUCUCGACCGUUCUCACGGUUUGGCGAGGUGGGUCGCGGCCCUCCUCCCAGGCUCCAGUGGUGGCACAGGCAGGCGGUGGCCGGUGUGCCAGGGCUCCCAUGGUGGCAGUGUUGUUGUGGAUGGUCGUCGGAUCUGGGUGGCCAGACAUGGGGCUUUGAAGGUGGUCUGGAUGGUGCACAUGUUGUCGAUUGGAUGCUCAUGGGACAGAUCCGGGUGAAAACCUGGUCUCCGACCGGUGGCCGGAGCCGGUGAUGGUGUCGCCAUCAGCGUCGUAUCCUUAUUGAAGGUAUUAUCGAGGUGAAGCUCCCAACUCCUUCCGAUACCUCCGGGGGAAACCCAAGAUCAGUCGAUCGGAUGACGGUGGCACACUUGUGUCGUUUCCUCCUUGGGGCGUCAUUCUUGGAGGCGUGCAUUGGCUUGAGGGACCCGUGGACAGUUCCAGCGGUGGAGCGGCUUUCCAUGUGACACAUCGACGACGUGGAGUCUCGGCGGCAUGGCAGGGCAAGGCCUUGGCGACAAAUGUGUGAUGAUUUACGCAUGCAGGGAGGAGGCAUUGUCUGGCGCCAUGGGGGCGUCGACGGCAGGCCUGGCAAUGUUAAUGCAUCAGUACCUGCUCUGAAGAUGGAUCAGUGGAAGACGGCGGCGACGACCUAUCAGAGCAUGUCGGACAGGUUUGCGCCCCAAACCUAGUAUGUGGCUUGGUUGGGGCAUUAGAUGUCAGCCAUUGGUGCGAUGUCUCUUUGGUAUUAGGCUCGGACUAUUGAUACCUCUUCAUCAAGUGGAUAGGAGUAGCGACAAAUGUUGCUAAGAUCAUGGCUUCAGACUACCUGAUGUACUACUUUGUAAGGUCUUUAUGAAUAAUUAAUAAAAUGGCUGCAUGCGUCUCCCAGAUACAGAGGCCGGGUGUCAUCUUCCUUUUCGAAGAAAAAUAAAUGAAAAGCCUUCGUCAGCUUUGGAAAUAUUUGAACAUAACUAUUUUUCUUCUUUGGAGAAUGCAGCGGGGUGAUGAUUCUACAAGGACAGCAAAGGAAUUAUUAACUAGAAUAUGCAAGAGUACCUGUUGCAGUUUGGUGACGAGGAACAAAUUCUCGAGAGAAAAUGAACAUUUUAAUUCCACUAAGUGUCUUGAGAAAAUGGCCAUUUUAAUUCCCCUAAGUGUCUGCUUCAUUCCCGAUGGCAUGAUUCCUCAGAAAGAAAGCUAACACGCACGAAUCAUAACACACAUAUCAAAUGGUAAUGCAAACUAUGGUGAUGAUCCUGAAAAGGAGAGGGGUGUGCGCAAAAAGGCUUAUUUCUCCAGAUAGCUCGAUAAAUAUAAAUGGCUAGCCAGUUCGUAAUCUCAAUGGAAGAGUUGCAGCCUUGCAGGCACCUUUCAUUUGCUUGAGGGUGCCUAAGCGUGCAACUCUAGGGAUGCAGCUCCUGCAAAAGCUACACCGGGGAAAGGGCCUAUAGUGAAGAGGAGGCAAGGUAACAGGGAAAUAGGAGAUGAUGUGGACAUGAUCAAUGAUGUGGCCUCCCAGGAGGAGGACCGCGAGAUCCAAUGGGAGUUUUGUGCUGAAACUGUCGCGGGGUUGGCACCGCCGCAACGGUGAGAAAGCUCCAGGAGCCAUCGGUGGUUUGCAUUGUGGAAACGUAGUUGGCAAACGAAAAAGCAAGUGGAAGGCCCAACACCUUUUGCUAGGUUUUGUUAAGGGUUUUGCAGUGGCCAGUUCACGAAAAAGUAAGUCUUCGUGUUAAGAACUACUCAAAAUAUCACACUGAUGCAUGGGUGUCUGAACAGUGAAUAGAUCACCGGCCACUCACAAGUUUCUACGGUGAAGCUAACAAAAGUUUGAGACAACAAACUUGGGAUACCAUGGCUCAUUUGAGAGGGGAAUCCACCCUCUCAUGGUUAUGCAUAGGUGAUUUUAACGGAGUUCUCGCGCGGGGAAGAACAGAUGAGACCAAAUUUGCGAGAUGUGUACCAAAUGAGUGGGUUCACAUAGGGCAUCGAUCUUUGUGGUCUUGAUAACUUGGGCUACAUUAGUGUGGACUGGACCUUUGAAAAAUGUGUUGCUGGAGGCCAGUUUUGCAGGUUUAGGCUGGACAAGGCCUGAGUAACAACGAGCUGGAGUGCGGCACAACCUUUUGUGUCAGUUCGGUACCUGGUGGCCACCAAGUAGGAUCACAGUCCCAUGUCCUUUGCACGGAAAGGGAUCCGGAAACUGAAGUCUUGCGGUGGACCGACCUUUCAGAUUUGAAGCGGUGUCCGAAACUCAUGCGGAUUUCUUCCUUAUGAUAGAGAAGGUCUGGAAGGACGGUACCCAUUGUGGCUCGGUUCAAGAUAUGCAUGAUAAGCUGACCAGACUGGCGGGUUCGCUAGUGACGUGGGGAGCCUGCAGUUUCAGCCAAGUCAGGAAGGAAUUGAGUGUUAAAUUGUGAUUCAAAUUAUAUCAUGUUGGACUAGACAUAGUAUAACUGGUGUGGGCUUUUGCGUUGACGUCGACGCGUACGAGUACAACUCGUUUAUUUGUUCUCCAAGGACUCUCAUGUAUUGCCCUCUUAUAUACCCCACGUAGUCGCAACUUAGACGGUCUGUCGUCUCGUGCUUAUAAUACUCCUCCUCAUAGUGAUUGCGUCUUCGUGCGUCCGUGGUUUUCUCCCGCGAGGGUUUCCACAUAAAAAUCCGUGUCUCUUUGUCUCGUUUUAUUCUCGUUGUUAUCUAACAAGUGGUAUACAAAGCUGAGGUUACAGAUACGAGAUUCGAGAUCAAGAGUUAGGGUUGCACGCGCCGCAGCCGCCGCGUGACCAGGCGAUCCGGCUUCGGAUUGAUUUCCGCUGCAGCGCUGUACAAAGCCGAGACCGACAGGAGCUUGAAAGGAUUCGCAGGCGAUCCGUCCGACCACAAGUUCCACCGAGUUGCCGCUGCUGAGCCGCCGCUUAUCCUCGCGAAUAUACGCAGCGUCACACGCGUGCCUGAUCUGCUACUACUCCACGCGGAAGCAGCAGCUGUGCGUACAGGCUUGCGACGAGACGCUGCUGCUGCAUCUACAUGUGAAGGCUCAAGUUCCAGGAAUAUUUUACUAGUAAAUCAGCCACCUACUAGUAUUCAUUACGUGAAGCUACUGUUUUGGUCUCCAAUUGCUACGGCCACUUCAAAAGCUACCAGGUGCUAUUUGUUUUAGUUCUUUGUCUGCAUAUUAAUUCAAUCAAGAAUUUUUCUACGGGCUUGUACUACCUUGUGUACAUAGAUUUAUCUACUCAUGGUAUCCAUGAAGUACGACUUUCCGCUACUGGAUCGUGACACAAGGUUUACCCUAUGGCAAGUCAAGAUGCGGGCGUUGUUGGCACAGGCCGACUAUGAUGUAGCACUGGAUAGUUUUGAGAAGAACCAAAUUGAGGACUGGACUGCUGAGGAGAAAAGAAUUGACUGUAAGGCUUUGUCACAAAUUCAACUCCAUUUGCAUAAUAAUAUUUUGCAGGAAGUUUUGAGCGAGAAAACUGCCGCCGCUCUAUGGUUAAAGCUCGAAGGGAUUUGCAUGACUAAAUAUCUCACCAGCAAGAUGCAUCUAAAAAAAAAAUUAUUCCUGCACAGGUUACCCGAGGGAGGUAAUGUUUUGAAUCAUAUUUCAGAAUUUAAAGAUAUCAUAUCUGAUCUAGCUGCAAUGGUGGUUAAGUAUGAAGAGGAAGAUACUGCUCUAAUGUUACUUUGUUCACUGCCAACUUCUUAUACCAAUUUUCCAGACACCAUAUUAUACAGUCAUGAUACUCUCACACUUAAUGAAGUUUAUGAAGCUUUGAACUCUAAGGAGAAGAUGAAAUUAAUGGUGCCUCAUGAUGGUUCGAGUUCAUCCCAAGCCGAGGGAUUAUCUGUUCGUGGCAGGACAAAGGAGAAGAACUCCAAUAAUGGAAACAGAGGCAAAAGUAAGAACGGCUACAGGGGCCGGUCGCAAUCCAGAGACAAGAAAUAUUGCAGAUAUUGCAAGAGAGACGGGCAUGACAUCUCAGAGUGUUUCAAGUUGCAAAACAAGGAAAAGAGGAAAGGUAACAAACAAGGUGAAAAUUCUGCUAACGUUGCUCGUGAUGAUAGUACCGAUGAUGCUCUUGUCGUUAUUGCUGGAUGUGUUGAGACCAAUGAUGAGUGGGUACUUGACACCGCAUGCACUUUUCAUAUGUGUCCACAUAGAGAUUAGUUUAAUACUUUUGAUUCCACUAGUUCUGCUGGUUCUGUUUUGGGUUUUGAUAAUUCACCAUGCAAGAUUGAAGGCAUAGGUUCUAUUCGAAUCAAGAUGUUUGAUGGCAUAAUCAGAACUUUGACAGAUGUUCGGUAUAUUCUGAAGAUGAAGAGAAAUCUUAUAUCUGUUAGUGACCUUGAUGCAAAUGGGUACAAGUAUUCAGGUGGAGAUAGUGUUUUGAAGGUCACCAAAGGCUCCCUUGUUGUGAUGAAAGGUGACUUAAGUUCGACCAAUGGUCUUUAUUACCUUCGAGGUUCUACCGUUUCAGGUAACGCUACUCCAGUUAUUUCAGAGAAUUCUGAUUGUGAUGCUGCUAAACUUUGGCAUAUGCGUCUUGGACUUAUGAGUGAACUUGGUUUAGCAGAGUUAAAAAAGAGAGGUCUUCUUGAUGGAUAUGAACCUGGUAAAUUGAAAUUUUGUGAGCAUUGUAUCUUCGGCAAGCACAAGAGGGUGAAGUUCAACACUUCGACUCAUACAACUGAAGGUAUUCUUGAUUAUGUCCAUUCUGAUUUAUGGGGACCAUCUCGCAAGAAGUCACUAGGUGGUGCUAUUUACAUGCUGACUAUUAUUGAUGAUUAUUCGAGAAAAGUAUGGCCUUAUUUCUUGAAGCAUAAAUAUGAAGCAUUCUCAGCUUUUAAGGACUGGAAGAUUAUGAUUGAAAGGCAGACUGAAAAGAAGGUAAAAAUACUUCGCACUGAUAAUGGUAUAGAAUUCUGUUCUAAGCAAUUUAAGAAUUAUUGCAAGUCUGAAGGCAUUGUCAGACACUACACUGUUCCUUAUACUCCUCAACAAAACGGUGUUGCUGAGCGUAUGAACAGGACCAUUAUUUCCAAAGCCCGUUGCAUGUUGUCCAAUGCAGGUUUGCAUAGGCAUUUUUGGGCUGAGGCCGCUUCCACUGCUUGUUAUCUCAUUAAUCGUUCACCAUCUAUUGCUCUUAAUAAGAAAACUCCAAUUGAGUUAUGGUCUGGUUCACCUGCUGAUUAUUCACAGUUGAGAGUUUUUGGUUGCACUGCUUAUGCUCAUGUUGAUAAUGGAAAAUUGGAGCCUAGGGCUGUUAAGUGCAUCUUUCUUGAUUAUAAGUCUGGUGUUAAAGGUUUUAAAUUAUGGAAUCCUGAAACCCAGAAGGUUGUUAUUAGCAAAAAUGUUAUCUUUAAUGAAUCUGCUAUGUUACAUGAUGUUUCAUCUACUAAUGUUCCCAUUGAGAGUGAACAGCAGCCUACUAUUCAGCAGCCUACUGUUCAGGUGGAGCAUGUUAUUGAUUCAGGUGUUUCAUCUGAUAAUGAAAUUGUUGAUGCACAUGAUGAACCCACCGUUAAUGAUGAUCAUGUCACUCCCACUCCAAAUCAGCCUAUUGUUCCACCCAGUUGGAAUCUCGCACGUGACAGAGUUAGACGGGGUAUUAAUAAACCUGACAGGUUAAUUGCAGAGUGCAAUAUUGUUUCUUUUGCUUUAUCUGUUGCAGAAGAAAUUGAAGGUAAUUAUGAGCCUUCUUCAUAUUCUGAGGCUAUUAUUUCUGAUGAUAGUAAUCACUUGAAAAGAAUGGCACUUGAGAUUUAGUAAAAUUACCUAGAGAGAAGAAACAUAUUCGUUGCAAGUGGGUUUUCAAGAGGAAAGAAUGUGUUUCUCCUAAUGAUGAGACAAGAUAUAAAGCAAGGUUAGUUGCUAAAGGUUAUAGCCAGAUUCCAAGUAUUGACUAUAACGAAGUCUUUUCUCCUGUUGUGAAGCAUAGCUCUAUUCACACUUUACUCAGUAUUGUUGCCAUGCAUGAUCUUGAGCUUGAACAAUUGGAUGUUAAAACUGCAUUCUUACAUGGAGAAUUAGAAGAGGAUAUUUAUGUGGAACAACCUGAAGGUUUUGUUAUUCCUAGAAAAGAAAAGCUUGUCUGUAAGUUAAAGAAAUCUCUGUAUGGAUUGAAGCAAUCCCCUAGACAGUGGUACAAAAGAUUUGACACCUUUAUGCUCUCUCAAGGUUUCAAAAGGUCUAAUUAUGAUAGUUGUUUUUAUUUGAAAACUAUCAAAUGUUCAACUAUUUAUUUGCUCCUUUAUGUUGAUGAUAUGUUUAUUGCUGCAAAGAGUAUGUCAGAUAUUAAUGAACUAAAGAAGCAAUUGAGUAAUAAAUUUGAGAUGAAGGAUUUGGGUGCAGCAAAGAAAAUACUUGGCAUGGAAAUAUGCAGAGAUAGACCAUCUGGAAAAGUGUAUCUCCGUUAGAAGGGAUAUAUUGAUAAAGUUCUUCGCCGUUUUAAUAUGCAUAAUGCCAAGCCGGUGAGUACUCUGUUAGCUGCACACUUCAAAUUAUCAUCAGCUCUAUGUCCUAAGUCAGAUGCAGAUAUUGAGUACAUGUCUAGAGUUCCCUAUUCGAGUGCAGUUGGUUCACUUAUGUAUGCCAUGGUUUGUUCUCGUCCUGACUUAUCAUAUGCAUUGAGUGUUGUCAGUAGAUACAUGGCUAAUCCUGGAAAAGAGCAUUGGAAAGCAGUUCAGUGGAUUUUCAGAUACCUGUGUGGUACUUCUAAUGCUUAUUUACAGUUUGGGAAAAGUAGAGAUGGACUUGUUGGUUUUGUUGAUUCUGAUUUUGCUGGUGAUUUGGAUAAGAGAAGAUCACUCACAGGUUAUGUUUUCACCAUUGGUGGUUGUGCUGUGAGUUGGAGAGCAACUUUACAGUCUAUUGUGGCUUGUUCCACUACUGAUGCCGAGUAUAUGGCUAUUUCUGAGGCAUGCAAAGAAGCUAUCUGGUUGAAAGGUUUGUAUUCUGAGCUUUGUGGAGAUUCAUCUUGCCCUACCGUAUUUAGUGACAGUCAAAGUGCUAUAUAUCUUACAAAGAAUCCAAUGUAUCAUGAGAGGACGAAGCACAUUGAUGUUAGAUUUCAUUAUAUGCGAGAUGUUGUUGCUGAAGGCGUUUUGAAGGUAUGGAAGAUAAGUACUCAUGAUAAUCCUGCUGAUAUGAUGACAAAGCCAGUUCCGACCAAUAAGUUUGAGCUUUGCUCAGGCUUAGUUGGUAUUUCUCACUAGUCCUAUGGACUUUGACGCACAAGGUGUUUAUACUGAUUUGGAUGGAGUUAUUCACUUUCUUCGACCACUGGAGGAAAUUUGGAUCAAGGUGGAGAUUGUUAAAUUGUGAUCCAAAUUAUACUGUAUUGGACUAGACGUAGUACAACCGGUGUGGGCCUUUGCGUUGACGUCGACGUGUACAAGUACAACUCGUUUACUUUUCCUCCAAGGACUCUCAUGUAUUGCCCUCUUAUAUACCCCAUGUAGUUGCACCUCAGACGGUCUGUCGUCUCGUGCUUGUAAUACUCCUCCUCAUAGUGAUUACGCCUUCGUGCGUCCGUGAUUUUCUCCCGCAAGAGUUUUCACGUAAAAAUCCGCGUCUCUUUGUCUCGUUUUAUUUUCAUUAUUAUCUAACAUUGAGGGACCUUAAAAGGCGACUUGAACAGUUUCGGUUAGUCCGAGGCAGGCAAGGCCCAUCAAAGGAAGAGAGAAGGGUAGUGGCGAGAGUUAUUGAACUAAACUACACGGAAGAGAUCAUGUGAAGUGGUCACGUGUGCAAUGGUUAGCUGUAGGAGAUGGUAGUACAAAAGAAUUCCACCAAAAGGCAAGUAUGAGAAGGAGAAAGAAUAGGAGCGAACAACUUACACGUGAUGACGGGUCUAUGUGUAGUAAUGAAAGUGAAGUUGGGCAAAUGACUACAGAUUUUUUAUGAAAACCUUUACAAGUAUGAAAGCACGGUAGGCAUGGAGGAAGUUCUCUCACCACAUCAAGUGGUAACUGAAUCGACUGAAACUUUGCUAAAAUCGUUGUUAUGUGCCGAUCUCGCUGCACAAGAUAAUGGGUUGCCAUAUUAUUGCCUUUUGUUUCUAAAUAAUUGGUAGUGUGUAUCUCAGGUGCCUGAAAAAACAUGUCACUUUCAUCCAAGGCCAUUAGAUCUUCAUCCAACGGUUGAAAAUAGAUCUACGUUGCCAUCUUUGACCUCGAGCUUCUUCCUCACGAAGCCGCAGGCGAACCCAGACCUAACCGCCUGCCUCCAAGCCCCGCGGCCGGUGGCUAUCACUGCCUCGCCACCCCGCGCUCCCCUCGNNNNNNNNNNNNNNNNNNNNNNNNNNNNNNNNNNNNNNNNNNNNNNNNNNNNNNNNNNNNNNNNNNNNNNNNNNNNNNNNNNNNNNNNNNNNNNNNNNNNNNNNNNNNNNNNNNNNNNNNNNNNNNNNNNNNNNNNNNNNNNNNNNNNNNNNNNNNNNNNNNNNNNNNNNNNNNNNNNNNNNNNNNNNNNNNNNNNNNNNNNNNNNNNNNNNNNNNNNNNNNNNNNNNNNNNNNNNNNNNNNNNNNNNNNNNNNNNNNNNNNNNNNNNNNNNNNNNNCCACUCCUAAGAUAGAUAAUGAGGUUAGCAGCUGCUUCCCUCUGAGAUAGACAAUGAGGUUGUUGCUCCCCCCCUAAGAUAGAUUCUUAGAUAGUAGGGCUACCUCUUCUCCGGCGAGGUUGCUCCUUCUUGGACGAGUUCAAGAUGAACUAGAAAAAAUGACUGACGGAAUGAAAAAUUUCAGGUACCUAAAAAUGGGAAAACCAUGAAUGAUUUUGCUUUGUGCAUCCUCGGAGUCCCGCUAGAAAUUUGUGUUGUCAUAGAAGCCAUGCACAUUUUUCAUCAUGUUAAUACAUCAACAAAAUGCACAAUAGCAGAAAAGAAGUGGACAUACAUCCUGAGAGUUGCUUUUGUAGUAUGGGAAAAUGCUUAGGAGCACCUAGCGGCGUAGCUCACUGAAAUCUCACCAAUAAACAUGCAUAGGGAUUUGCGUCACUAUAUUGGGCAGUUUGUAUUAUGACUUUUGGUCAGAAUUAUGUUCAGGUAUAGGCGUGGUACUGUCUUGUGUUCUGUACGAGCUCUACUGCCAACCAUAAAUGGUCUUACACUCUAUUUACUACUCACGUUUUUCUCCACCAUAACGUUUCUUUCUAAGCACACUAAACUCUUGUCCUCCAUCAUCCAUUAGCAGUCUAUCGUUAAAUCUUUCUACUAAUGAUGAAUUAACACUGAACAACCUAUAUGCCCCAUAAGAGAUUAUAUACAUAGUAAUCUAACAGAACAACACUUGGUUCGAUGUGCCUAACAAAUAGAUAACUGGGUUCAAUAUAAAAAGAACAAUACUUAGAUUGAUAUGCCUUAGAAAUAGAUAACAUGGUUAGUGUUUGGUUUAUCUGGGAGACAAACCAGUUCAAAGGAACCUAACUCAUGUUUGUGAUAGCUUCAACUAGUACUAGUACCGGCUUCUCACCAAACGUGUUCUUUGGAAAGAAAAUUAAAAUGAGUCAUCUCCAUUCAACACUGGUGUGAUAUUAAUUGCAACAUUUAUAACUGACACAUGCACCUUUCGGCAUGCAAAGGCAGAUGACAUUAAUUGAGAAUGUUGACUCUGUGUGCCCAGACCAGUAGACCACUGUGUAUCAUCGUGUAUUGAAUAUGUAUCUGUAAACGGCAAAUUCAUUAAGCUUUUAAUGCAGCCAUCUUGAUGCAGGAACUCACUGACGCAGAUAUCAGGGUGCUGCGCCUCCGGGAGCCAUUCGUCCGCCUCCUUGUAGUAUGUACCUAUCAUAAUUUUGCCAAUCUCUGCAAAUAUUUUACAUUAGAGAAUUUGCAUUUCGCAGGUUCACGUGUGCACUGGAGAGGGCAGUACAUAUGUGGCUGUGGCAUUCCAUCGAAGAAACACUCUUAUCACCACUGGUUGGGCAACGUAUUUCCUGGAUUAAUUCCUGACCAUAUUUUGAUGUUUGAUUAGUCAAGUCUUUCCUGGCGUGGAGAUGUUUGUCUCCUUUCAUCCACGUCCACUGGUGCAUGUCCGAGCUCCUGUCGGAGUCACCACUCCCAGUCAGGCCGGACGUGUAUGUAUAUGGCCAUAUGGGCUGGGGUGCGUCGCAGUGCCGUCCCGUAAGGUGAGUCAGGCGACUAUGAUCAGAUGAUCGCUACACCUGUGGCGCAAAACAGGAUGAGAUUCUGGAGAAAACCCAUAUAAAUUCCCAAGGGCUCUCGUUCCUUAUCGCAAGAGAAGAGAUCUACCUCCAACUCAAGUACUCAAAAAUGGCAGCAACACCAUCAUAUGCCCGCAUUCCCAUCAUCGUCAUCGUCCUACUUCUAGCACUCUCGGCCAUCUCUGCUUCUUCAUUCUCUCCGAGUCCAGCCAACGGCAGCGACACAGACCUUGGGGCGUUGCUGGCUUUCAAAGCCCUGCUCGCCGACCCUCAUGGUGUCCUUGCCCGCAACUGGACCGGCACGUCUUUCUGCCACUGGAUCGGCGUCUUGUGCAGCCGCCGCAGGCAGCGCGUCGCUGCUCUAUCGUUGUCGGACACACCUCUUGCUGGACCUCUGGCACCUCACCUUGGUAAUCUCUCUUUCCUUUCCAUCCUUAAUCUCACCGGCACCAGCCUUACGGGUUCCAUCCCUCCCGAGCUUGGCAGGCUACGCCGUCUUAGAUAUCUUUCUCUUCACGAAAAUAGCCUAUCAGAUGCCAUUCCUAUUGCCCUAGGGAACCUCACAAGGCUCGAGGCCCUUAGUCUGAGUUUUAACAAACUAUCGGGUCAGAUCCCCCCUAAGGUGUUUGUUCGUUUGCCGAAACUUGAGGGGAUUUCUUUGACUCAAAAUGACUUGAACGGCCAAAUACCACCGGAUUUAUUCAAUAGCACGUCUUUCUUAAAGUACAUAAACUUCGGUAACAACAGACUCUCGGGCCAGAUCCCUCCUGAGAUGCUACUACGCGUCCACAACCUUAGAGAAUUUUGGCUCAACGAAAAUGGUUUGAGUGGCCAAAUACCACCACAUCUAUUCAAUAGCACUCCUUCGUUGAGGAUAAUCUACUUGUACAACAACAGUCUCUCGGGCAAGAUUCCUGCUGAGAUGUUGUUGCAUGUGCACAACCUGGAGGAGUUUGGUCUGGGUAAUAAUUACUUGAGCGGCCAUAUACCACCCUAUUUGUUCAAUAGCACUCCCUCCUUGACGUUCAUCAACUCAGCAACCAAUAACCUAUCAGGUCCCAUACCACACGGCAUUGCCUCCCUAUCCAAACUUGAAUACUUGCAAUUGAACGACAACCAGUUCUCCAGCCUAGUGCCACAAGCCAUAUACAACAUGUCCAUGCUAGGGUUGAUGCUAUUAUACAACAACAACCUUACUGGUACGAUUCCAGACAACAGUAGUUUUAGCCUCCCCUUGUUGUACUCUCUUGGACUAUGGCAACAUGUUCAGUGGCAGGAUUCCAUCCGGGCUUGUAUCAUGUCAGUACCUAGAAGAUCUGAUUUUGCGUAGCAAUUAUUUUGUGGAUGUUGUGCCAUCGUGGUUAGGUGAACUUCAAUACCUCGAAGUGCUUAACUUGGGUGACAACAAUCUUGCUGGUUCGAUCCCAGCCACACUUGGCAAUCUCACUGUUCUCACUACGCUAGUCCUCUAUAACUGCUACUUUGACGGACAAAUUCCAUCGGAAUUAGGACUACUGCAGAAACUCUCCUACCUAGAUCUUGGAUUUAAUCAACUUACUGGUGAAAUUCCAGCCUCCCUCGGGAAUUUAUCCAAGUUGACUCACCUAUAUUUGCAGGAAAAUAAUUUAUCAGGCUCAGUACCAUGUUAAACAAUGUGUAUAUACGGUGUUUGUAUAAACCGUAUUAGUGUGUAGGUGUGUGGGUGUUGUGUUUAUCUUCUAUUGUAAUCUAGCUAGUCUGUUGUGGUAUGAUCCCAUCUGUUAGCUAACUUGAGGAUCAAUCCAAAGUCUAACCUUCAUGUAAAUCUCUUGCCUAUAUCAACAGGCACGCGUCCCUGCUAAUUAGUUGCACAUGCUUCCUGCCUCAAUUUAGAUGGUAUACAAAGCCAAACUCUUCCAGCACAUCUAUGUCAUCUUCAUCAUGUCGCAUGGCUGCCCCAUCUCUCCCUUCCCUCGACCCUCGGCCACACCAUCUUGUGUUCGGCUCAUCCUCCCGCCGCACGCUCGCCGAGGAGUGAUUCAUGCUGGCUCCGUUUCAGAGACACACGAGGAUGCCGUCCUGAAUUACUAAUAGUGGCAGUCCCAGCUAAGCUAGGCAACAGACAGCAAGCGCUGCCUAAUUACCUGCACGAGGCAAGCAGAUUCGGCCCAGCCCAUCUGGCCACCCGGCGGCCGGCAUUAGUCAGUGCUCGCACAACCAUGGUCGACAUGGAUGCGGCAGCGGGGCUCCUUUCCUCCUCAUGAGCUCAGUACAGAAGAUCGCAAGGCAAACAGAGAGAGCAGAGCACGAGCAGUGCAAACUUAUCCACUCUGAGCUGAGGCUGAGAUCGAGUUCUUCUUCUUUCCACUGCAUCUCGAAGAAGAUGAGCGGUGCGUGGCUGGCCCUGGCCUAUUAAUUUACUGCCCCCGGCGCAGCAAUGCCGGUGCGGAUGACUCGUGAUAAGAGCAUCUCCAAUAGAAGAUGCAAAUUUGGACAUGUUCCUUGAAGUCUUCACUCAAACAAGACCUACGGAUGCUAUGUUCGAUGGGGAAUUAACUCUUAGGCAGUGUGUGUCGCGGAUGGCCAGCUACUGCAGGGCAGCGAGAACGACGAUGAGCGAACAUGGUUGCGAGGUUGAGGAAGAUCAAAUCAGAGUGCACCAAAUGGACAGGAACGACAGCAUGUGGUGAAGCACAGUGAUUGAUCUCCAUUGCUCCUCUCUAUCUCUCUGUCUCUUUGUUAGACUUGUAGCUAUACGUAAAUACGUAUUGUAACUCUUAUACAAUUGUACUUGUACUCAACGAGGUUUCCCCUCUAUAUAUAUAUAUAUAUUGUCGUGGCCGACCCUAGAAGUGUCGAAGCCGACAAUACCCGAAACCCUUUGCAUAACAUGGUAUCAGACGCGAUCUCGCGAUCCUGACCUAGCCGCCACGCCGACCCCAUGUCGUCUUCCGCUAACUCCUCGGCGGCCGCCGCCGCUGCCCUCUCCGGCGCGGCCACCAUUGCUGCUCUCACCGGCACGGCAACUAUGCCUGCCGCCGCCACCGAGUUCUCUGCUUCCACCGAGUUCUCGGCUUCUCUCUCGCUCGCCGAUCCCAUUGGAUCGGGCACGCCUGUUGUCGGUCCGACGGCCCAUGUGCCGCCGUUCCUGUCCACUCUCCUCCAAGGAGGACCUGCAUCUCCCCCCUGAUGACUAGAUCGACGGGGGCCUUGUUCUCCGGGUUGACCUCUUCGGCUCCUCCCUGAUCGCCGGUGUUGCGACCCAACUACGGCGUGCUGGCGCCGUACGCGCCGCCGCCGUACGCGUACGAUCCUGCUGCCUACGGUGCUUUCUACGGCGCCCCCUACGGCGUCUACUAUGGUGUUGGACAAGGUGCCCCUCCUGGUGCUGGUUAUGGUGCUCCGUACGGCUCCGGCUACACGGCGUUCCCGAGGCCUGCUCCUUACGGUGCGUCACCGUCUCCUCCACCAUUGGUUCCCCCGACUGCACCGCAGUCUUCGCUCGCGGUGGAUGUCGCCUCUUCUGGUGCUGCUGCUGUGCCGCCCUACGAAUUUUCCCUCGACGUCAUCACGACUCCGCCGUUCUACUUCAGCAACCUUCUCCCGGUUAAACUGAAGAUGGACAACUAUUUGUUCUGGCGUGCGCAAAUUCUUCCCCUCCUCCGUAGUCACUACCUGGAGGGUUUUGUGGAUGUAACUUUGCCAUGCCCCUCGCCGGAUCAUCAUAUGUACCGGCCGUGGAUUGCUCAAGAUCAAGCGAUUUCUUUCGGCGAUUCAGUCCUCUCUCACCGAGGGCAUUGCCGGCUUGGUGAUUUUUGCUACUACAUCUCAUGAGGUGUGGAGUGCGCUGGAGUCUAGCUUCUCCGCCCAAUCCCCGUCUCAGCAUAUGGCUCUUCGUACUCACCUCAAUGAGACCCGCAAGGACCAUCACUUCGUCACCGUUUUCUUCAACAAAAUCAAGCGCCUCGCUGAUCAGCUCGCCUCUAUCAAUGAGACCCUUCGUGACACGGAGUUUACUACGUAUGUCCUCCAAAGUCUUGAUGCCGAGUAUGAUUCUCUUGUGGAGGUGAUCCAGGAACGCAAGGUUCCCAUCAAACCAUCACUGAGACUGUGAGAACAUGCUAGGGCAACCCACAUUGGUUGCAUUAUAAAUUGCCAGAGCUUAUGAAAACAAAGUUGUUCCGGCUGGAGGUAGGUUUCCCCAGCUCAAAUGCAGCCUAGUGUUCGGAAUCAUGGGAAUACUAGUAGAAAACAGGGCUAUGGUCCAGGCCGGCUCAGCCCAUUAGUCCCGGUUCAGUGUAGAACCGGGACCAAUGUGGGCAUUGGUCCCGGUCCGUGAGCCCAGGGGGCCGGCCGGGCCACAUGGGCCAUUGGUCCCGGUUCGUCUGGACCUUUUGGUCCCGGUUGGUGGGACGAACCGGGACCAAUGUGCCUCGCUCCUGUCCCACCACCAUUGGUCCCGGUUGGUGGCUUGAACCGGGACCAAAGGCUUCCCUUUAGUCCCGGUUCAUGUCAUCAACCGGGACCAAUGAGGUGCCUAUAUAUACCCCCUCGCGCAAGAGCAGAGCACAGUGCUCUGUUUUUUCUGGCCGAGGGGGAGAGGGCUUUGUGGUGCUCUAGCUCACCUCCUAUGCACAUGAGGUGUUCGAUGGAAUGCCCGAGCCACACUACUUAAGCUUUCUCCUCUCGAAGCUCGACCUCCAAGCUCCAUUUUCCUCGAGAUUUGUCUAGAUUUAGCGGUUCGUCACGCCCCGUCCCCGUCUUCACCGCCGUCGAUCACCCGCGCCGAUCUCAUCACCGACACCAUCGUGGUGAGCCUCUUGUUCUUAUCUUCUUUCUGAAAGGAAAAAUAUUCUUACUUGUAUGUUUAGAUAGAUACUUGUAUCAUUUUCUUACAUUUAUUAUUUGCAUCUUAUAUAGUGCGAUGGUUUUGGUAUCCACCCCCGUCGGCCCUCGUCCUGUCUAUGAUUCGGAUUUGGUAUGUAUAUUAUCUUUAUAAUUAUUGGUUCAUUUAUUGUUUAUGAAAAUUAUGCCGACCAACGUGACAUAGAUUUUAUUUAUCUAGGAUGUAUGUGAAUCGGAAAUGCCAACCGACCCUAUUGUCGAGAGGUUAAAUUUAGUUGAAGAAGAAAACAAUUUGUUGAAGGAAAAAAUAAAAAAAAUUGAGGAGGAGAAGAUGAUAUUGGAGUUGCAUGUUGCGGAUGUCGUCGAUGAUCACAAGAUCAAGAUGGAUGCAAUGCGCUUGAAGAUUAGAAAGAUUAGAAAAUAUGCCAUUCAUACCGAGGCUUGGUAUCAUUAUGCCGUUGGAUCAAUUGUUACCUUGGUUGCGAUUAUGAUCGCAUUUGUUUUCGCAUUGAAAUGUUUUACAUAGUUUCAAUGUAUGGUUUAAUUAAUUAGAUGCUCUGGAGAGCUAUAUGUUGUUAGAUGAGAACUAUGUAUGCACUUUGGUUUUAAUGUGAUGAUGAACUUCUAUUAAUUUGGACACUUAAUUAUAUAUAAUGCACGCAGAUGAACCGGCAAUGGAUGUACGGUGACAGACACACCCUCGAGUACAUUAAGGGCGUGCAUGAGUUUCUCGAUGCGGCUGAGGCAAACAAGCAGAAUGGUUUUAUGUGUUGUCCAUGCACUGAAUGUGGGAAUACGAGGUCUUACUCUAACUGGAAAAUCCUUCACUCCCACUUGCUUUACAAGGGUUUCAUGCCACACUAUAAUGUUUGGACGAGGCACGGAGAAAUAGGGGUUAUGAUGGAAGACGGCGAAGAAGAAGAGUACGAUGACAACUAUGUGCCCCCUGAAUACGGUGAUGCUGCAACGGGGGGAGCUGGUGAAGAUCAAGAGGAACCAGACGAUGUGCCCAAUGAUGCUGCCACGGGUGAAGCUGCUGAAGAUCAAGAGGAACCAGACGAUGUGCCCGAUGAUGAUGAUCUCCGCCGGGUCAUUGUCGAUGCAAGGACACAAUGCAUUAGUCAAAAGGAGAAGCUGAAGUUCGACCGCAUGUUAGAGGAUCACAAAAAAGGGUUAUACCCCAAUUGCGAAGAUGGCAACACAAAGCUCGGUACCGUUCUGGAAUUGCUGCAGUGGAAGGUAGAGAAUGCUGUGGCUGACAAAGGAUUUGAGAAGCUACUGAAAAUAUUGAAGAAGAAGCUUCCAAAGGAUAACAAAUUGCCCGACAGUACAUACGCAGCAAAGAAGGUCGUAUGCCCUCUAGGAUUGGAGGUGGAGAAGAUACAUGCAUGCCCUAAUGACUGCAUCCUCUACCGCGGUGCAUACAAGGAUCUGAACACAUGCCCGGUAUGCAGUGAGUUGCGGUAUAAGAUCAGACGAGAUGACCCUGGUGAUGUUGACGGCGAGCCCCUCAGGAAGAGGGUUCCCGCGAAGGUGAUGUGGUAUGCUCCUAUAAUACCACGGUUGAAACGUCUGUUCAGAAACGAAGAGCAUGCCAAGUUGAUGCGAUGGCACAGUGAGAACCGAAAGAAAGAUGGGAAGUUGAGAGCACCCGCUGACGGGUCGCAGUGGAGAAAAAUCGAGAGAAAGUACUGGGAUGAGUUUGCAAAGGACCCAAGGAAUGUAUGGUUUGCUUUAAGCGCGGAUGGCAUUAAUCCUUUCGGGGAGCAGAGCAGCAAUCACAUCACCUGACCCGUGACUCUAUGUAUGUAUAACCUUCCUCCUUGGAUGUGCAUGAAGCGGAAGUUCAUUAUGAUGCCAGUUCUCAUCCAAGGCCCUAAGCAACCCGGCAACGAAAUUGAUGUGUACCUAAGGCCAUUAGUUGAAGAACUUUUACAGCUGUGGAAUGGAAACGGUGUACGUACGUGGGAUGAGCACAGACAGGAGGAAUUUAACCUUAAGGUGUUGUUGUUCGUGACCAUCAAUGAUUGACCCGCUCUCAGUAACCUUUCAGGACAGACAAACAAAGGAUACCACGCAUGCACGCACUGUUUAGAUGACACUGAAAGUAUAUACCUGGACAAAUGCAGGAAGAAUGUGUCCCUGGGCCAUCGUCGAUUUCUUCCGACCAACCAUCAAUGUCGAAAGAAAGGCAAGCAUUUCAAAGGCGAGGCAGAUCACCGAAAGAAGCCCGCCAUGUGCACCGGUGAUCACGUGCUUGCUAUGGUCAAUGAUUUACACUACGUAAUCUUUGGAAAGGGUCCCGGUGGACUAGCUGUUCCGAAUGACGCUGAGGGACACGCACCCAUGUGGAAGAAGAAAUCUAUAUUUUGGAACCUACCCUACUGAAAAGACCUAGAGGUCCGCUCCUCAAUCGACGUGAUGCACGUGACGAAGAACCUUUGCGUGAACCUGCUAGGCUUCUUGGGCGUGUAUGGGAAGACAAAAGAUACACCUGAGGCACGAGAGGACCUGCAACGUUUGCACGAAAAAGACGGAAUGCCUCCGAAGCAGUAUAAAGGUCCUGCCAGCUACGCUCUUACGAAAGUAGAGAAAGAAAUCUUCUUUGAAUGCCUGCUCAGUAUGAAGGUCACGACUGGCUUCUCGCCAAAUAUAAAGGGAAUAAUAAAUAUGCCAGAGAAAAAGUUUCAGAACCUAAAGUCUCAUGACUGCCAUGUGAUUAUGACACAACUGCUUCCGGUUGCAUUGAGGGGGCUUCUACUGGAAAACGUUCGAUUAGCCAUUGUGAAGCUAUGUGCAUUCCUCAAUGCAAUCUCUCAGAAGGUGAUCGAUCCAGAAAUCGUACGAAGGCUAAGGAGUGAUGUGGCGCAAUGUCUUGUCAGUUUCGAGCUGGUGUUCCCACCAUCCUUCUUCAAUAUCAUGACGCACGUCCUAGUUCAUCUAGUCGACGAGAUUGUCAUCCUGGGGCCUGUAUUUCUACACAAUAUGUUCCCCUUUGAGAGGUUCAUGGGAGUCCUAAAGAAAUAUGUCCGUAACCGUGCUAGGCCAGAAGGAAGCAUCUCCAUGGGCCAUCAAAGAGAGGAUGUUAUCGGGUUUUGUGUUGACUUCAUUCCUGGACUUAACAAGAUAGGUCUCCCUAAAUCGCGGUAUGAGGGGAGACUGACUGGAAAAGGCACUCUUGGAAGAGACUCAAUAAUAUGCAGGGACGGAUAUUCUUGGUCUCAAGCACACUACACAGUUCUACAGAACUCUACCUUGGUGACCCCGUAUGUCGAUGAACACAAGAACAGUCUGUGCUCCAAACACCCGGAGCAGUGCGACGACUGGAUUACAUGUGAACACAUCAGGACUUUCAGCAGUUGGUUGGAAACACGUCUCAGAGGUGACAACACUGUUUGUGAUGAGUUGUACUUGUUGUCCAGGGGACCAUCUUUGACUGUAUUGACUUACAAAGGAUACGAGAUAAAUGGGAAUACAUUUUACACGAUCGCCCAAGAUCAAAAGAGCACCAACCAAAAUAGCGGUGUCCGCUUUGAUGCAGCAACCGAGAGCGGAAAGGACACAUAUUAUGGUUACAUAGUGGACAUAUGAGAACUUGACUACGGACCUGAUUUUAAGGUCCCUUUGUUUAAGUGCAAAUGGGUCAAUCUGUUAGGCGGCGGGGUACAGGUAGACCCACAGUACGGAAUGACAACAGUGGAUUUGAAAAAUCUUGGGUACACUGACGAACCGUUCGUCCUAGCCAAUGAUGUGGCACAGGUUAUCUAUGUGAAGGACAUGUCUACCAAACCGAGAAAAAGAAAAGAUAAGGAAGCGAAUACAUCAUACGAUGAGCCAAAGCGCCACAUAGUUCUUUCAGGAAAAAGGGACAUCCUGGGAGUGGACGGCAAGACAUACAUGUCUGAAGAUUAUGAAAAGUUUCAUGAAAUUCCUCCCUUCAAUGUCAAGGCUGACCCAAGCAUCCUGAUAAACAAUGAAGAUUAUCCAUGGUUACGGCGCAAUAAGCAAAUGACACAAGCGAAGAAAAAGUGAAGACUUUCUCCCGCAAUAAGCAAAUGCUAUGUGGGUGAAAUUAUGAUACCAUCCCAACUUUCAACUUUUUCAGAGUUCAUUUGAAAUGCUUUCAUGUCUUAUGGUUCGAAACUUUGAUACUUCGAAAGUGAUUGUCUAUUUUGUACACGAAGUGCAUCAAGUUUUUGUCGUAACCCUCUCUACUUUUUGGAACAUGCUAUGUGGGUGAAAUGAUGAUACCAUGCCAACUUUCAACCUUUUCAGAGUUCAUUUUGAAAUGCUUUCCAAUUUCAGAGUCAUUUAGCUCAAAGAAUGAAUUAAUAGCAAACAGAAUGAACUACAAAACUUUUAUGAAAAUAAAAACAAUCAAUUAAAAUAUUAUGUUAUGAUCAACUAAAAUAAAACUAUAAUAUUCUUCAAUAGCAAAAAGAAUAUAAUUUUUGUGACCUAAAAUCAAACUAUAAGUAUUUAAUNNNNNNNNNNNNNNNNNNNNNNNNNNNNNNNNNNNNNNNNNNNNNNNNNNNNNNNNNNNNNNNNNNNNNNNNNNNNNNNNNNNNNNNNNNNNNNNNNNNNNNNNNNNNNNNNNNNNNNNNNNNNNNNNNNNNNNNNNNNNNNNNNNNNNNNNNNNNNNNNNNNNNNNNNNNNNNNNNNNNNNNNNNNNNNNNNNNNNNNNNNNNNNNNNNNNNNNNNNNNNNNNNNNNNNNNNNNNNAACUAAUGGCACUAACAGAAAGUUUAUAAUUGUUGUGACCUAAAAGCAAAAAGAAAUCACUAAAAAACUAUAAGUAUUUAGUUGUAAGUAUAAAUAAAAAAUAAAUAGAAAAAAAAUUCUAUUUUUAUAAUAAAGUUAUUCAUAAACUAGUGAUUCACACAAAUUUUUAAAAACUCAAAUUUAAACUAUUCAAAAUUUAAAACUAAUGGCACUAACAGAAAGUUUAUAAUUUUUGUGACCUAAAAGCAAAAAGAAAUCACUAAAAAACUAUAAGUAUUUAGUUUUAAGUAGAAAUAAAAAAAUAAAAAACCAAAAAAAUGUAGAAAUAAAAAAGAAAAAACCAAAAAAAUGCCUCCUACUGGGCCUCCACGGCCUGAAUACGACUAGAAACCCUACAUGGGCCAGGAUUGAGGCCCGCAGAAGGCCCAAUAGGCCCACAGGCAGUAGCAAGUUUAGGCCCGAAAGCCUGCAUUAGAGAGGAGCUCGAAUGGGUAGGAACACCAGCGCUUAUAAACCAGUGCCGGCGCCCUUCAGCUAGCGAUGUGGGACUAAACUUUUGGGCUCGGGGCAGCAAAGGCCAUUGGUCCCGGUUGGUGGCACCAACCGGGACUAAAGGGGGCAUUGGUCCCGGUUCGUGGCACCAACCGUGACCAAUGCCCCCCUUUAGUCCCGGUUGNNNNNNNNNNCUCGGUUGGUGGCACCAACCGGGACUAAAGGGGGGCAUUGGUCACGGUUUGUUUCACGAACCGGGACCAAUGCUCUGGCUAUAUAAGCCAAUACUUGUGAAAUUCUCGAUUCAGUUCGAUCGAUCUCCUCGUCCUCUCCUCCGACGACGCCGCCAGGCUGCUCCUCGUCCUCGUCGCCGCAGAGCCCUCCGUGAGCCCGCGCCAUCCUCAUCGCCGGCAUCCCUGAGCCCGCCGCCCUCGUCCCCGUCGCCGCAUGCCUCCCCGAGCCCGCCUCCUUGUCCCCGGCCGUCACCACGUGCCGCUCGGCCCGAGGCUGCCGUCCCCGUCACCGCGUGCCGCCCCAAGCCCGCCGUCCUCAUCGCCGGACUCCAGCCAUCGCCGCCCCCCUCAAAGUGAGCCCCCCUCUCGAGUGCCACUCUUGCGCCCGAGCGCCCUUGCUCCGCCCCUGCUCCAUGGUCGCCGCCGGCCCUGAUGCAUUCAAGAGUAGAAGGAGAGGAGAAGUAGAGGAGAGGAGAAGUGGAGCAGCAGCAACGCGCUGUCCACUUUUCUGAAUUUUUUGGAAUUUCUGAAUUUUUUUGUCCAUAUAGAAGGUGUUUGAUGAAAUGCUAGAUGGCUUUGGGCAUUUUUGGAAUUUUAAAAAAAAUUGUGGUGAGGUACUGAUGCAAUACAAAGGCGAUGGCAAAAUUUCAGAAUUUUUGGAGAGGUUUAGAAUAGGUUUUCAACAAGUUAUUUGAAUCCAAUUCAAAUUUCAUUUGAAUGAAAUUUGAAAAUUUUGAACUAUGGAUCAGAAAUGUUUUUUUAUAUGAUGUUUUUUUUCAUAUAUGUAUUCAUUUUUUUAUUUAGGUUGUUAAUUAGUAGAUAUCGAUUUUAGGUUAGUGUAGAGGAAAAAGUAAAAUAAGGAAAAGGAAGAAAAGAGGAAGAAGGAAGAAGAAGAAGAAGAAGAAAAGGAAGGAGUGGAAAAAGGAAAAUAAGAAGAGGAAGACUUCUUUUUUUUUCUUUGAUCUUCUCCUCUAUUUUGUUCAUGGAUAUAUGCUAAAGAAAACGAGGGGGUGAUAGAUGAUGAUGAGGGGUCGAGAGUGGGACGAGAGGUCGAGAGGUGUCGAGGGGAGAAAAAAUAUGUUAUCAGGGACGAGGGUCAUCGAGGGGUCGAGAGAGGGACGAGGGGUCGAGAGAACUAAAUAAGAAGAAGANNNNNNNNNNNNNNNNNNNNNNNNNNNNNNNNNNNNNNNNNNNNNNNNNNNNNNNNNNNNNNNNNNNNNNNNNNNNNNNNNNNNNNNNNNNNNNNNNNNNNNNNNNNNNNNNNNNNNNNNNNNNNNNNNNNNNNNNNNNNNNNNNNNNNNNNNNNNNNNNNNGAGCGGUAGAGGAGAAACCCUAAAUAGAAAGUAUCGUCGGUGUGAGAUACAUGUACCGUCGGUGUCGGACACUACACCCACAUCCCACAAGUGGCGCGGGCUUCGACGCCCACGUCACUUGUGGGACGUGGAUGUAGUGUCCGACACCGAAGGCCACAUGUAUCUCACACCCACGAUACUUGCUAGCUAUUUAGGGUUUCCUCUACCGAAAAGAAGAGGAGAAAUAAAUAAGAAGAAGAAAAAAGAAGAAAAAGAAGAGGAGAAGAAGAAAGGAAUAGUGGAGAAGAAGAGAAAAUAGAAUUUCUCCACUAUUCCUUUCUUCUUCUCCUCUUUUUUUUUCUUCUUUUCUUCUUCUUCUUCUUCUUCUUCUUCUUCUUCUUAUUCUUAUUAGCCGGAAGUAGAGAGAGGUUUCCUAGUGUCAAAGUAUUGAAGAAAUCCAUGCCUUCAUCAUUAGCCGGAAGUAACCAGGGCAUGUUGGUACGAAGUUCUGCAAAGUUGUUCUGGAAUGGAGUCCCGGAUAGAAUAAUUCGCCUUUUGGUACGAAUUCAGCAAAGGCCUUCCAAAUAGCGAUAUUCGGAAGGCUCUUGCUGAACUUUGUACCAAAAAGCGAAUUAUCCUAUCUGGGACUCCGUUCCAGAACAACUUUGAAGAGCUUCGUACCAUCAUGCACAUGUUACUUUCGCCUAAUGAUGAAGACAUGGUUUUGUUGAAUCCCUUGACACUAGGCAACCUCCCGACCCCUCGGCGAUCCUAUCGAAUAUGAGAGGAAGAAGAGGAUAAGAAAAGAAGAGGAAGAAGAAAAAAAGAGGAGAAGAAAGAAUAGAGGAGAUCUUCUCCUCUAUUCUUUCUUCUCCUCUUAUUUUUCUUCUUCUUCCUCUUUUUUUUAUCGGGAACGAGGGUCGUCGAGGGACAUAGAUGUAGUGUCGUCCUUGUCGAUAUAUACCCCCUCCCGGUAGCUUACUAUGAUUAGGUAGCUAGUUCUACGUUUGGCACUAAUAUAUCCAUCUGUCAUGUUUGAAUAAUAAUUGCCAUGUUGUAAAUAUUUGUAGAAACUAUGGACACCGCCCUAGACGAAGCAACAAAAGAAGCGUUGUUGAGGGACAUAAUUGUAGAAGGAAGUGAUGCCAUCUCGUUGUUUCUCAACGAAACCGAUGGUCUGGAAGGAGAGGGUGAACAAGCUGGCUACGGUGACCUAAUGCCGGUGCAAGAAGAAGAACAUGAGGACGGCUCCGGUGACCCAAUGCCGGUGCAAGAAGGAGACCGUGAUGACGGCUCCGGUGACCGAACCGAGUCCGGCCAGGUAUAUAUAUUAGUUAAGCCUAUGCUGACUAGCUGAUUGAUGCAUUCAUUGUUUGGGUAUGUACACAUAUUAAUUAAGUCUUUGUUCUUUUUUCUAGCCCUCCGAAUCGAGCACAACUUCGGUAAAGAGACGAGGCCCGAAGAAAAAGUUGAGCUCGGAUGAAAAGUUUGAGAUCAUAGCAAUCGCGUCCGACGGCCAACCUAUUGAACCCCUCCGGACAAAGAGCGCAUUUGAUGCUCAGUGCGGGGUUCUGGUUAGGGACAAGAUCCCGAUAAGCAUCCAGCAAUGGUUUAAGCCGGCUACAGAAGACCCUGAGGUCUCUUAUGUCAAUGAUAUGCAGAAAAAUGAUCUUUGGACUGAGCUGAAGUCAAAUUUCACCCUACCGCCUGAGGAUAAUCCAGAGAACCCAGUUAAAGAGAAAUUAAUCAAGUCUUUUGCUCUGAAGAGGAUGGCAGAACUAUUCAGGAGGUGGAAGAAAGAGUUGAAUAAGUUUGUCGAAAAUAAUGAGACACCAGAAUUCAAGGGCAGAUAUAAGAAGAUCAGAGAUCACUGGCCCACAUUUGUGGCCCACAAGACAUCAGAAAAGAGUAAGAAGAUGUCGGCGACAAACUAGCAAAAUGCUGCGAAGAAGAAGCUUCACCAUCGCACGGGGUCAGGUGGCUACCUCGUAGCCCGGCCUAAGUGGUCCAAGACUGAGAAUGAUUUGGUUCAUAAAGGGAUCGAACCAGAGACAAUUAACUGGCUAGACCGUUGCCGGACUUGGUUCUUCGGGGCUGGCGGAACACUGGACCCUGUAACAGGGAAGUGCAUUUGGACGAACGAUCAAAUGGACAUACCAGUCAGUAAGCUUAAGCAGUAUAUCGAAGCAGCGCAGGAAGGGACGUUCUUUCCAGACAGAGAGAACGACGAGCUCACAAUGGCCCUCGGGAAUCCUGAGCACCCUGGACGGACACGAGGCACGCCAGGCUCAUUCCGUGGAAGGUUGGGUUUCCGGACGCAGGCGGUUACAAAUCCCAUGAGAGGAGGAAAAAAUUGCAGCAGACCCAAAUGCAGGCGCUGCAAGCAAGGGUAGACGCGAUAGAGGAACGAGAAGCAAAUCGCAGCAAACAUACUGCCGAAGCCUCCCCCGAAGCUACCCCGCCAUCUCAACGCAGAAGCAGUGUGGCUUCCACCGAGCUGCUUCAGCCGGAGCAUGCCUUGACGGCUCCUGCCAGCUAUCCCGUGGAUGCUAUAACGGAGUCUCAAAAUUGCCACCUUAUGACGCAAUGGAUGAAUUUGAAGGUCAAGGCGGCUGUUGGCUCUGUUUAUCCUACUGAACCCGGCGCAACUUUUCACUGCCGGCCGAUUCCAGAAGGAUAUGCUAGUGUGAUGGUGGAUGAGAUAACGGAGGGAUUUGAGGACCUCCAGCUUGACCACCCUACCGGUGAAGGGGAGACUCGGCUGGGGUCUGCUCUGAAGACUCCAUGCCUAUGGCGGAAGGAGCUCAUCAACCUUCCGAACUGGACGCCACCGACUCCUCCUCCGGCGAGUCAGGGCACUCCGCCUCCACCGCCUCCUCCUCCGGCGAGUGAUGAUCAGGGCCCUCGGCCGGCUCCUUCUCCGGUGCGUGGAGGCACUCUGCCUUCUUCUCCGCCUGCGCCGACGCGCCCGAGCAGCCAGCCUCCUCCUUCUCCGCCUCGUCAGCAAGGGCGGAAGAGACCUGCCGCCGCUCCAGCUGCUCCGGCGUGUCGUAGUCCUUCUCCUCCGCCUCUUAAGCAAGUAAAGAAGACAACCGCUACGUCUGCUCGGUCGGCGUCUAGCAGUACAACCAGAGGCGGGAGGACAUACAGAUUCGGUCCUUCUCUGAAGACUCCAGAGAAGUUACCAUACGAGAGGACCCAGGAGGAGAACACCGAGAUCGCGCGAGAAGAAGUGAAGAAAUUCUUUGAAGGGGUGAAAGCAAAGAAACAUCCACCUCCGGAGGAGAAGAUAGAUCGGGUGAAAGUGAAGCGCACUCUGGCUGCCCUGACAAAACCACCGAAGUCUGAUCCGCCGAAAGGAAACUAUGACCGCAUUAUUGGAAAGGAAUUUGCCGAAGCGGAGCGGUCGGGAAGUACUGUCAAUGAUCAAAGGCUGAAAGAACGACGAGCUGGGAAACAAAUUGCCCAGCUCGGCAAACAAGCGAAGCAAUCGUGCCCCCCGCUCAAGGUGCCUAGCCACAACAUCGAUAAUGAUCCGAGGAUGGUGCCCGGUUAUAGCAGUCUUGCAGAUUACCUGCCCGACGAAGUACAUUAUGAACCCAUGGAGGUGCAGAUACAAAGAUACGAGUACGGGAAGCCUCUCGUCAAAGAUGAAAGAUCUCUAUCAACGAUGAUGCGAAGAUUGCAUGAUUGGUACAUGAAAAUCUGCAUUGACUCUGGGGGGAGGAGUACUUUGUAUGUGAAAGUUAAAAAGGAGCAUGACCUCGUUGAAAUUGAUCUGUUGCCUGUUCCAUUUGAGGAGUUCUAUCAGUUUUUCAAUCAAUUGGCCCUCGAUAAAACAACGGUCGCCUGCUACUGUCUGUAAGUAGUACUACUUCUGUCAUUAAGUUUCUCUAUAUAGCUUAGCUCUUUCAUUGCAUGUAUUUAUAAUCAUCCUCACUAUAUUAUGCAGAUUGAAGAUCGCCGAAUUGAAGAAAAGACAAGUCGGUGAUAUUGGGUUCAUUAACACAUAUCUCAUAGAUGCAACUCAGAUUAAACUUCAUGCCGCAGCUACCGAGGCCAGCUUGCUACGAUCGUUCGUAAUAAAUCAAAACAAAGAUAUAAUACUCUUUCCUUACAACUUCAGGUGAGUGUUACUGUCUUGUGCGUAUUCGGUUUCCCUUAUAUAUUAGUCAAGGUUAUAGUAAUGUAAUUCAUGAGUUAUGCAUGUGUGUGCAGUUUCCACUUUAUUCUCCUAGAGAUUAAGCUUGAGCAGGGAGUAGUAACCGUCUUGGACUCUAAGCGAAAAGAUCCCAAGGAGUAUGCGGACAUGACUGAAAUCCUCAAGAAGUAAGUUAAAUCGAUCAUUAUCCACCAUAUCAGCAACUUUGUUCAUUUCCUGAUAUCAAGUAAUUGUUUUCUUUGUCCGGCAGGGUUUGGAGAAAAUUCACCAAAACAGUUCCGGGACUGCCGAAGGAGCUGGAAUUUAGACACCCAAAAGUAAGUACUAUAGUAGCAUGUUCCGUGCAUCUCCUAGUGAUUCAAGCGCUAGUUUCAUCAAUACCAUUUAGCAUUCUUGCUUAUCAGUUUGAUUGACCUUUAUUUCUUGUAAAGUGGUUGUGGCAGGAACAAGGGAAUGAUUUCUGUGGAUACUACAUCUGCGAGUCCAUCCGCCACACGACCUGUGAGCGGGGCGGGUACUCUAACGAAUAAUAUGAAGUACGUAAAUAACAACAUUCACAAUUUUAUUUUAUUACCAUCAUUUGUGUUGAGUUUCAUUCAUAUAUAUAUAUAUAUAUAUAUAUAUGUAUAUAUAUAUAUAUAUAUAUAUAUAUAUAUAUGUAUGUAUGUAUUGACCCCCUUCUUCAAAUUAGAUGUUUCGGAAGCGGGAUGAACUCCUAGCACCAGCUCGCAUGCGAGCAAUUCAAGAGGAAUUGGCGGCAUUUUUUCUUGACCACGUGAUCCCUGAAGACGGAGAAUUCUAUGUGGACCCUGAGUCCGUAUGAUUAUAUUUGUAAGAGAUAAUUAUUGUAUAUAUGUAGCCGGUAGUGUCAGAUAGAUAUACGAGAACUUGUUGUUCGACCAAUCUCUCGGAGAAGGAGAGGUGGUCGAUAUCACUUCUCUCUGUAUAUAUGCAUAUAUGUUCAUGACAAUCUUCUGUUUCCUUCGUUUGCUUACUAGCUAGCUAGNNNNNNNNNNNNNNNNNNNNNNNNNNNNNNNNNNNNNNNNNNNNNNNNNNNNNNNNNNNNNNNNNNNNNNNNNNNNNNNNNNNNNNNNNNNNNNNNNNNNNNNNNNNNNNNNNNNNNNNNNNNNNNNNNNNNNNNNNNNNNNNNNNNNNNNNNNNNNNNNNNNNNNNNNNNNNNNNNNNNNNNNNNNNNNNNNNNNNNNNNNNNNNNNNNNNNNNNNNNNNNNNNNNNNNNNNNNNNNNNNNNNNNNNNNNNNNNNNNNNNNNNNNNNNAUGCCUAUUGGUCCCGGUUGGUGCCACCAACCGGGACCAAAGGGUCUCCUGACUGGGCUCUGCGCACUGCCCACGUGGAGGGCCUUUAGUCCCGGUUCUGGAUUGAACCGGGACUAAAGGGGGGAGGUAUUACUACCGACACUUUAGUCCCGGUUCCGGAACCGGGACUAAAGGCCCUUACGAACCGGGACUAUAGGCCCUUUUUCUACCAGUGGAAUAGUAGUACACGCAAUUGCUCCUCCCUCCCACCUUUCCGGGUUCAUGAAGGAUAUUGGUUGGCUUCUCUUGUCAAUUGCUCCUCCUUCCCACCUUUCCAGGUUCAUGAAGGAUAAUGGCUAGCUUCUUUUGUCAGUGCUGAUGAAGAUUGCCCAAUUCUCCAACUCCUGUACCUUCACCCACAUUGCAUGUUCAGUCGACUGGUCGAGGCGGAAGACUUCGAAGGUAUCCCCUCUUGCCGGAAAUGACCCCUAACACCCGAAGCAUAUCGCCACACGCCACCAAAUAUAGGUUCGCAAGACGACCUAGGGGAUUUCCUCCCAACUGACUCCCAUCAUCCGUACACGAAUCCAAGGUGCCAAGUGCACAACAAAGAGCAUGCCACCAGAGUCCAAGCCGAAGACCUGGCCUUUGAAGGUCACAAUCUGCUGGAUAGUUCCAUCACAAGGGCAUGCUCUCAACCAAGAGCGUCUGCCAACACGCAAAAAGUAACUAUGAGAUUCGUUGGUGACAAUGAGAUGUGGGUUGGGUGACUCUACAGGAGCCGUGACGGCACCGUAGUAGACCUCGGUGGACUCGUCGCCCGGUAUCUGUGGUGGUGACAAACUAACACCUGUAAACACAUCAACAAUGAGACAUGAUCUGUUUGUGGAGAAGAUGAGAUGGCCAUAAGAAGCACCCAGGAAGCAAAAACUACCCAGAGAAAUUUGGGGAUCAUUAUUUGCUCGAGAAAGAUUAACUAGGGGAAUCUGGUAGCCAAUGCGUGAGUGUUUGCUGGCUGGAUCAAUGACAUGACAUGUACGCUUAUCGCCAAGGGGGCGAUGACAUGGAGAGUGCACGGGGACGACAUCAGGUUGCAGGAGCAUAGGCGGGAAGAUCAUCAAGAAGUCAGACUUUCAUGGAUACGAGAAGAAGGCAUGACGCCAAGAGCGGCAGGUGCGAGCGAAGGCAAGGAGGUCGGAGAAGGAGCUUGCCAGAGCAAUGAUGGAAUGAAGCAGCACAUCUGAUAGGUGUUAGAAUUUCGCCCACAAGAUCGAUCACAUGAAAUCACGACAGAGACGCGCACAAGAAACUUUGAUAGCCAAAGGCACAUGUCGUGCCUCUCUUCCUUUUUAUUUGUUUUCUUGUUCUCUGUCGAUACAAAACCCAGACCAGACCUGUGCAUAUAUAUAUGCGUCAAGCAACCGACCUAACAACUCUAGUCCUAUACCUACACGGACUCAACCAGCCAACACACGGCCACGUCCUAGAAGGACUCAGCCAACGUGAAGGACUUGACUAGUACGCUACUUGGACACGUAGCGCAGGAACUCACCUAAUACAUGGAAACUAAUCAAGAUUACAUCUAACAGUAGGUCUGCCCAACCUUGAUGUCUAGACAUGGCAGAGACACAAACACAAAGGCCCUUGGUUUUGCAGGUUGCGGCUUCUCUGCAACAAAUCAUGAACCCAAAGACAAACAUUAGAUGAAUACUGAACGAGGUGCUAAGAACAUGAGAUAGACUGAAUGGUGACCAAGAAACAUGACAGGUGCACAUAUGGUUCCUGGGGUGCUGGCUGUAAGUAUAGAAACAUGUUACAUUAGAACAUACAAAAAUAAUUAAGGCACCCUGAAGUUUUUGCAUUUUUUAAUUGAAAGAACAUCUGUAUAGUGUAUGGUUCAAUGUAUAAUCCUGAAAAAUUUGCAUACACAACACAGCAAUUUGCGACCUGCACAAAUCGACACACGUUUUAUAGCAUACUACAUUACAUCCAUGACCUCUUACAUAUAAUUCUGUUGUAAAAACUUGCAGGUUUUCAAAACUGAAUGGCUCUUCUUAAGAGCAGGAAAAAAAACUAAUUUACCACUAUUAAUAUCAACCUAGUACAGCAGCAUACUACAUACUCCCUCCGUUCCUAAAUACAUACAAGUCUUUUUAGAGAUUUUAAUAGGUGACUACAUACGGUGGAAAAUGAGUGAAUCUACACUCUAAAAUAUGUCUAUAUACAUUCGUAUGUAGUCCAUAGUGAAAUUUCUAAAAAGACUUAUAUUUAGGAACAGGAACGGAGGGAGUACAUUACAAUCAUGAGCUCUUACAUAUAAAGUUUUUAAAACUUGCAGGUGAUCAGAACUGAAUGACUCUUCUUAAGAGCAGAAAAAAAAUGUUUUACCGCUGUCAAUAUCGACAAAAUACAGAAGCCACUAUGGAGUCGGAGUGAUCGUCAGUCAUAGUCACGCUACUAGUAAUGGGUAAAAAGAGGUAGCUCUUGAGUGGGGCGUGAGUGUUACCAAUACUGCUAGUAGGCUGCUAGUAACAUCAUGAACGAGCCACAAGGAAACAAAUACUAGUAUAGCGGCAGAUCCGCCUACUGUGGAGGGAGGACGAACUGGGCUGCUGCUGGCCCCCGAUCUCCGCUGCGCCGGAGCCGGCGCCUAGGUAGGUCUGCCGACGGGUCCCAUUCCGGCCAACCGACCGCCGCGGCUCCCAGAUCCGCGCGCCCACAGCCAGCCAGCCAUCGAUCGAGCGAGGGAGCGGAGCAGGGGUUAUCGGCAGCGCUCCUCUGGUUUCUACUCCCGGGAGAGACCCAAGAGAUUGGUAUCCCGAAGGCGACCCUGCCCAGCACCAGGCAGGUUCAUCGCUAUCCUAUCCGACCGUGCGCCAGCGUGCCGAGCAAAGGCGCCAAGCAUGCGGUAGGCCAGUGGACCACUGCCUUUUGGCUGGACAUGUCAUGAUUUUCUUUUUUCUUUCUCAAAAUCAACGUAAGCAAACCAUAUCCUUCCGGUCCCUCUUCUUCUUUCUUCCUCGAUCGAUGGCCACCCCUCGAAGACGCCGUCAUCGAGUAAGUCAAGGGGAAGGGGCUAUUGGACGGCGUCGUGUUGAUCUUGUCUUUUCUACCUUUGGAUAGGCCAAAGGACCGAGACUAUUGUACUUCAAUUAUUAUUUUAUUAUUUUUGGAUCUUAUAAAGUUUCAAAACAAUCUGAAAAUUUCACCACAAUGACAUUUGCACUCUUUGAGCCUUAACUAUGUACAUGUAAGGCAAGGGGCCCCUGUCCCUUCUUCCGUCGCUCCGGCGACAAGAGUGGGCGGGGACCCUAGGGCUUCGGUCCAAUGGUGGCAUAGUUAGGACAAAUUUAGGGUUUGUACCUAUUCAGCGUUGACGAGAUGGCUCACUCGGGGUGUGUAAGUUUUGUGUUCCCUGACUUCGUCUCACUGGAACUAGGGUGUUCAACAGGCCCUCUCCGGUGUUCUCUUUUCUAAGGAGGCGAUAUACUACGUAGAUCGUGCCAGCCGACAUCUUAUGAUUUUCAUCGAUGACUUCCUGGCCAGUUCUUCUACAAACUUCUAGGUUUAAACAAGUUUUCUCCGCUGACAUAGAGGCCGAGAGACGACAACGAGCUUUGCUCACAGUGCGUCGUUGAUGGAUGUGGGGGGAAGAUGACUUCGACGCCCAAAGAAUUUAGAUGUAUUUUAAUUUCCGUAGGGGUUCAUGCUAUUUAAUGUAUGGCCUUUGGCCUUUUUGCAAAUAAAAACAAGUGCUGGGUAGAAUAGACAAGCAUGUGGAUCUCUAAUAUAUGCGUGUUUUCCAUUUUUUCCAUAACUUUAAAAUGUGAUUUAAGAAAAAAGAAUCAAAAUCAGAGACACCCAUGAGCCAAAAAACUCUCUUAGCAUACCCAAAAUGGUAGCAAUCGUUUUCGAGGGGCAACUUGAAAAAACCCAACGCAAUCCUCUGGAAGGAAAACUACCUAACAUUUCAAGACACGCCCAGAACAAAUUCCCUAUAAGACAGGUGCGGGUGCAAAGAGCAUUAUGUUAACUUUCCUUUUUUGAAGUUCAUGUUAUAGCAUUCUUAUUUGAGUAAAUUUCAUUGGACAACAACCACAUUUAUAUUGGAAAAUAUGAAAAACGAAAACAUGAAGUAUAAUAGUAUCAUUUAUCAGGGAAAAUCUUAAGCGCUAAGUAAUGGCUUACUCGCACGGGGUCCACAUUAUUUCUUCCUUAGAAGGUUCCCCUAGAUUUAUGGGCGAUUUCUCUCUCUUUGUUUUUUACUUCUGUUUCUUGGGUUGAUUUUUCUAAUCAGUUUUGUUUCAGUUUUAACAGUUUACUUACGCAAUUUCUAAUAUUGUUCACUGGAGAUUAAAAAUGUUCACCAAGCGCAAAAAAAUGUUCAGACCAUUUAACAAACGUCCUUGGUAUUUAGAAAAAUGAUCAUAAUUUUAAAAUAUAUUAAAUGCAAAAUUUUAAAAUGGUAAAUUGUAAAAAAUGUAUGUGCCAUUUAAAAAAAUAUUUAUAAAAUUUAGGAAAUAUUGCAUGUAUUUAAAAUAUGUUCAUUACAUCUUAGAAAAAUGUUUGUGUGCUAUUAAAAUUUCUUCACAUAAUUUUGAAACAUGUUCAAAAAAUUAAAAACACAUUGUGGACCUUGUGGAGUGAGGUGGUGGCGGCGACGAUGACAACAUGGUCGCCGGUGGCAGUGAUCUCUUUCCACCCGGUGAUUGAUAGUUUCACUCUGCUCUCUGUUCUCCCCAAUCAUUGGCAACUUCGGGACUUUUUCUUCAUUUGGAAAAUUUGGGGUUUUCGACCGAAAAUGCUAAAUGGAGACUGAGCUCCAUGGAGCUCUUUAUUUUGAAAACUUUGAAAAUCACAUUUUGAAUUUUCAACAAAAUCUAAAUAAAAUCACACUCGUUCAGAUGGAUGUUUAAUACAUGUGUGUGAAAUUUGAAGAUGAUAUACAUUACGGUGGGAGCUGCACAAAAAGGUCAAAAUUGUUAUUUUGAAAUGGUGAACAGUACAAGUAAUUUUCACUAUAAAAAAUGCAUGAAUUUGUCUUUUUUGUGUAGCUCUCACCAUAAUGUACCUCAUUGUCAGACUUUACACACAUGUAAAACACAUCCAUGCAAAUGCGUAUGAUUUUUUUCCAGAAUUUUUCAAAACUUAAAAAUAUUAUUUUGGAAUUUUUCAAAAAAAAAACGAGUUCCAUGGAGCUCGUGCUCCAAAAUGCUGCACUCAGUUUUGGAUGGGCUACCGUCUGCUUGGGAUCUACCUAGCUGGCGGUACUAAUGGGGCUCAUGCUCGACAUUGUACAUAACUUGUGUACCAACCACAACAAGACGAGAGACCGAGUGUUCCUGAACCAGAGUGGCCCAUUCUCUUUUGUGUUGUUGGUAAGGUGAGCCAUAGGUUUCAAUCCGUUUCAAAAUUCAAAAUAUCUUUACAUUUCUCUACAAAAUCUUUGUAUUAGAAUAAAUAUGAGCUGAAAGUUCCUUCAUACAAUGGGUCUAGGAACCGUAGUGGAACGGUCUUCACCGGUACUCUACGAAUUGUACCAAAGACCGUUCAAGAUUACAUGGGCACAAUUGUAUCUAAGACUCGUACAUGACAUAUAGACUCAGCAACAUAGAGCCCCAAUUUGUUUGUCUUGUUCAGCAAGUUCUAGCUCUAAUGCAUGCAUAUGCACUAUGCUGCUUGGUGAGCUUCUGACUCAGUUUUCCAAUACAUCCCAUUCCGCUGCUAGAUCAUGUUGUGUGACAGUCGGUGCCAUUCAUCCUGCUCCUUAUUGGUGCUGGCCUCCCAUGCUUUGCCAUCCUCUAGCAGUCUCCUAAAUGUGAUCCAUCUACGAGGGGAAUAAACUAGCUAUUUAUAGGAGGUCACCGAUCGAUAACCGCUGUGUGUGGCCAGGACAUCAUCACUGCUUCACCAAACAUCACAUGCCAACAAUUUUGAUCGUUGCUGACAUUCAUACCACUCAUGGCAUUUCUAAAUAUGAGAACCCUUCUGGUGUGAACUAGCAACAUGACUCUGAUCUCUUUUCCCACGAGGACCAACACACGACGGAGUACCAAACAGAGAAUCAAUUGAUGGGGUAAGGGAAGGGGGAAAACUAGCAUUCAAGUGAGAGUGUAGAGGAACAACGCGAAUAUGAGAUUCAAAAGGGCCAGGAUGCUAGCGCUCCUUUUUGGCCUGUCAGUAUAUAUAAACUACAGAAAAUCCGCUUGUUUUAUUGAUGAACCAAAAUUCGAUCAGUGAGGGGCUAAAAACAGUGUCCAACAAGAUCCGCGUACCAUUUUGUGUGGCAUGGGGAGACCAUAGUACAUGCUAGGGUUCUAGCCACACUAGUCAAGGGAAUGCGAAUGUUGCUUCUUCGCAAAACCUACUCUACCAAUCAAUGAGUCGGCCAGUCCCACCUAUUCUAGGAUUCUUCAAUUACAUUGAGGCAAGAAAGGAUCCAACCAAGCAACGCGAUUCAGACCUCUUUUCCCCAAGGAUAACCACAUGAUGGGGCACCAUACAGAGGAUAGAUGGAUGUAUGGAUGGAGGAGGGGAGGGGAAAACCAUAGUUCAGGUGAGUGUGCAGAGGAAUUGCGCGGACCUAGUAGAGCGAGUCUACGGCAAUGGUGACAGAGAUGGCUGGCUGAUGCGGUGGUCCAUGACGGCUUCACGCUGCUCUGCUCUCCCCCUCUGCUGCUACUUUAGAAUUCUUUUUUCUCUAAUAGAAAAAAAUGGUUUGGAUGGGCACCAUUUACCAGGCUGCUCCAUACAACUCGGGUUCGAGCUCAACAUAAACACUUGCUGAUAGGAUAAAGUAGCUCGAUCGGAUACAUGCUGGAUCGACGAACUGCGGCCGGUAGUAUAUGGUAGUGUCCUAUAAAUUAGGAGGUGUGUUGGUUAACAUAUGUUUAUUUGUAAAUAAUAACUUCAUGCCACUGAGUAGAUGGAUUGUACUCUCGUGUGGUUGAAUUAUAUCAUGUCACUGCUAAUACCCGAUCCAUGUAUGAAUCACGGGAGACAAGGUUGUCAGAAUCAUGAUUCUGAAUCGGAUCGGAGCUCCGAUGGUAGGAUAACAAAUCAUAGAAUCUUAACUACGAGGAUCGUAGAAUCAAAUGGGUUAUUUUGGAUCGUAAAGUCGUAGAAUCAUACAACAGAAUCACUAUUCUGACAACCUUGACGGGACAUCAUCCGAGAUUACAUGUGCACGAGGAUGUAGAAGAAUGGGAUGUCAUUAGAUCCACUCUUAUGCAACUUGACUGAUGCUAUCUACGUACUGCUGUCCGUUAGGCUUUAAUCACGUACAUUUGAUAGCACAAAGUCAUGAUUUGUUUCCUUGUAGAGUGAUAAGAGCCGUGAAUUGUUCAGUAUCUUCUAGUUACACCCAUCAUCGAAGGACUAUGCUUCUAUACGUGCUACUAUCUCUAAUUCCCAACACAUCUCAUUUCUCCACCAGACCGUGCUAUCUGACUGGUGGUGCCAUUCACCCUGCUCGUGAUUGGUGUUCUCCUCCUACGAUUUUUCAUCCUCUGCCAGUCUACCAACUAAAUGUAAUCCCUCUACAUGGGGAAUAAGCUAAUUAAUAUAGGAGAUCACUGAGUGAUCAACGUUGUAGUGUGACCAGGACAUCUUCAUUGCUUCACCAAGCAUCACGUGCCAACUGUUGUGAUCAUUUAAUUCUACAAUGAGUUGUGUAGCUGCAGACAUUUAUAACACUCAUGGCAUAUCUAAAUAUGAGAAACCCUAAGUUGAAUGUUCCUAGCGAACCAUCGGAAUGAAGUUGUUUUGAACUCAAACUAUUAUAAAUACUGAUGGAUUUGGGUUUGAUGAACCAUGUAUACAACCCUGUAGGAGUUAUUAUAUAUUACUCAAUACAAUGUUUUUCAAUCCUGUUUCGUUACUUUUUAAAUAUGUGAUUUAAUUACCUUGAUCUCCAAGACUUGUAUACAUCAAGAGAGAUAUGGCAAACUUAAACAUGUGAGGUAGUAACCACAUCAUUUCAACAGUCUCCAAAAAUUAACUCUAUAAACAAAACAUAUUGUUCUAGUGAAUUGGCCGGCAAAUAUGCUCAACUAUUUUUUAUACAUAUAAUAUUUUUAUACAAAAAUUCUAUGAGUUCAAUAAUUGAACCUAUUUUGGAACGGUAGCUGCCUUCUACAGGUAUUCGGUUGGGGUCUUGACAGGAACAUGAAGUAGAUCAUUUCACUAACUCGGUUAAAACUGUGGAACAUCACAGCUACACAAUUCACCUAGCAAUGAAAUCAGCAUACAAAUUCAGUUACUUGGAUAGUUGGAUGUUCUUUGAUCAAAAAAUAACUUUGUUAAAAAGCAUUUCAGAACCUGUACACUUUGGACAUUAGUUGUCUUCUUCAGUGAUUCAUAGAGAUGAUAGUUAGGUUGAUAGGGCUAGGAAGUAGAUCAUUUCACCAACUAAGUUACAACUGUGAAAUAUCACAACUAUGCAAUUGAGCUAAAAAAAGAACAUGCAAGUUAAGUUUCCGGGAUAUUGCUGCCAUUGAGGCUGCAUGGCUGUAGAGAAUAGUCAGAACAGAGUUCACCAGACCAUGAAAAUAAAAUCUAUCAUAUAUGUGUUGUUCUUGGAGAUAUAAUCAGAGAGCAAAUGGCUAUUAACGGAUAAUAAGUUACUAACAGCGGGUCUAAUUCCUUCUACAACUAUACCUUCCAUGGUGACCCUGAGGUAGGGGCAAAGGGUUGACCGCCUUCAUGCGUUGCUAAGGAGUGAAUUCCCAUAUGAAAUAUGUCUUAGGUGUGGGACAGUAAAUAUAACAAAUUGCACCAGCGAGAUGGUGUGGUUGGGGCCGAAGCCUUAAAUUGCCUAGGGGCAAAAGUCUUCAUGCUAGUUCACUACCUUCCCUUUAAAUAGGGGGCAACCGAUUCCUCCCCUCCCUCAAAUUGACAAAAUGACUUGGCAAUUUACACAAGUAUAUCUUGUUUACCAACUUUCAAGUCCACUCUCGCAUGUCUCAGUCAGUUUCUCCCCGUCGUGCACACUUGUGUGAUUGUGUAGUCAAAUAAGGGACCACAAUCUAGUCUACUUAUCCAACAGCAUAGUUCAUUCACGUGCCCUUUUCUGUUGUUACUCAAACACCAUUGUCAUUGUGAGCACAACAUGUCACAUUUUAUUGAAAUGUGAUAGUUAUGCAUGGAAACUGAUGCAGGUUUACUGCUCGAGCACUAGUACUUCUUUCGAUAAAAGAUAACAUAUUAAUAUCAAAUUGAAACAAUGCAAUGUCAAGAGCUAGCUGGGACAUGACUACUAGAAAUCCCCAUUUCCCCCGCCAUUUGAAAUGUUCCUUUGUAACAGUAAUGCAACAAUAAAGAAAGAAUAUAUCCAUGACAUGUGGUUGGCACACCUAUGGAAAAAACACUUUCCAUAACUUUAAAUUUUGCUUCAUAAAAAUUGUUGGAGAGAGAGAGAGAGAGCAAACAAACCUAGGGGACGGUAGUUUCCUUAUUCUCACUCUUCUAUUUAUUUACGAGAGGAAGAAGCCCUUUGUCUUCCUUGUUGUGGGAGGAAAAACAAGCUUCACAAAGCUCUUUCUAUCCUCUUCAUAUUCUGAAUUUUCAAAAUUCUCAUAGAAAGCGAAAUUUGCACAUAAAAAUUGUGAGAAACUCCUCUACUAAGCAUAUAAUGAUUAUAUAAUGUAUCAAAGCUACUUACAAAAAACUAAAAUCAACAACAUGCAAGCUCAUUUUCUAAGUCACCAGUAGCAGCAUAAAUAGAAUGAUGUAGAGCAUUGUUCAAGAAAGAAAAACUAACUGUAUACAUGGAGGAGUCACAUACCAAGGGGAAAUCCCUUCAAAGGAAUUUGAAAAUAGUGCAAGGAGCAAGGAGAUCAAAAUGGGGCAUCAAAGCACCAGGAAAAUUUUGAUAAAUUUUUGGAAUAUUGUAAGAUGGCAGGGUACAUCCUUUUUCUCGAGGGUAUUUUUCUAACCAUGUGUUCCUUAUGAUAGGCAGUAAUGGAAUUUUUUCCUUACAGCCUUAAGAGUAUUAUUUAGGACCCGAAAAAAGAAAGAACAUUCCUUGGGGACCUUUUGAUUCGAAGGAUUUUCACAGGAUUUUGGUAGGAUUAUUAUCCUUAGGAAUUUUCCUACAUUGGUCAUUUCAUCCAAUAGAAACUUCCUCUAAAGUAUCAUUGUAGUACAUUUCAUAGAAAAUCUAACAUCCACUUCAACUUCUUAAAAAAGCAUUUGAUGCAAUCAAACAACUGCAAAUUAUGUAGGACUCAAAUGCGUUUUUCCAAUCCAGCAACCCCGACACCGUAUCCUAGAGGCUCACCCCUUCAGGAGUCUUUUCUCUUGGCUCAGCAUACCAUGCUUUGUGCCGAAGGCCGUCUAUGGCCUAGACAUCAUCGUUCUGGAAAGCGCCUUUACCAUUGAAAAUCAAAAAAAUUGUUUGCCAGUUGUUGAGGGAUCGCCUUCCAUUCGGAAUGUAGGUGAUCAAGAGACACACACCGAGGAAUGGGUUGUGCCCUCUAUGUGAUGUCCCAGAGAUAGGGACUCACAUCCUCUUCUCUUGCACGAUGGCUAGACUACUUUGGAGUUUUGUCCGUGAGGUUCUUGGGCCGGACUAGAAGGCCCUGGACCUGGUCGGGUUCCUGCAAACCCGUGUCAACCAAAUCGUGAAGAUAACACGCCUUCUAGCUGGUGUUUGCAGCACUAGCUUGGACGUUGUUAACAACACGCAAUAAGAUAGUGAUCAAGCGGUUCUUUCUUAGGCUGGUCUCUGACUCGAUCUUCAAAUUUGCGUUUUUCUAGCACUAGCAUCCACUGUCUAGGCAGCAUGAUCGCGAUCAACUGGGCCUUAUGAUGGAUGUGAUGAUUGUUGCUGCUCGUUGACGGGCCUCGCCGCAGACUUCCUAAGGCGCUAGAUAUUUUAUACUUUUUUGGGGGCGUGUUUGUGUUGUUGCCCCAGUUGGAUAUUUUAUUUGAUUGCACUUAAACUUGUGGUUUGGAUGUGGUGACGGUGCUGAUGGCUUUAUUUAUAAAGCGGGACGAAAGCUUAUUUCGAGAAUUUUCCACGGUAAAUCAAAUGGGAAAUUCUAGUGGUGGUUGAGGUAGCAUACAUCCAAAUUACUACAGUACCUUUGAAGGCCAAUCUCGUGGUGCUGUCUAACGCACGUCUUGCUUUCAAAGUUUUCGGAAGAAUGCAUACCAUAUUUGCGGCUCCCAUUCUCUCGGUCAAGCAACGAGAGCGACGCCACCCAUCAUUUGGCUGCCUAGUUUGCUUUAUGUAUCUAUCGGAUGUUUGGCAGCCGACUUAUAUGACCCCAGUAUCCAUCCAAUUAUUGGAAUCUACAGCAUAUAUUUGCCGUGUGAGAUAAUGGAACCCAGCCAUCCGCAGAUCGGUAUGCACAUGGCCCCAGAACGUACGAAUGACUUUGACUUUCAUGUCCAGCAUGGUCACCGUGAACAUAUGGACAGAUGUACGUGUGCGUUCGUCCAUCCACUAUUUAAACAGCGUGCUAGCGGCCAUUAGCUCUCACAACCACCAGAGCAAAUUCCAUCCAGCCUAGCUAGCCAUGGAGACGGAGCCACCCAAGAUGCUCGCCGUGAUGGCGACGAUGAUGAUGAUGAUGGCCACCGCCGCUGCACUCGUACCGGAGGGGGCGGUGCUUGCAGGACAGGCGAGGGCGCUCCUCGUCUGGAAAGCCAGCCUCGACGACCAAAGCCAGCACACACUGCUGUCCUGGGAGAACAUGUCGGCGCCCUGCAGCUGGCGUGGCAUCACGUGCACAGGGCAACAUCGCCGGCCGGUGAUCAGCGGCAUCUCUCUGCAGGGGAUGCGGCUUAGAGGGGCGCUGGGGCCACUCGACUUCUCAGCCUUGGCGACCCUGACGCGCCUCGACCUCUCGCACAACCACCUCAGCGGGAGCAUCCCUGCCGGCAUUGAGGCCCUCGGAGAGCUCCGUGCUCUGCUUCUACAAGGCAACCAGAUAAGAGGCUCCAUUCCACUAGGCCUAGCAAAUCUCACAAAAUUACGCUCCUUAAUGCUUAAUGAAAAUGAACUCUCCGGUGGAAUACCAAGGCACAUAGGCAACAUGAGUAAUCUUGUGAACCUCACCUUGUCGGUCAAUCACUUGGUUGGUCAAAUCCCCUUUGAAAUAGGCCACCUAAAGCACUUGGUUACAUUAGAUUUUUCUAAUAACAAUCUUUCCGGCUCAAUCCCAAGCAAUAUAUGUGACUUGACAAAACUUGCUACCUUGUACCUUGACGCCAACCAACUCUUUGGACACAUCCCUCGAGAACUUGGUCAUUUGGUCAAUUUAAAGGACCUGGGCCUUAGCCGAAACAAGCUGAUAGGUUCCAUCCCAAAUAACUUGAGAAAUUUAACAAAACUCACUGCCUUGUAUUUUGGACAGAACGAACUUCCUGGCCAAAUUCCACAAGAUUUAGGUUAUCUAGUGAAUUUAAAGGUCUUGGAUCUUUGUCAAAACACGUUCUCAGGUUCCAUUCCAAUAAAUUUGUUUAAUUCGACGAAGCUCACUAUCUUAUCUCUAUGGGGCAACAGGCUCUCUGGUCAAAUUCCACAAGAAUUAAGUCAGCUAGUUAACUUGGAGGAAUUAGAACUUAAUACAAACACACUAUCAGGUUCUAUCCCAAUCACUAUAGGGAAUUUGACCAAACUCACUAGAUUAUACCUUUUCCAGAACCAACUUUCGGGGCAAAUUCCACGGGUGCUAGGUUAUAUGAUGAACUUAAAAGAAUUGGCUCUAUAUGAAAACACACUCUCAGGGAACAUUCCAAGAAAUUUAUGUAAUUUGACCAAGCUCACUGUCUUAAUUCUUUCACGCAAUAGACUUUCUGGUCAGAUUCCACAAGAAUUAGGUUACCUUGUGAACUUAAAUGACAUGGAUCUUACUUUUAAUACACUCUCAGGUCCUAUCCCAGUCACCAUAGGCAAUCUGACAAAACUCAAUAUAUUAAGCCUUUUUAUGAACCAACUUUCGGGGCGAAUUCCACGAGAAUUGGGUUACCUUGUGAACUUAGAGGAGUUGGAUCUUAAUAUUAACAAACUAUCAGGUUCCAUCCCAAACAGCUUACGAAGUUUGACAAAGCUCACCAAGUUAUGCCUUGCACAAAACCAACUCUCUGGAUCUAUUCCUCAAGGAAUUGGCAAGUUAACGAGCCUAGUUCAACUGCAACUCCCUUUUAACAACCUCUCUGGUUCCUUGCCAUCUGGUCUUUGUGCGGGAGGUCAGCUACAAUUUUUGAUCGUUAACGACAACAACUUGGUUGGACCCUUGCCAUCAAGUUUGCUAAGUUGUACAAGCCUAGUCAGGAUUCGACUUGAACGGAAUUACCUCGAAGGAGAUAUCACCGAGAUGGGAGCUCAUCCAAAUCUUGUCUAUAUUGAUAUAAGUUCAAAUAAACUAUUUGGUAAACUAUCUCAUCGUUGGGCUGAGUGCUACAAUCUUACAGUGCUACGUGCAUCAAAAAACAAUAUAACCGGAGUAAUACCAUCAAGUAUUGGGAAAUUAUCUUGGUUGGGGAUACUUGAUGUUUCAUCAAAUAAGCUUGAAGGACAAAUUCCUCCAGAAAUCGGCAAUAUAACGAUGUUGUUCAGUUUGAGCCUUUUUGGUAACUUGCUCCAGGGAAAUAUGCCCGCAGAAAUUGGAUCACUGAAAAAUGUGGAAUAUCUAGAUUUAUCAUCAAACAACCUAACUGGGCAGAUACCAGGAUCAAUUCAGCAUUGUUUGAAGCUUCACUCUCUAAAGUUGAGCCAUAAUCACUUCAAUGGUAUAAUUCCUAAUGAACUAGGGAUGUUGGUAAACCUACAAGAUAUGUUGGAUCUAAGUGAAAAUUCAAUUGAUGGCGCUAUUCCUAGUCAACUAGGUGGUCUUACUAUGCUUGAAGCCUUGAAUCUUUCUCACAAUGCACUGAACGGCAGCAUUCCACCAUCAUUCCAGAGCAUGAACAGCCUCCUAUACAUGGAAAUGUCAUACAACAAAUUAGAAGGGUCAGUGCCACAUACUAGGCUCUUUGAAGAGGCUCCAAUCAAAUGGUUUAAGCAUAAUAAGAAAUUGUGUGGUGUUGUAAGAGGUUUGCCCCCUUGUGAUCUUCCUCAAAGUAGUGAACAAGGGAAAAAUUCUGGUGCUAUUUUACUCUCUAUAAUAGCCGCAAUUGCAUCUUUUAUGUUUGUCAUUGCACUGGUAACAUGGCAGUGCAAAAAGAAGAAAACCAAGACAGCAGUUAUAGAUAAAUCACAACAAACCAAGAUGUUCACCAUUUGGAAUUUUGAUGGGGAAGAUGUGUACAAGAAAAUUGUUGAUGCCACAAACAAUUUCAGCAACGCUCAUUGCAUUGGAUCUGGAGGUAAUGGAUCAGUCUACAGAGUCCAGUUACCAACAGGUGAAUUGUUUGCAGUGAAAAAGAUCCAUAUGAUGGAAGAUAAUGAGCAAUUUAACCGUGAAAUACAAGCAUUGAUGUAUAUUCGACAUCGGAACAUUGCAAAGUUAUUUGGUUACUGCUCUGCAACCCAAGGAAGAUUUCUUGUGUAUGAAUACAUGGAUAGAGGAAGCUUAUCAGCAUCUUUGAAGGGUACAGAAACUGCAGUUGAAUUGGAUUGGCCGAAGAGGUUAAAUAUUGUUUGCGAUGUUGCUCAUGCUUUGUCUUACAUGCAUCAUGACUGCUUCGCACCGAUAGUCCACCGAGAUAUAACAAGCAACAACGUUUUGCUUGACCUGGAAUUUAGAGUUUGCAUCUCAGAUUUUGGUCUAGCGAAAAUACUAGAUGUGGAUGCAUCGAACUGCACUAGUCUCGCAGGGACAAAAGGAUAUCUUGCCCCAGGUAAAAUUAUUAUAUCUAUGUUGCUUACAUCAAUAAUCUUAUCAUUAUUUCAAGUACCUCUAUGUUUUAACUCUCUAGUGUUGAUGUUUCAGAGCUUGCAUACACAACAAGGGUGACGGAGAAGUGCGAUGUUUAUAGCUUUGGGAUACUUGUUCUAGAGCUGUUCAUGGGACAUCAUCCAGGUGAUUUCCUUUUGUCCAUGGGCAACAACAAAAAUAGUACAUCAAUUGAGAAAUUUCUGGACACCCGGCUCCCACUCCCUGAAGCUGAGGUCGCAACUAAGAUAUUUCAAGUGGUCGCCAUCGCUGUUCGGUGCAUAGAGCCCGAUCCAUCGCACCGUCCGACGAUGCAGCAAGUAACCAAGGUGUUGUCAGCAGCUGAGCGACCUGCUAAUAAUCUUGAUUAUCUCCACACUAGCAUUGUCAUCCCUGCCUGCUGGUCGUGAAUGUUCAUCUGAUUAUUACAUCCGACACUGUAUAUAACACAUCAUUUUAUUCGCUAGAUAGCUUGUUUUCUGCUAUAUAUCAUUCGCACCUACUGGUUGGCAAUUAACUACAUCUAAAUAUAUUUUGUAUGGCAGAGCUCCUGCUAUUUCGGUAAAACAUUGAUAAAUAAAUCCAUCUGCAUCCUCUCUCGGACGUCUCCUUUUGGUCCUUAUAGCCUUACAAGGUGCUCGAGCCUUUUAGCUGUUCGUGUCACUUGGGGCUGCAGCAAGAAGGGAUUCGCACUGCAUUACCCUGUGAAGGGAGUCAAAAGAAGCCACACAAUCUGAGGAAAGAACUCCCCAUGGAAGAGGAGCAAAUCAAUCAGAUCAGGGAGGAGUGCAGCGUGCGUGCCUGGGUGAAGGCAUCAGGGUCAUUGCUGGCGGACAGAAGGAGGUAGUCCGGGCGACAGACGGUGGUUGCUGCGGCGAGGAGGAGCAUUGCGAGCGUGGCGCCCGCAGCCGCGACGGCGGGGCCAGGGUUUUGGAUUUCGGACCGAAAAACCGAAAAGUGGCCGAAAUCCGCCCAUUUCGGUUGGGCCCGGUAAAUGUUCAAUCCGGUCAAAACAAUUCGGCCUCGUUUGAAUUUCCAGCCCGGCCCAUGGUCCAGUACAGCCCAUAGAUAGAACCUUGUGCUAUAAAAGCUCAAACCAAACCCUACCGUAGCCCUAAUUUCAUUUUCUCCACUCUCCACUCCUCUGUGCGGCGGCUGCAGACAACGAAGCCGAGUGAGGCGGGGGCGCGGCGCCGUCUCUGCCCAUCUCCCUCCUCCCCGUCGCCUCGAGAGAUCACCACUCCCUGUCCCUCCCCAUAGUCCGUUCUCCCCUUCUUCCAUCCGCGACCAUGGAUGAGGAAGGCUUUCUCGACAGCAGCCGUCCGGCCGGCGACCCAGUUGGCGGUGGCAGCCAUAGAAGAUCGAGGUCAGGGGGCGACUGGGUCGACAAUGAGGGAGCCAUGGGGCGUGGCCACGUCCGGCCGAAUAUGGGGCUGGACUUGGGCAGCGGCUUUGGAGCUGCCGAUGCACAAGCUGGGCAAGGUGAGCCUUUCAGCCUUACUGUGCGUGCAUGUUUAUUUAGCAUUUGCGUUAGCAUAUAGUUUGUAGAUAGAUUACGUAAUACAUGUGGUUGCUAGCUUUUGUAGCAGUUUUACUUUCCGGCCGGCCGUCCUAAUUUGAAUCAGUAGAUCUUCUUGCGUAGUUUAUGCUAGCUUAUGCUACGUAGAUGUUUAAUUCUAGCUUAUGUAAGCUAUAGCUUGUAAAAGUUCUUCUUGAUGAAAACUAACACCGGUAUUUUAUACGCUCCUCUCGUAAGAGGGUAGGCAUCGAUGCUAGAAGGAGUGAUACUGUCAACUUAGACGAUGAAGAUGAUGGUCUGAUCAGGAAUGGUUCAACAACAAGAGAGGCACCUUUUAAAGGUUGAUACCGUGUUACUCUUGCUUUUUGUAUUUCUCUUUGUUCCCUAUGUUUUACCCCUGUAAUUUGUGAAGCACCUAAAUGAUUUUAAUUCUACCUGUUCUGUAAUUUCUUACUAGCACUACUUGUACUUAUUCUAGUUUUGUUUAGUUUUUUAAUGCUGAUUUUACCUACGCAUAUUUUGUGGAAAUCUAAUUCCAUUUGCUUGCUUAGUUCUGUUUCUGCCAAUGCAUUUUUUACUUGUGCUUAAUUCUGUUCUGUCUAUUUUUGUUUAGUUGUUUAAUUCUGUUUUUGCCUAUGCAAUGUAUGCAUUGUUUUUGCCUAUUACAAGAGUGGUUUAUUCGUUUCAUUGUUAACAUGGUGCUUUCAUUUUGAAAUGCAGGACUUAAGACCAACGACAUACAUCAUGUGUGGAACCAUGGCCCCAAGCACGGAGGAGGAUUUCAUUGUCGGUAUUGCAACAUGAAGAAUUCUGGAGGAGGUGCAACCCGCUUCAAAGAGCAUCUUGGCAAGAUAGUAGGUGAAGUGAAGGAGUGCCCAAAUGUUCCAAGAAAUGUGCAUGAUAUAAUGAGGAAGGCCGUGCUUGAGAUGAGGAAAAAGAAGAGGGAGAAGGAAAGUCGUAAGCUUAGAUUUGAACGUGAGUUGAUGGAUGAGAUGUACCAGAGAAAUGGUGUGAUAAAUAUUGAUGAUGAUAAAGAUGAAGAAAUUCAUAUGGCACUACGGGAGUCACUAAGAGACAGGAAUGUUCUGUUUUUACUUUAUUUUGUCUUAUUCUGGUUUUACUUUAUAUCAUGAUGCAUUUAGAGUUCUUUGUAUUAUGCCUUACUCUUGCUUUACUUGAUAUCAUCAUACAUAUUGAGUUGAACUUUUUUUACUUAUGUUUUACAGGAAUGUAUCUCGUGCAGUUGAGAGGAGGCGUGGUAGUGGCAGUGGUGUUCGCGUUUCCCUUGGGAAACAGAGUAUCACAGCCUACUUUGACAAGCAAUUGUCGAGCAACAAAGUAUCAAUGCAACCCAAGAUCAGCACUGCUAUGGAUAGCAGCUCAAGGGAUGCUGUUGGCCAAGCUUGGGCGAAGUUUUUUCAUGCAAAUGACAUCGCUGGUCGAAAAGCUGACUGUCCAUAUUUUCAGGCUGCCAUGAAGAUCACUCAAAAUCUUGGUGCUGCUCCUAUUCCAACUGGAAAAGAGAUUGAUGGGGAGUAUUUAGACAAAAAUUAUGAAGAGUCUCGAGAGUGGCUGAAGCUAUUCAAGCAAGAUUGAAAGAACUAUGGUGUAACUGUUAUGUGUGACUCCUGGACUGGGCCUACUGGCAUGAGUCUUAUCAAUUUCAUGGUCUAUUGCAAUACACGGAUGUUCUUCCAUAAAUCCAUUGAUGCUUCUGGCCAGUCUCAAAAUUCAGGUUAGAUUUUUUGAGAAAGGGUUAUUUCUGGUUAAUUAUGACUAUUGCAAUUCUUUCUACUAUGAUGCUCUAUAUUUCUGUUCUGUUAUUAAUUCUAGCAUAUUUGUUCUGUUUUUAUUUGAUAUCAUGAUGCAUUUCAAGUUGAGGAAGCCAAACGUUUAUAAUAGAGUACUUUGUCUACGUUGCAGAAUUUCUCUAUAGAGAGAUUAAACAGGUUGUUGUUGAAGAGAUAGGCCACGAAAAUGUAGUUCAGAUUGUUACUGAUAAUGGCUCAAAUUACAAGAAAGCUUGUAAAACUCUUGUUGAACAACCAGAAUUCAGUCAUAUUGUUUGGCAGCCAUGUGCAGCCCACACGGUUAAUCUAAUGCUUAAAGACAUAGGUAAGUUUCCUGAGGUUGAUGUGAUAGUCAAAAGUGCCAAGCAAAUCUGUAGGUUUUUUUUAUAAUCACAACAACCUACAUGAUAGCAUGAGGAAGAACGUUGGUGGUGAGCUGAUUAAACCGAAUGCCACCCGGUUUGGAACUGUGUUUAUGUUCCUUGAGAGUUAUUUGGAGAAGAAAGAUAAAUUUAGGAAAUGGAUGGUGUCCGACGACUGGAAGAACAGUAUUUGGAAGAAUGAUGCGGACCAUGUGUUUGCUGAAGAGUUGCUAUCCAGUAACAUGUGGUGGACAGCCUUAGAAUGGGUUCUUGAUUUGCUUGAGCCACUCUAUGUAGCCCUCAGAUAUGCUGAUACACAAAAGAAAUGUACUCUAUCUGGUUUCAAGAAGACUAUGAUGACAGCCAUACAAAAGAUGAGUUCUCAUCUUGGUGGUGGGUCACAGAUGUUAGAUAGAGUCAUGAGCAAGGUGUCCCCGAGGAUGGAAGAUAUGCAAAAUGAGACACUAAUGGUUGCAGGUAGAUACUAAGUUAAUGAAACUGAAAUUUUGUUGCUUUUUUCUUAUGGUUAUUAACUUCUCUUGAUUCUCCUUUUCUUAUACAGCUGCUGUCCUUGAUCCGUUCACACAUUAUCGGGUGAAUUUGAGCAACCUUCCAGAAUAUGCUUCUGCACUAACGGAUGUCAUCGAGAAGAUAGCAGACCCUGAGAGCGCUCUUUUGGCUAUCAAUGAAAUCAGCACUUAUAGGGAAUGUCGUGGGAGGUUUAGGCAUAGUUUGGCACGCUCUUCCGCAGAAAGAAUGGCACCAAGUAAACCACGAUACUUAUCUCCAUUGAUUAGCUCUAUUGCCUCAUGUUGCAACUUCAUUUUAGCAUCUCUAACUUUGUUUUAACCAUGCAGCUGAGUGGUGGUUCCAGUUUGGAGGGGAAGUUCCUAAUUUGCAGAAGUGGGCAUUGAGAAUUGUUUCACAGUGUGUCUCUUCAAGUGGCUGUGAGAGGAAUUGGACUGCUUUUGCCUUGGUCCACACGAAGCAAAGAAAUCGCCUUCUAUACUGCAAGCUUCACAAAAGUGUUUCUGUACGCUACAACCUGAAGGUAUGUUUGCCAUGGUCUAUGCAUAAAGUCUCAACUUAGCUAUGCUACAAGUAUUUACUUUGCUAAAUCUUGGGUUCUGUUUUUAUACAUUGUAGUUACGUGCUGUAGAAGAUGAAGAUAUUGUGAAGCUGAGUUAUAGGGAGAAGGAAAUUGAUCCAUGUGCAGUGAUGAUGGAUACAGUUAUGCAUGACGAAUCAAACCCAAUGAUGGAGUGGCUGAACGAGGAUGAAGAGCAUAUAGUCCUUGAUGGAUCUGAUGCUGCUACUGCUGUGUUGGAGGAAAUACGUCGCCUUAACUCAAGGAGGAAAGCCUCUCAUCUUGGAAGGAAGGAAAUUAGCAGGAAAGGAAAGAGGGUACGUGAAGAUGAGGAGGAUGAGUUCAUUAGCAGUGAGGAUGAUGAUGAAGCGAAUGGAUCCAUGGACAUUGAUGAUGGUGAUGAUGGCCAAGAAGAGGAUGAUGAAUCUGAUGGAGAAGGUUUGCCAAGACAAGCUGAAAAAGAUGCACGAAGCCAAGUGAAUGAUAUUGAGGUAACAAGGGAUGAAAAUAUGGUGAAUCGUAGAUCUGGACGGCAAGCCAAGAAGGUCAAGGACGUCAACUCCCUUUACUAUUAGGUAACAAGUUACUUUUUCUUAUAUGAGCUAGCUUCUGGUUGUAUAUUUUUCUUCAUACUGCACUCAUGUUUUUGCGUUAGUAAUAAAUAACAUGGUAGAAGCUUACUGCCUGGACAUACUUUGCAAUGCUAGCAUCCAUGCCGUUUAUAUAAUUUGUAAUGCUAGACAUUUUUGUUUCAUGUACACAUAACUGAUGUUUUGUAUUGCAAUAUUUAUGAAGCCUCUGACCAUAUUUGCAUUUUUGUUUCAUGCAAGACUGAAGACUGGAAGAAAAUUGAAGUCUACCUGAUGUGUUUUGGAGGCGCUGGUUUGAACUUCGAUUACUUCUGCUCUAUGACUUGUGGAUUGUGAAUCUGGACUAUUGUGUGUGUAUUUUGGACUCGUAGUAGGGAUUGGUGUGUGGGUAUUUUGGACUGUAAUUUGAAGUUCUAAUAUGCACUGUUAUGUGUGUACCUUGGGCUAAUAUGGACUGUUAACUAGCCUAUUGAGUAGAUCUGGACUACUGGAUGUUAUAUCAUGCUCUGAACCGAUGUUUACCAUUGAGAUGGAGUUCUAAUCUGGUAUAACAUGUAAAUUGCUGCUUUGUGAUUCUAUAUUUUGCUUGUACAUGUUUUCUUGUGGCUAUUUCAAAUUUCUGGGCAAAUUUCGGUCAAUUUCGUUCAAAUUUCG